rnacentral:lncRNA from 1 species
AAAUGCUAUUCUAUAUUCUGAUUACAAUGUUUUAACCUUUAAAUUAACUACCCCUAGAUGUUGGAUUUUCUAGAACUUCAAAAUGAUUAAUGGAGAAAGAUCCCAUUAUCGUUAUUGCUAUAUGAAAUUGAUUUAUGCAUCCAAAGAUACAUUAUAUAUUUCUGUGUCUCUAUUUAUAGAUGACAUUUAAGCAUCCAUAAACCGUCAGACAGAGGAAGGGGGUUCAGUGCAAAGAUUCUGUUGACCUAGGGUUGACUGCAUAAUGUCACUUGUUCGCAAUCUAUUAUUUAUUUUAUAUUUUGAAGAAUUUAAUGGGUAAUCCUAACUGUUUGUUUUGGCAGGUAUGUGUUGUUAUCUCCUUCUAUCUUACAGUCGUACCUAAAUAGCAUAGUUUCAUCUGUGUUACCAUGUGAUGUACAUAAUUUCACAUUUGCCUCAGAUUAAGCUUAAUUUCCCACAGAAUAGAGCUGUCGCGACUGGACUUAGGUUGAUGUCCAAAGAGGUAAAUUAUUGGCAUGCCUAGAUAAUUUGGCCAUUUCCUAAUUCAUAAGUCUACAUUAAUUUUGAUUUUGAGUUGACUGAUUUCUUUUCAAGGUCUGCUUCCUUAACGGAGUGACCAAUGUUUUUCAACUAAAUUUAUCAUAUGAUGCAGGAAGCAGGGCAGGAUAUGAAAUGAGAAGCUCAUUGGUGGAAGUAUUGCCAGUAACAGAACCCAAAGAAAAUGAAACUAUUUCAAGGCAGCAGUUGGCAGUUGCAAGUGAAUGGAAGCCCUUGACAAAAUUCUCAAGCGGUUGCAAUGCAAUUACGAUCAUCCUCAGCCUCAGGUAAUUUCUUCUCCUGCUUUGUAUUUAUUUGUUAUCUAAUUAGGAAGCGUAAAGUAUCUUGAAUCAUUUUCUGUAUCUGGAAUAUAUGCAAGAGUUUCUAAAAUUUUGAUAUGAGUGUAAUGAUGGUAAUUUCUGAUUUCUGUCUGUCAUCAAAUGUUAGAAAACUUUCAUUGAGACCCUUGAACCGAGUCAUUUUUGACAAGUGAAGUGCUGAAGAGUGAAGAGUAAGAAUGGUGCUAGAUUGGGGAAUAAAGCAAAAGGAGGUAAAUUAUUGGCAGCUUCUUCAACCUUAUUUUCUUUGGACCAGUGCCUAAUUCACAAGUCUCCAUAAUUCGGCUUUUGACCAGUUGAUAGAUAAAAUUUUAAUUUCAUUGGUGCUAAUGUACCCGUGAGGCAGGCAGAGAAGGACUGUGGAAAAGAGAAGGUUUUUAGUGAAAGCUUAAACUCAGGUAAUUCUAAAAAUUAUAUGUUUUGGCUGAUUUAUCUAAAUCAGGAAAUUUUAUUUCCAUCUGUUACAAUAAAACAGAAACAGAACACAAAGAAAAAUAUUCUACUUCUUGUGGCAAUCUUGCCUUCAUUCAGACUAUGAAACCAUUUCCUUUCACCAAUUUCUUCCAAAAGUUUGAACACGUUUCAUGGUUGGACAUAGUUAGCUUCUUUUUCUUUUGGUGCAUUUAGGUGCUAUCAAGUGACAGCCAUAAGUAUGAUUGCAUUAUUAGGAAAUUUUAGGUUUUGAUGGCUCCCCAUGUUAUUGCCAAGAAAUUUUAAGUCCUCAUGUCAGAAGCUGCGUUUCUUUUCAUCAGCCUGAACCCGAACCUGUCACUAUGGAUAACUGAGGUUUUUGUCAUCAACUAUAUCAUCUUUUUCACUGUUUUGAAACUCUUAAGAUUAAACUUCAGUAAAGUUGUUUCAGUUAUCCAUGUAAUCAGGCUAAGGAUAUUUAGCAGCUUAUUUAGGCAACUGCCAGAAUUCAGUUUGUUCGCUCGAAACUUGUAUGGUGACAAGGAUACUGGCAAGGAUAGUGAGAUAAUUUUUUGUGUGAGUGAAUUUUGAAAGCUUGGGUGUUCUGGGAUUUGCAAUUGCAAUCAUCCUCUGCUUUAGGUGAUUUCUUCUCCUGUUCUGUCUUUAUUUUCUCUCUAAUUGAAAGCAUUUCAAUCAAAUUCUGUACCAGGAAUACGAAAAAUUUACUAAUAUUUUAUUUCCAUCUGUUUGCAUUGAUAACUUGGCCGCAUAUGUACUAGUUAAAGAACAAACAGAAGCAGAGUUCAGGAAAAAGUUUCUUCGGCCACCAUAUUUGAAAAUGAAACCAUUUCCAGGAAGCAGUUGGCAGCAAAUUCAUACAAAGUAUAGACAAUGAUGAGCAAAAAGGUGAUUUGCAAUUUCAUUUUUUUAAAAUGAAAUUAUUUGUUAAGUUGGAGCGGAUAUUGUUAGAAGGCCAGAAGGCCACUGAGCCAACCUAUGACACUGCUUGCCUAGAUUGCAGGAGGUCAAGACUCAAAAGAUGCACUGAAUUUUAAAAGGCAUGCAAUAAUUCUUAUGGCCAUUUGUCAAUGGUGGAAUGCUUUUAGCUUCUUUUCCUUUCGUGCAUUUUGGGGUUCUAUCAAGCGACAGCCGUAUGUAUGGAUGGAUAUAGCUGAAGGACAACAUUUGUCCAUGAGGUUCCUAAAAUCGCAACUUUUGUGCAGUAAAAUUAAAACGGACGGCGGAAGCUCUAGAAACCUCGGAUCGGCUUCAUUCAAAAACGAAAAUCAAGAGGAAAGAUUGAAGUUUAAUUACCUCACUUGCAGUUUCGAAAAAGACUUCGUGAGGUAGGAGAAAACGACUGAAAACAGCAAGCUACGAACAUUGUCCAGAAAAUACAGCUCUGCACGAACAGCUUCUGUUUUGCCACGAUCUGAGAUCCUUAAGCACCCCAAUUGUGAUGCCUCUAAUUAUUCCACACUUAGAAAUGUUCUAGGAGUUCAGAGGAUUUGGAAUCACGAAAUUUCGUUUAGAAAUGAGAGAGAUAAUGAUGAAACAUGAAUGCUAGUUCAUGAUGAUUCCCCUUCCACCAAAUAAAGCACCAUUAUGUCUAAUAAUGGCACCAAACAUUAUCAUGUGCUAGACCCACCCACUUAGCUAUAAUUUAUUGAAAGUGAUCUUAUCACUUAAAUAAAUUAUUUAAUCAAAUUAAUAAAUAGCUAAAUUAAUUAAUUUCGUAAUUAAUUAAUUAACCCCAUUUUGAUCAAAUCAAAUGGUUAAAUGUGGGCUCAUUUUGUGACAUGUUCUAAUGCUUUCUCUUAAUCCAUAUUAGAUCCAAUAAAAGCCCAAAAUUCUAAACCUAAAAAUGGUCUAGAAGUCCAUAAUCAUAUAUGAACCCGAACAUGUUCAAAAUGGUCAUUUUACGUGCUCGAUAUUACAUAAUGUUUAAUGGAGGAUUUACGAAAUUUAUUUUGUUCCUUAAACUAUUUAUGGAACAUCUAAAUUUCUAUCUUAAAUCAUAUUUAAGAUAUAUUUAUAUAUAUAUAUUCAUUCUCAAUGAAUUAUAAUAUAAAUAUUGAUUUUCCUAAAAAUAGAAAAUUUAACUUCUCAUUUUUUAGUAACUCCUUUUUCAUUUCUAUUUAGUGUGUGACUUUUUAGGUUCUUAGUUAUAAGGUAGUAGAACUAUUUUAAUGAUAACUCUUUAUUCAUUAAAUGAUGCUAAACUCUUUAGUCAUCAAUUAGAACUCUUCUAAUGACCUUAAGAUGCAUUGAUAAUACGCUUUACCAAUAUUGAUCUUAAGGUUUCUACAAAUCAUGAGUGACACCUAGCAGUAUAUCACAACCAUCCAAAUAACAAGAAUUGUUGGAUCUAUAGAACCUAUUCCAUUGUAUCUCUAUGUCUUGGUCUCUUCAUCAUCCAUGUCUAGAGAAAAGCACGGCUUAUGGUUUAUUAUGUUAAGCACUUAUGCUUUAUCUCAAAAAAAAUCUAAAUGAACUUGACAUGAAAAUAUAAUUUGAACUCCUUCAAAUAUAUUUCACCUUGGCCAAGGAUUUCUCAUGCCAAUUCAUAUUAUCUCAUAGGGACAUCCUUUUUGUAUAUUACAAAGUGAUGAAUUCCAUAUUGGCCAUGCACUAGUCUUCAUACAUAUCCAACCAUGACAGUUAUUGCUAGAUAUCUUCCGUGAUUAGGAAUCAAUCAUUAUGCAUUCACAUAUUAGAGAUGUCUAUGUAUAAGACAUCUGUUAUGCCUCAGGUCUAAAGACCAUUACUAAACAUAGUGUCUAAUACAAUGUAUAAUAAGCCAUUAACACUCAAGACCAUAUGGCUUACUAUAUUUGGUCAAGUUCAGUAAACUUGUUCUCUCAACAAGUACCUAUGUGUUUGACUUGACAUCUCAUGUCAAUGAUAUGAAACUCACCAUCCAUUUUAGUAUCACAUACCAUAAGGAGUCAUAACACAUACUAGUGUUUAUAGGAAUUUAUAAUGUCCAAUCAUAAAUCCACCACUAGGAACUAUUUUAGAAGUAUAGUACAAAGGAUACACGUUUCAUAUUCUCGACAAACUCGAGAAUGUGUUCCUUAACUAUUUUACAUCUUGGACUAUAUUCAUUAAAUUAAUUAAUGAAUAUUGAUAACUUUGCCAUUUUAUAAAUAUCAAAAUGCUAUUCAAAUACGAUAAUUCCCUAAACAAACAAACACCUGAUUGGCCUUUAGGGCAAAUUACUAACAAUAGCUGCUGCGUUGAUUUCUAAUGCGGUGGAGUAAUCGUCGUUAGAAUCUGAAUGAUAUGUCUAAGACGUUGCAUGCAUCAAGAAAAUUGCAGAUGAUUAAACCUUGCCAUCUAUGCGUUGUAUGAGGUUAUAGCAACUAUCUAUCUGGUCACCGUUUUAAAAGAAUAAGACAAAGGGAAAAAGAGAAAGAAAAGAAUGAUUCGACAAUGGCAUUAAAGUUCAACAUACCCCAAGAUCUUGUAAUAAUGCCAUUAAUCAUUCUCUAGCUAGGCUAGCCUUAGAGAAAAGUGAAACUGUUGCACAGGUAGAAUCAAACCCCUCAGAGAUAUGAUGAGUUCGUGAUGCUUGCAUUUUAUUGAUGCUGAUGAUUCGUUGAAUGUUUUAUGUUUUUGAUUUUUAAGUAUUCCGGAUCGAAGUUUGUGUCUACGCGGAAAUUGUAAAGGCAGCAUAUAAAGUACUCGUCGUUCUUUAGAUUUUAUUGAGUACACUUUUGUCACAUUUAGCGUAUGCUAUACACUACUGAUUUGCGCAUUGACAUAUAUCUUAUUUUAUCAUUUUGAAUGAAUUGCACGGCGAGGCUUAUCAACUUUGGAUGAAUCCUCCAAUUGUCACAGUCCAAGACUGGCUGCAGUGAGUGAAAAUUUACCCAUAUAUGUGCUGGCUAUUUUUAUUGGCGACGAAUUCGUUGUAGUUGGUCCAUCUUGCUAUUCUCGGACAAUAUUAGAGAAAAUAAUCAUAUUAUUUCGCGUGAUGUGACCUUCCAUAACUUAUCAAUUGAAUUACUGUAAAAUUAUUGUGUAAGUUUAGGCCCAAUGGCACUUUAGUUCAUCACAUGAUAGCCUGGAUUUAAAAGGAAAACUAUAUUGCAUUGCUUCAAAAAAAAAAUUUAAUGUUUUUAAUAUGAAUAUUUUUAACUAUAUUCAGUUAAAAUAAUAUAUUCUUAAUAUUAAUAUUCAUAGAUGAAAUUCUUUUGCGGAUUUAAGAAUAAAAUAUCAAAUAGUUUUAUUUUUCUUUUGUUGUGUAACUUGGACCGAAAAAGAAAAUGAGCUUAACAUGACCCUCCUUCCGGCACUAUGCAUGUUUUUCUUAUAUUGAUGACAGUGCUCUUGGUGCUUCUCAUCUGCUUCUUGCUUUGGUUUCAAACAAGUCUUUCUCCGUCGAGACAUUUAUUGUAAUUUGAUUUGGAGACAUCUGUCGUUCAAAUAUAUUUCAUAUGCAAGCUGUUGAUAAUUCUGCUUGAGAAAGCCUACAAAGCAGCUGUGUGAUGUAAUAGAAGACUAUAUAUGCAAACGGUCAUCAGUUUCUCUUGAAUUCUUUCUUGAGUUUCUUUGAAUUAUUUGUGAAUGAGUUCUUAAUCGGCUGCUGCUCUUCAGGAAAAGGAAAGUGUUGCAAACUGGUGAAGCUGAUCGAUAAAAGCAAUGUACCAUCUUUGCUGCCAUGGAUCGAUGCCAGUGAGUUUUUUUUAUUUGUCAAACUACUAAUGAGUUCUCCAUGCAUAUGUGUUUCUUCAACUUGAAGCGGCAUAUAAGACGAAAGAAGUGAUCUUUAAAGCAUUCUAUCGCAUUAUCCUUUCCUAUUAUAUAUAUCCAAUUGCUCCAAAUUAUUUGUAAAUUACUGAACACGAAUGCUGAUGAAUAAACUGAUCGCUCUAUGUAUGUAUGCACAUGCAUGGAGAAAUUUUAAGUCAGACAUUCUCAUAUAUAACUCUUGGUACCAAAUCAUCAAAUAAAUCUUGAAAUCAAAGUAAUAAUUAAAUACAAAUAAAUUGCUCGAAUUGUACAUAUAUCUGAAUCAUGUAGUGAAGAAAAUACAACAACAACAACCAAUGGCUCAAAUCCCCCAUCAACCUCUGGUCUCAACACUUUUGAGUGUCAGAAGCAUUACUCUGUUACCAGUUAACAAACAUAUAAUUAGUAAUUUGCCAUUCACUUCCCUUUUAGGCCUAACACAUUUUCUAUAAAGGAGCCACAGAGUGAACUCAGCAGGAAACACUCAAUUUCAACCUACGUAGGACCAGGAAUUUCAACCAAAAAAAAAGUGUGCAAUUGCUUAUCCUAUCCUAUUGCUACUAGAAAGAAAGUGAACAAUUAAUUUCAGUGAAUAAAUUAAAAAAAAAAAUUACUUCUGCAGAUACUCAAGCUAAGAACACAUUAACCCAUUAAAGACUCCAAAUUGCAUCAAACAAAUUGUUGUUAAACAAGUAAAACAAAGAAAGAGAGUUAAGGAAGCUGACCUAGUAGUAGGGGAGCUGAAGAAAGACUGCCAGUGAAUGUAAGAGAAAAUAAAAUGCAAGAAAUGGUGAAGUGCAGCUUUUCAUGUCAACUUGAAAUUGUUUCUUCUGUUUUUUUUUUUAAUCUUUUGGAUUUUUAAAACAAAGAAAAUGAGGAGCAACCAGGGAGAUAAAAAGGGCGCCAAGGCAACUGUGUGUUGGGUUUAGAGCCAAAAAAAAAAAGAAGAAUAAGACAUCGUGUUCUUGUGGAGACCAGACCUAUUACGUAACGUCCCCUUCAAUACCACUUGUUCCGUAUCUGGUUUUUUCUUCGUCUUUUACAUAUUUAUCCUGUGAUUUUACAAUAACUAAAUAAUCCCCCCAUAGUUUGCAAUUUUAUUCAUUUGAGCCCUACAGAUUUCAGUAAUAGGAAUUAUUAAGGGACGAGCGCAAAACAGAAACUCUGUCCACUACUGAUGAUAUAACAACGAACCUUUGUUUUUUUCUUUUUUUUAAAAAAAAAAAAGAGUAACAAAAUAUCAUUAGACAAAUGAAAAUAUUAUCUAACAUCACCUUACUGAUGAUAUGAAAAUAUGUAUGUAUGUAUGUAUGUAUAUACAUAUGUAUGUAUGUACAUAUAUGCAUACAUCUGUUACAUUUCAUCUUUGCACAAUUACACGUAAAAUUCCACUAAAAGAAACUCUUGAGUUGCUCGCAAGCUAUAUAUCAUUAUCCAUUGAAUUCUUACCACAUACAUCUCACCUUUCAAUCAAUCACAUAAUAAUCAAUAUACAUAUUGUAAGAAUUCAACAAAUGGAGAACAUAAUAUACUAUAAAAGCAUCCAAAAUUUUUCCAUCUCAAAUUAUUACUAAACUUCUUGAACAAGUUGAAGAUUGGGGGGAAAAAGUGCAAGAAGGAAAAGCAUUAUUCUACUAGCUUCUAGGUUUCUCAUUUGAACAGAAAAAUUAAAUAAGAUAUUUGUGUAUGGCUGUAGUACUACACGGUAUCUGCUAGAAAGCAAAAUACCUUCUGCUGAUUGCACAUUGGAAUGGGAAUAAGUUGGUAAAUAUAUAAGUUACAUAAAUUAUUUUGGAUAAUUCUGCUGGUGAAUUAAUUAUCUUAAAAUCACCCUUUUAUUUUUUAAAAAAUCUUAAGUUAUUUUUCAUAUAUCUUAAGAAGACAAACAAACUUUCAUCAACUCUCCUUUUUCAGCUUUUCCCUUCAAUAAUGUUAGAAAUUCUAACAUUUGAGUCCUGCUUGAUCUUAAUACUAUAUAUCACUCAUUUAUUAGAUGAUGAAUUUUUUAAAUUAUAAAGUUAUUUGACUACCAUCCAAUGAAUGAAUGUCACGUCAUUUAAAACUCAAAGAAAAGUAUUCUACUUCUUGCGGCAAUCAUGCCUUCAUUCAGACUAUGAACCAUUUCCUUUCACCAAAUUCUUCAUAAACAUUGAGUAAGUUUCAUGGUUGGACAUAGUUAGCUUCUGUUUCUUUUGGUGCGUUUAGGUGCUAUCAAGUGACGGCCGUAAGUAUGAUUGCAUUAUUGGGAAAUUUUACGAUUUGAUGGUUCCCCACGUUAUUGCCAAGAAAGUUCUCAUGUCGGAAGCAGCGGUUCUUUUCAUCAGCCUGAACCCGAACCUGUCGCUAUGGAUAACUCAGGUUUAACAUCAGCAGGAAACACUCAAUUUCAACAAAAAAAAAAAGUGUGCAAUAGCUUAUCCUAUCCUAUUGCUACUAGAAAGAAAGUGAACAAUUAAUUUCAGUGAAUAAAUUAAAAAAAAAAAUCACUUCUGCAGAUACUUAAGCUAAGAACACAUUAACCCAUUAAAGACUCCAAAUUGCAUCAAACAAAUUGUUGUUAAACAAGUAAAACAAAGAAAGAGAGUUAAGGAAGCUGACCUAGUAGUAGGGGAGCUGAAGAAAGACUGCCAGUGAAUGUAAGAGAAAAUAAAAUGCAAGAAAUGGUGAAGUGCAGCUUUUCGUGUCAACUUGAAAUUGAUUUUUCUGAAUUUUUUUAAGCUUUUGGAUUUUUCAAACAAAGAAAAUGAGAAGCAACCAGGGAGAUAAAAAGGGCGCCAAAGCAACUGUGUGUUGGGUUUAGAGCCAAAAAAAAAAAAAAGGAUUAAGACCUAUUACGUAACGUCCCCUUCAAUACCACUUGUUCCGUAUCUGGUUUUUUCUUCGUCUUUUACAUAUUUAUCCUGUGAUUUUACAAUAACUAAACAAUCCCCGUAUAGUUUGCAAUUUUAUUCAUUUGAGCCCUACAGAUUUCAGUAAUAGGAAUUAUUAAGGGACAAGAGCGCAAAACAGAAACUCUGUCCGCUACUGAUGAUAUAACAACGAACCUUUGUUUGUUUGUUUUUUUUUUAAAAAAAAAAGAGUAACAAAAUAUCAUUAGACAAAUGAAAAUAUUAUCUAACAUCACCCUACUGAUGAUAUAACAACGAACCUUUGUAGUUUCUGCCUGUUAAUAUGAAUUGAUCGGGAGUGUUUCCUCACUUAAAAAUUACGAAUUUACAAAAUAUGUACGUAAGUAUGUAUGUAUGUACGUACGUAUAUAUGUAUGUACAUAUAUGCAUACACCUAUGUAACAUUUACUUAUCCAUUCUUUUGAGUUUAAAUCUUAAUACACAUUUUCAUGAAAUUUUUAUUUUAUUAAGUAUACAACUACAUACAACUACAUUAAUGUAUAUAUUUUUUACAUAAGACAUGCCGUCCUAUUAUUCAUAAGUAAACAAUGUGUUGUAAAUAGUAUUCUGUGUUUUCUCAAAGUUGACUUUUCGUCUUUUAUUUUCAGACGCAGACGAUACGUCAUUUUGUAAUCUUCAAAACAUAUACACAGCAGAAUUGGUGUUAUCUGAUUUUGUGAUGCAAUAAGAUUUGCACUUCCUGUGCAUUCAAUGGAAUCAUUUCUUUGUAACUAAUUGGGUGGUGGAAUGGUGGUCAAAUCUCGAACGAAGACAGAUCUAUCAAACUCCAGAAACAGGGAAACCAUGCCACGCUAGUAGACAAUAUGCUAGUUUGAACAAACUUGUUUGAAUGGCAAAAACGACAUGACCUGCUGUAGUAUUAGUUCUUUCCCGAACCAACGGGUGAUUUGCUACGUUGGAUCAUGAAAAUUGAAAAAAAAAAUUAACCAAAAUAAAAAUUCUUAAGGAAUUAGUUAGUUAAUUGAUUGAUCGAAUUUAAUCUAAAUUUGAAAAUGAUAAGAUAAAUUUAAAUUUAUUAUUAUAAUUAUUAUUUUAAACUGGGGUGGGUUUAUACAAUUUGAGCGGUGGAAAUAUCACUACUGAAUUAUUAAAUAUACAGUGUAAAAUUUUGACCUUUAAAAUAUUCCUGUUUUUUUAUUUAGCAUCUAUAAGUUAAAAAAUUUAACAUUGUACCUCAAUAAUUAAAUACAUUUAACUUUAAUCUUCAAAUAGUUACCUACAACAUUUGGACCUAAAUUUUUAAUCCGAUUCGGCCCCUGAUCCAAGUGGGAAGAAGAUCAGGCUUAUACCUAUCACCAACGUAACAUCUUCUGGAAAAUAAUAAGAUUAUUCACCUGCAAUUAUGUGAUCAAACUAAUGGUAACCAAAAUAGAAUAGCGUUAUUUGAGUCCCCUUUCAGUUUCUUUAUCAUUUUUCUUUUCCUAUUUAUAAGCUUAAUUCGGUUCAAAAUCGGCUAAUUCACUUUAAUAAGUUUAUUGGUUUGAACGCUGUUUCCUUUCGUGCAUUUUGGUAUGCUAUCAAGUGACAGUCGUAUGUAUGGUUUGCAUAUAGCUGCUGCUGGGAAAUGUGAGGAUUUCAUGGCUGGCCGUGUUAUUGUCUUAAAUUAGAUGUGAUAAGCUGUUGCUUGGAGAUUCUGUCACCAAGACUUUGCUCACAUCAGAAGCUGUGGAACCUCAACCCUUCUCUAGAUAUCAUCUUUUUCAUUGUUUUAAAACUCUCAGGAUUAAACUUGAGUAAAUUUUUCGGUUGUCUAUAUAAUCAUGUAUUGAGUAAACUCUCAGGAUACUGAGCAGGCAAAUGCCAUAACUCGGUUUGUUCUUCAAAAACUUGUUUAAGAUUCUUGACAAAGCUGCAUGAAGUGAAUCUUGGGAGCUUUGAGGGUGAGAGAAAUUAGAGGGUGUAUAGGGAUUUGGGUUUAUUAGGAAGUUAUAUAUGUAUUUCGUCACUUAUCAUUAUCAUUUUUAUUUUCACAGAAAACCUUCUGAUGGUGCUAAAUUUUCAAACACCGGUCCGAUUCAAAACUUCAUAUUCCAAUUAUAUUCAUAAGACAAAUGGAACACUUUGAACGGCUAGUGUCCGAGCAUUGUAGUUUGAUUUAUUUUGAUGAAAGUACCUUUUGACAUUGAGAUUCUUUCAUGAUUUAAACAUUCUUUUUUAAACCAAAUUAUUAAAAAAAGUAACUAACAUAUAUUAUUUUAUUAGUGCUUUUUAAAUCAAAUGUACAUAGGAGAACUGUAAUUCUUAUCAAUCAAUUUUCCACUAAAUACACCUGCAACAAACUAUUAAUAACAAAGUGAUAGAAAAUACCUGAUUUUUCAUACCUUUUUAAUUUCUUUUGGUCCUAAAAUAUGGGCAUUUGUGUAAUAAUACGCCCAUGUGGAUCUCUAUGCCAUGAGUUUGAUAAAUAGCUAUCAAGGAUCACAUAUUAAGCUAAAAAUAUUUGGAGGACAAAAUUGUAAAACUAAAAGGGUGGAGCAAAUAUGGCUAUCUAGGAUUAAAUAGUAAGUCAACUAUAUUUAAAGGAUAAAAUAUUAAAACUUGAACUGUGAUAUUAAAAAUAUCUCAACUAUUGUAUUAUUAAACCAUAUGUUCUAAUAGUUUUUUUUUUAAGCUUCAAAAUGUUCAGAAUUUUAGAUUGAAACAUUUUCAUUUGAAAUUAUUUGGUGCAGUCACAAGUUAAGAAAGAAAAAGUUGUCCCAUUGGUCAUUUCACAAAAAUGAAAGCCCUGUAUAACAUGGACUUGAAUGGAAGCCCAAUUGUUUGUGUUUGAUUAAUUGAUUUCAAGCUUUAUCGAACCUUUGGAUCUGGAUAUUUUACUGGAGUAAUGAUACAGACACAAACUUUUGUACAAAUUUAUUUUGUACAAACUGAUGUGGCAUGAUAAGAUUGGUUGAAUUAAAUAUCACUUGCCCCACAUGAUUUGUUUUUAUUAAUUUAUAUUUUCAUUCAACCAAUGAAAUCAUGCCACGUCAGUUUGUAUAAAAUAAGUUUGUACAAGAGUUUGUGGCUGUAUCAUUACUCUAUUUUACUGCGGCCUCUAAGCGCUAUAAAUUUUUUUGGGGAUAAACAGCGCUUCAAUGAGGGCAUCUCCAGUGCUUAACACUAUUUUGGUGUAACACCAAUAUUAAAAAUAUAUAUUUUUCACACUAAAUUACUAUUUCAUCUCCAACCUAUUUACACCAAAUUUUAUACCAAAAAAAAUAUUUUUCUUUUUAUUCUUUUAAUUCUCAAGAAUUAAUUCAAUUAACACAAUAAAUUACUAUUAAUAUAGAUAAUUAAGUAAUAAGUAAUUUGAUCAAUUAACAAAAAAAAUAGAAAAUUAUUAAAUUUGCAUUUAAUUAACUAAAUUAGUACAUUAUGAAAAUUAAACAUUACAUUAAUAUAGAAAAAUACAAUAACAAUAAUAAUAAUUUUAUAUCUAAUAUUUUGAUGAUAUUGGAGGAUCUAAUAAUGAUCUUCCAGAUUAUUAAUUUUUUAUUUUUAACUUUGUAAUAUGUAAUAUAGUAAUUAAUGUUAUUGGCAUUUUAUUUUUAUUAUUAAUUUUUGUGUUGAAUAUUUUUUAUUUAAAAUAUUAGUAUAAUAUUCAAAAAUUAAAAAAAAUGAAAUAAAAAUAACAACAAAAAUAAUAAUAAUAAUAAUAACUUAAAAUAUUAUAUAAAAAAGGACAUAUAUGUAAAUAAGAAAAAGUAAUAAAGAUAUUUAGGACUCUUUUUUCCUAGCACCAAAUGAAUAGUGUUACACCAUAUUUGGUGCAAUACUAUUCAUAACACCAAUUUGCUGUUCGUUUUGAUGUUACAUUGGAGAAGCAUUUUACACAAAAAAUGGUGUAAAAGGUAGUUUGGUGUUAGUUUUGGUGUCACAUUGGAGAUGGCCUGGAAAAACACUUGAAAACUUUGGAUUUUUGGUUCGUCCAGUUACGGUGUUAUGCUAAUGGGGUUAAAAGUUCCGAUCCAAUGAGUUAGGAUGGAAUAUGAAUAUAUAAAUUCCAUAGCAUGUAAGGACUAGGAUUUGUUUGUUCAUAUCAAGAAAAAAAAGAUCCGAAAAUUUGAUGAUCAGAAGAUGAAGACACGUUUAUUACAGAGAAACAAACGACAACAUGAUACUAGUAGUAGUUAUUCUUUUCAUCCGAUAUAUUACAUGGUAAUAUCACUACUCGUUCCACUGGUUUCAUAUACACCAUCGAUCAGCAACAUGAUAAUUUUGUGUCAGUUCAUUUUGUUUGUAGGAAAGAGCAGUGUAUUUCUUAGAGCUUGAAAAUAAUAAAAAGAUUUUAAAAUAUAAAUUGCAUAUUUGUUUAUUACAGUUGUUUGGUCUAAUUUCUUAUGUAGAAUUGCUUGUCAUUCUUUGGACGUUAUUGAUUAUAUUUUUGUCAGACUUGGCGUAUAUAUUCACACAUACGUUUUAUUUUGUCAUUUUGUAGAACAUUUUUACACGCCAUAUUAUCACGACUCUUCUCUGUCUGAAUAAGAAGAAAGCAUAAUGCGACCCUCCAAUAGCUUAAUCUAUGGAAUUAUCGUGUUUUGUAAGUUGAGGUCCAAUGGCGUUUUGGCACAUCAUAUGAUAGCCCACUAUAUUGCGUUGCUUUACAAAAGAUUAAUAUUUUGAAAAUUAUUAGGUAAGUUUAGGCUCAGUGGCACUUUAACUCAUGAUAUGAUUGUCCAGGUUUUCGAGGACCACUAUAUUCUAUUGAUUUAAAAAAAAUUAAUAUUUUUUAAUAUUAAUAUUCUAAAUUAUAUUCAGUUCAAAUAUUAAAUAUUAAAUACAUUCUUAAUAUUAAUAUUCUUAGAUGAAAUUCUUUUGCUGACUUAAGAAUAAAAUAUUAAAUAAUUUUAUUUUUCUUUUAUUCUGUAACGUGGACCCAAUAAAAAAAGGAAAUGAAUUUAAUAAAACCUUCAUUCAAAAUCUUCAUUCCGCCACCAUGCAUGUUAAUUGUUUCCAAAUUCCAACCUCCGUACUCUCUUGAGGAGUUUCCCAUUCAUCAAUUAUUAUUUUUUAUAAUCCAUACCAUCCUGAUAUAAUUAAACACCAUUAAUAAUGUACCAACCUUUAAAUAGUAAUUAAUUUAUUUAUCUAAUUCACCAAAUGUUUUUUCCGGUACAUAUCUCCAUUGGUAUCAAGAAGAAGCAGAACCCAAAGAAAUGUUUCUUGCAUCUUCAUAUUUGUGCGAAUUCAUCCUUUCAUUGAGAAUAACCAUUUCCAGGCAGCAGUUGGCAAUCAAUUCAUGCGCACGUCGAUGCUAUUCAUAGAUACUAAAGACAAUGAUGAACCAAAGGUGAUAAAUCAUAAAUGCAUAAUUACCAAACCUCCAUCCUUCUCUCAUUAUGAUUUGAUUUUAAAUGAAUUAUUGCUUGGUAACAUUAUUUCCAACCAUUGCAAGACCCUUUUUUUUGGAGAAAUUUCAAUUGAAAGUGAAACCUUUAGACAUUUACCUAAUGAAGUUAGUUAAUCGGGAGGGUCGGAAAAAAAAAGUUGACGCAAGUCAAUACACAAUAAUCAAUUAAAUCCGGAGUGACUAAAACAGAGCCACUACUUUUUUAAAAAUAUCUGCAUUCAUCACUUUCUCCAGCAACUAGUCAGCUACACACGAAUCAAUUUCUCUCCUCGUUUGUCAUCCAAAAUUAUUCACCAAUACCAUGGCUGAUGCAAUCGUUUCCACUAUCUUGGAGCAGCUGAUUUCCUUCGCUGCUGAAGAGAUAAAACAACAGGUGAUCGAAGUUUCACCCCUCAUAUUACAAAUACUUCCAAUGAUUUUAAUUGGCUUUGUUUUUAUCAAAAACAUUAUAUAUUUUUGCUUUUUUUUUAUUUAUCUGAUAAUUUUAUAUUUUGAAAUUUGAAUUGAAUUUAAUUAAAAGGUGAUGUAGUAACCACUCAUUUUUAUUUUAUUUCAUUUCUAUUCUCGAUAACUAACCAUAUUUUGGUAACUUAAUAUGACUCUCGUACAUAAGAAAUGAUCAAAACCCACAAUUUUAACUAUGUAUAAAUAUUCAACGUUGAGCUAAGGUUUUGCAGAACAUUCAAGUUUAUCAAAUAGUCAUUAAUUUAAUGUUUUAGUAAAACCUCAACUCAUCACUGAAUCCCAUAGCUAUUACUUAGACUCUAUGAAAAAUUUCAUAGUUUUCUUACGUUCUUUCAGUUUGGUAAGUGAUUUCAUAUAAUUUCUGUUCAAUAUAAAUUUUAAUUUGGUUUCUUAUAUACUCUCUUUGCUGAAUUUGUAUCUUUUAUGAUUCUUAGAUUUUGGGCUCUAACAUUUUAGGAUUUGAUAGUCACAUUUUAUGCCAUGCUUAGAUUGAUUUUCAUGAUUUUUACUACCCAUUAAGUGACUUAGAAUUUGACAAAAGUUUGAAAGGAAAUCUGCUUCAGGAUUCUGUUUUAAUUGACCUUUUAGUGGAAAUAGGAUGCUUAUAACUUAAUGUGGAUGGUUCGUAAAAUCAUGAAAUUUGGAUAGAAUUAACUAGAAAUAUGUACAAGACUCUCCAUGAAGUCUCAUAAUUUUUCAUUCGGUCUGGGGUGGUACAGGUGAAACUUGUGGUUGGUGUUGAAAAAGAAGUGAAAAGCCUUACCAGCCAUCUUCAAGCCAUUCAAGUUGUGCUCGAUGAUGCAGAGGAAAAGCAAGUGAAGGAAAAAGCUGUUAGUCUUUGGCUGGGUAGGCUCAAGUAUGCAUCCUACGACAUUGAAGAUGUGUUGGAUGAGUGGAUCACAACAAGACGCAAAUUGCAAAUUGAGGGUGGCAUUGGUGAAAAUGCUCUUGUUGUUCCUCAUAAGAAAAAGAAGGUAUGUCUCUGCUUUCCCGGCUCUUGUUUUGGAUUCAAACAAGAAGAAUUUGGUUUCAAACAAGUCUUUCUCCGUCAUGACAUUGCCGACAAGAUCAAAGAAAUCAAUGAAGAGCUACAUGAUAUUGCCGCUCAAAAAGACAUGUUUGAUCUUGUUAAGAGUGGCAAUAAAAGUAGUGAAAGACCAAGGCGUGUACAGAGUACCUUCUUGAUUGAUGAGGAAGAGAUUUGUGGCAGAGUUGGUGAGAGGAAUGAACUCUUAAGCAAGCUGUUGUGUGAGAGUAGCGAGCAACAAAAAGGCCUUCAUAUCAUCUCAAUCGUUGGUAUGGGAGGCAUAGGGAAAACAACUCUUGCACAACUAGCUUGUAAUCAUGACGAGGUGAAGAGAAAGUUCGACAAAAUUCUGUGGGUGUGUGUAUCAGAAACUUUUGAGGAGUUUAGGGUUGCCAAAGCGAUCGUUGAAGUUUUGGAUGGUCGUGAAUCUCAUUUAGCUGAAUUCCAUUCUCUUCUUCAACAUAUUUAUGAAUCCAUUGCAGGGAAGAGCUUUCUUCUUGUCUUAGAUGACGUGUGGGAUGGAAAUUACUUGAAAUGGGAACCAUUCUACCGUUGUCUAAAGAAUGGUCUCCAUGGAAGUAAAAUUUUAGUUACCACACGUAAAGGGUCAGUCGCAUCCAUGAUGGGAUCCAUAGAUAUUAUCUCCGUUAAGGAGUUAGCUGAAGAGGAAUGUUGGUUGUUGUUUAACAAGAUAGCAUUUUUUGAUCGGUCCAUCGAGGAACGUGAAAAAUUAGAACAAAUUGGGCAAAGAAUUGCAGGCAAGUGCAAAGGUUUACCUCUUGCAGCAAAGACAAUAGGGAGUCUCAUGCGUUCUAAACAAACUGAAGAAGAGUGGAAAAGAAUUUUAAAUAGUGAUUUAUGGAAAGUAGAAGAGAUUGAGAAAGAUGUUUUGUCCUCUUUAUUGUUGAGUUAUAAUGAUUUGCCAUCUAGAGUAAAAAGAUGUUUUUCAUAUUGUGCUGUCUUUCCAAAAGACUACAAUAUAGAAAAAGACAAACUAAUCACGUUAUGGAUGGCUCAAGGUUAUCUUAGUGCAGAAGAAGAUGAAGAGAUGGAGACAGUAGGUGAAGAGUAUUUUGGCAUCUUAGCUUCUCGCUCAUUUUUUCAAGAGUUUAAGAAAAGUUAUGAUAAUCGAAUUAUAGAGUGUAAGAUGCAUGAUAUGGUACAUGAUUUUGCCCGAUUUGUAAGUCAAAAUGAAUGUUUUUCGAUGGCAAUUAAUGGUAGUGAAGAACCAAACGCCACAAACUCUCUUGAUGAGAAGGUCCGUCAUUUAAUGUUAAUCUUUAGUAUAGAGGCUUCAUUACCUGUUUCCACUUGUAGAGUUAAAAGAAUUCGUAGCCUCUUAAUUAACGAUAGUAGAUCUGAUCAUUCAUUAUUAAAUGGUGAGAUCCUAGAAGAAUUAUUUAGGGAAUUGACAAGUUUAAGGGCAUUAGAUUUUUGCAAAUCGUAUAACGCAAGUUGGUUUUCGACUCUGGAGAUUCCGAGAAACAUAGAAAAGCUGGUACAUUUAAGAUACCUUAAUUUGUCUUAUCAGGGAAUAAAGAAACUACCGGAGACAUUAUGCAAGUUGUAUAAUCUAGAAAAGUUAGAUAUUAGUUAUUGUUAUAAGCUAGAAGAAUUACCUGAAGGGAUUGGGAAGUUAAUAAACAUGAAGCAUUUACGAAAUAGAGGUACUAGUUCUUUAAGGUACAUGCCAGUAGGGAUUGGGAGAUUAACGGGUCUUAGGACCUUGGGUGAGUUCCACGUUAGUGCAGGAGGAGGUGUUGAUGGUAGGAAAGCAUGUAGGCUUGAAUCUCUUAAAAACUUGGAACACCUUCAAGUAUGUGGUAUAAGUAGACUGGGUGAUGUAUCAGAUGUGGGCGAGGCUAAGCGAUUAGAACUUGACAAAAAGAAAUACCUCUUCAGUUUGACCCUUGAGUUUGAUAAGACGGAAAGAGGAGGAGAAAGGAGGAAGAACGAGGACGAUCAACUUCUUCUUGAAGCCUUGCGACCACCCCUGGAUUUAAAGGAAUUAGAGAUACGGUACUACCGAGGCAACAUUGUUUUCCCCAGCUGGAUGGCGUCAUUAACCAACUUAAAGAGUUUACAUCUCCAUAGGUGCGAAAAUUGCGAGCAGCUGCCUCCUUUGGGAAAAUUGCCGUCCGUUGAAAAUCUCUACAUAUGGCGCAUGGAGAGUGUGAAGAGAGUGGGUGAUGAAUUUUUGGGGAUAGAAAGUGAUCAUCAUGACUCAUCGUCAUCUUCAUCAGUUACUAUUGCCUUCCCCAAAUUGAAAUCACUCACAAUUUAUUCGAUGCUGGAAUUGGAGGAGUGGGAUUAUGAGAUUACAAGAACAGGAAACACCGUCAUAAACAUCAUGCCACGUCUUUCUUCCUUGACAAUUGUUGAUUGCACCAAAUUAAAGGCACUGCCCGGCCACAUUCAUCAAACGACAACGUUGAAGGAAUUGAGCAUUUUUAUGUGUUGGCUUCUGAACAAACGUUACCGCAAGGGGAAAGGAGAAGACUGGCCUAAAAUAUCACACAUUCCCAACCUCCGUAUUGGGCUUUGACAAGUAAUUUCUUCUCUCACUCUGAUUUGCUUUGUUGUUGUUUUUAAUCUAAUUAAGAAGCGAAAAUAGCAUUUUGAAUCAAACUCUAUAUCAGAAAUCUGCAAUACUUACUUUCUAAUAUUCUGAUUUUCAUAUCCUAUGAAUAUACGAUUUUUAAUUUGUGAGAUGGGUAACGUUACUGUAAAAGAUUAUUAAUGCAAUAUGAGUAAUUCUUUUGCAGGACAAGUGACCUACAUUUAGUUUGGCUUUGGAGUUGAAUAAUAACCUUUCGUGGUCCCGACAACCAAAAAACAAAGCUUAAUUUGCCACAGAUUGAACGUAUUGCCAUUAUUGACAAUUUUCUGCACAAGCGUGACUGAACUUAGGUUGAUGUCAAAAGAGGUAAAUUAUUGGCAUGCCUGACUAUUUUGACCAUUACAUGAUUCAUAAGUUUACAUUAAUUUUGAUUUUGAGUUGAGUGAUUAGUUUUCUAGGUUUGCUUACUUUAACUGGGUGACCAAUUUCUUGUAACUAAAUGUAUGAUGUGAUGCAGGAAGCAGGGCAGGAUAUGAAAAGAGAAGCUUAUUAGAGGAAGGAUUGCCAGUAACAGAAUCCAAAGAAAAAGAAACCAUUUCGAGGCAGCUGUUGGCAGUUGGCAGUGAAUGGAGCCCCUUGAAAAAAUUCCCAGGCCGUUGCACUGCAAUUACGAUCAUCCUCGGCCUCAGGUAAUUUCUUCUCCUGCAUUUUUGUUAUUUGCUAUCAAGUGACUAUUUUAAGUAUGAUUGCAUUAAGCUGCUGCUGGGAAAUUUGAGGUUUUGAUGACUGCCCAUGCUAUUGUCAGAAGCUACGGUUCUUUUCAUCAGCCUGAACCUGGACCUGCCGCUAUGGAUAACUCAGAUUUUUUUUUUUUUAAUCAACUGCGUCAUCUUUUCCACUGUUUAGAAACUCUUAAGAUUAAACUUUAGUAAAGUUGUUUUAGUUAUCCAUGUAAUCAGGCUGAGGAUACUUAGCUGCCUAUUUAGGCAAAUGUCAGAAUUUAGUUUGUUCGCUGGGAACUGGUGUGGACUGGCAAAGGAUGAUGAGAUAGUUUUUUGAGUGAGUAAAUUUUGGGAGCUUGAGUGUAUUGGGAUUUGCAAUUACAAUCAUCGUCUGCCUCAGGUGAUUUCUUCUCCUGCUCUGUCAUUGUUUGUUCUCUAAUUCAAAAGCAUAAAAUAUUUCAAUCAAUUUUUAUGCCAGGAAUAUGCAAAAGUUUCUAAUAUUUUAUUUCCAUCUGUUACAAGAUCAAACUGAAGCAGAACUCAAGUAAAAGUAUGCUACUUCUUGCGGAAAUCUUGCCUUUGUUCAGAUUAUGAAACCAUUUCCAUGCAGCAAAUUCAUCCAAAAGUUUGAGUAAGUUUCAUGGUUGGACACUGUUGGCUUCUUUUUCUUCUGGGGUGCAUUUAGGUGCUAUCAAGUGACAGCUGUAAGUAUGAUUGCACUAAGCUGCCGCUGGGAAAUUUGAGGUUUUGAUGGCUACCCAUGUUAUUUUCAAGAAACUAUUGAUGUAAGAAGCUGUGGUUCUUUUCAUCAGCUUGAACCUGAAACUGUCGCUAUGGAUAACUCAGGUUUUUGUUAUCAACUAUAUCAUCUUUUUCACUAUUUUGAAACUCUUAAGAUUAAACUUUAGUAAAGUUGUUUCAGCUAUUCAAAUGAAAAACUCAUUGAUUUGAGACUUCCUUCAUUAUUGUUUCUAAUUACAAUGCUAACGAUCCAGAUAAAAUAAUAUUUAAUCGGCGAAGGUGUCCCUUGGAAGUACAUCCUUCUUUUUCUUUUAUUAUAUAAAUUCUUGCAAUGAGCUUAGUGAAGCUGUUGUGCUAAUCAUGCCACUGCAUAAUUUGGCCCCUAAUGUGGGUACUCUGUUACAUUGUUCUGCAAAUUCUCCAGAAGUUCAAAUCAAUAAAUUUUCUAUUAGCUCUAGUGCUUUGACCUAAAUGCUAUUCUAUAUUCUGAUUACAAUGUUUUAACCUUUAAAUUAACUACCCCUAGAUGUUGGAUUUUCUAGAACUUCAAAAUGAAUAAUGGAGAAAGAUCCCAUUAUCGUUAUUGCUAUAAGAAAUUGAUUUAUGCAUCCAAAGAUACAUUAUAUAUUUCUGUGUCUCUAUUUAUAGAUGACAUUUAAGCAUCCAUAAACCGUCAGACAGAGGAAGGGGGUUCAGUGCAAAGAUUAUGUUGACCUAGGGUUGACUGCAUAAUGUCACUUGUUCGCAAUCUAUUAUUUAUUUUAUAUUUUGAAGAAUUUAAUGGGUAAUCCUAAUUGUUUGUUUUGGCAGGUAUGUGUUGUUAUCUCCUUCUAUCUUACAGUCGUACCUAAAUAGCAUAGUUUCAUCUGUGUUACCAUGUGAUGUACAUAAUUUCACAUUUGCCUCAGAUUAAGCUUAAUUUCCCACAGAAUAGAGCUGUCGCGACUGGACUUAGAUUGAUGUCCAAAGAGGUAAAUUAUUGGCAUGCCUAGAUAAUUUGGCCAUUUCCUAAUUCAUAAGUCUACAUUAAUUUUGAUUUUGAGUUGACUGAUUUCUUUUCAAGGUCUGCUUCCUUAACGGAGUGACCAAUGUUUUUCAACUAAAUUUAUCAUAUGAUGCAGGAAGCAGGGCAGGAUAUGAAAUCAGGAAGCUCAUUGGUGGAAGUAUUGCCAGUAGCAGAACCCAAUGAAAAUGAAACUAUUUCAAGGCAGCAGUUGGCAGUUGCAAGUGAAUGGAGGCCCUUGACAAAAUUCUCAAGCGGUUGCAAUGCAAUUACGAUCAUCCUCAGCCUCAGGUAAUUUCUUCUCCUGCUCUGUUUUUAUUUGUUAUCUAAUUAAAAAGCAUAAAGUAUCUUGAAUCACUUUCUGUAUCUGGAACAUAUGCAGCAGUUUCUAAAAUCUUCAUAUGAGUGUAAUGAUGGUAAUUUCUGUUUUUUGUCUGUCAUUGAAUGUUAGACAACUUUCAGUGAGACUCUUGAACCGAGACAUUUUUGACAAAUGAAGGACAAUUGCUGAAGAGUGGGAAUGGUGCUAGAUUGGGGAAUAAAGACAAAGGAGGUAAAUUAUUUGCAGUUUAUUCAGCAUUAUUUGCUUUGGACCAGCGCCUGAUUCACAAGUCUCCAUAAUUUGGCUUUUGACCAGUUGUUAAUAAAUUUUUUUAUUCCAUUGGUGCUAAAUGUACACGUGAAGCAGGCAGAGCAGGACUGUGGAAAUGAGAAGGUUUUUAGUGAAAGCUUAAACUCAGGUAAUUCUAAAAAGUACAUGUUUUUGCUGAUUUAUCUAAAUCAGGAAAUUUUAUUUCCAUCUGUUACAAGAUAAAACAGAAACAGAACACAAAGAAAAAUAUUCUACUUCUUGUGGCAAUCUUGCCUUCAUUCAGACAAUGAAACCAUUUCCUUUCACCAAUUUCUUCCAAAAGUUUGAAUAAGUUUCAUGGUUGGACAUAGUUAGCUUCUUUUUCUUUUGGUGCAUUUAGGUCCUAUCAAGUGACAGCCAUAAGUAUGAUUGCAUUAUUGGGAAAUUUUAGGUUUUGAUGGCUCCCCACGUUAUUGCCAAGAAAGUCCUCAUGUCAAAAGCUGCGGUUCUUUUCAUCAGCCUGAACCCGAACCUGUCGUUAUGGAUAACUCAGGUUUUUGUCAUCAACUAUAUCAUCUUUUUUACUGUUUUGAAACUCUUAAGAUUAAACUUCAGUAAAGUUGUUUCAGUUAUCCAUGUAAUCAGGCCAAGGAUAUUUAGCAGCUUAUUUAGGCAACUGCCAGAAUUGAGUUUGUUUGCUCGAAACUUGUAUGGUGACAAGGAUACUGGCAAGGAUAGUGAGAUAGUUUUUUGUGUGAGUGAAAUUUGAAAGCUUGGGUGUUCUGGGAUUUGCAAUUGCAAUCAUCCUCUGAGUCAGGUGAUUUCUUCUCCUGCUCUGUCUUGAUUUUCUCUCUAAUUGAAAGCAUAAAGUAUUUCAAUCAAAUUCUGUACCAGGAGUACAUAAAAGUUACUAAUAUUUUAUUUCCAUCUGUUUGCAUUGAUAACUCGGCAUAUGUUCUAGUUAAAGAACAAACAGAAACAGAGUUCAGGAAAAAGUUUCUUCGGCCACCAUAUUUGAAAAUGAAACCAUUUCCAGGAAGCAGUUGGCAGCAAAUUCAUAUGGAGUGUAGACAAUGAUGAGCAAAAAGGUGAUUCGCAAUUUCUUUUUUUUUUUAAGUGAAAUUAUUUGUUAGAUUGAAGCUGAUAUUGUAAGAAGGCCAUUGAGCUAACCUAUGUCGCCACUUGCCUAGAUUGCAGGGGGUCAAGACUCAAAAGAAGCACUGAAAUUUAAAAAGCAUGGAAUAGUUCUUUUGCCAUGUGUCAAUUAAUGCAAGUUUGAAUAAGUUUAUUGGCUGAACGAUGUUAGCUUCUUUUCCUUUCGUGCACUUUGGUAUGCUAUCAAGUGACAGCCGUAUGUAUGGCUUGCAUAUAGCUGCUGCUGGGAAAAUUGACGAUUUCAUGGCUGGCCGUGUUAUUGUCUUAAAUUAGUUGUGAUAAGCUGUUGCUUGGAGAUUCUGUUGCCAAGACUUUGCUCACAUCAGAAGCUGUGGAAUCUGAACCCUUCGUUAUGUAUCAUCUUUUUCAUUGUUUUAAAACUCUCAGGAUUAAACUUGAGCGAAUUUGUUCGGUUGUCUAUAUAAUCAUGUAUUGAGUAAACUCUCAGGAUACUGAGGGUGAGAGAAAUUAGAGGGUGUAUAGGGAUUUGGAUUUGUUAGGAAGUUAUCAUUUUUAUUUUUAUUUUUAUUUUUUUCCCAGAAAAUCUUCUGGUGGUGCUAUAUUUUCAAACGACAGUCCGAUUCAAAACUUGAUAUUCCAAUUAUAUUCAUAAGCUUCUAUAGUUAUCUUCAAAAAGACAAAUGGAAGGCUUUGAACGGCUUGGGUCUGAGUAUUGUAGUUUGAUUUAUUUUGAUGAAAGUACCUUUUGACAUUGAGAUUCUUUCAUGAGUUAAACAUUCUUUUUAAAACCAACUUAUUAAAAAAAAAAGUAACUAACAUAUAUUAUUUUGUUAGUGCUUUUUAAAUCAAAUAUAAAAAAGAGAACUGUAAUUCUUAGCAACCAAUUUUUCACUGAGUACACCUACAACAAACUACUAAAAAAUAAAGUGAUAGAAAAUGCCUGAUUUUUCGUACUUUCUAAUUACUUUUGGUCUUCAAAUAUGGCGGUUUGUGUAAUAAUAAGCCCAUGUAUAUCUUUAUGCCAUUAGUUUGAUAAAUAGCUAUCAAGGAUAACUUAUUAAGCUAAAAAUAUUUGAAGGAUAAAAUGAUAAAACUAAAAGGGUGGAGUAAUAUAGUUAUUUAGGAUUAUAUAGUAAGUCAACUAUAUUCGAGGGAUAAAAUAUUAAAACUUGAAUAGUGAUAUUAAAAAUAUCUCGACUAUUAUACUGUUAAACCAUAUGCCGUAAUAAUAUUUUUUUAGAGCUUGAAAAUAAUAAAAAGAUUUUAAAAUAUAAAUUGCAUAUUUGUUUAUUACUGUUGUUUGGUCUAAUUUCUUAUGUAGAAUUGCUUGUUAUUCUUUGGACGUUAUUGAUUAUAUUUUUGUCAGACUUGGCGUAUAUAUUCACAUACGUUUUAUUUUGUCAUUUUGUAGAACAUUUUUACACGCCAUAUUAUCACGACUCUUCUGUGUCUGAAUAAGAAGAAAGCAUAAUGCGACCCUCCAAUAGCUUAAUCUAUGGAAUUAUCGUGUUUUGUAAGUUGAGGUCCAAUGGCGUUUUGGCACAUCAUAUGAUAGACCACUAUAUUGCGUUGCUUUACAAAAGAUUAAUAUUUUUAAAAUUUAUUAGGUAAGUUUAGGCUCAGUGGCCCUUUAACUCAUGAUAUGAUAGUCCAGGUUUUCCGUUUUCGGAUCGAGUUCACUUUAACUCUGGUCCCGUGUUAUUAAAAUACCAAUUUCGGAUCGAGUUCAGGCGCCAGAACAAUUUUCUAGAACCUGGCCCGAGUUUAUUUUUGGGCUUGGGCCGGACGACCAAGUCCGCCCUGAUUAAAAAUUUGAGACUUUUCGAGGUUCACAGGGAUUCUGGCAUCCCUAGUCGAAUCAACACCGAUGUGAUCUACACAACCAGUGUACAUACCAUUUGAUACUGAAUCACCAAAUACUUAGAUGUAAUCAGCAACAAUUACAUAUAUAUAUAUAUAUAUAUAUAUAUAUAUAUAUAUAUAUAUAUAUAUAACUAAUAUUAAAAAUUGUUACUUUAUUAUACUUUUCUUCAAUGUAUGCCAUCUUUUGGGCAGGCAUGGCAAUAAAUGAGCAAAAAUGAAGACAACACACACAUUACACACACACACACACACACACACAGAGUGUAAUUGAAGUAUCAAACUGGCAAGGACACAAAAUGAAUUUAAUAGUAUAUAUUAUCUCAUAAUGGCAAAUCUAAAAAACACAAACUUAUUUAACAGCUAGCAAAUUUAAAAAUCACGACAGCAUCAAAAAUUGCGCACACGAAUUUAAUUAAGAGGGACGUAAAAUGGAGUUGAUAUGAUCAGCAAUGUUUUGGGCAUCAGCAGCAGCUCCAUAGAGUCCUUUCCUUGACAAUCCAACGCAGUAUAAACCAUUCUUCCCUUUCCAAUGAUUUGGGUAACUUUGCUUUGGGAUUCCAUCAUCGUUCAGCAUAGAAUCAUCUCCCUACUCAACAACAACAACAACAACAACAAGAAGAAAAUAAAAAAUAAAAAAAAUCUAAGAUUGAUUUGUACUUUUUGUAACCAUUAACGCGAAAGAGUUACAUAUUAUUAUAGAAACAAUAAAAAAAUAAAAUGGUAAAAGGCGAUUUGUUUUGGGGGGGAGGCAAAGUGAGAAUCGUCGUCUUUCCAAUAUAUAUGUAUAUAAAUAUUAUAUUACCUUGAGCCAAACAUUUGUUGAUCUCUUGAAGCCAGUACAGAAAACAAUCGAGUCAAAGUGAUGGGAGUGUCCAUUCUCAAAUACCACCUGGUUGCCUCUAAUGCUCUCCAUUCCCGGCAAUACCUGUGCAGGAGGAAUUUUAAAUUAUAUCACAAGUAAUACAUCAAUCAACUAACUUAGUUAUAUACUACAUGUGUAAUUAAAAAAUUAAUAUAAUUACUGCUUACAUAUUAAUUUUUCAUAAUAUAUAUUUACCUGUGUGUGUAUAUAGGGAGAGAGAGGAUGGCCAGCCAGGUCAUUCAAAAAAUAAAUAUCUGAUCACCUUGUAAUUAAUUACCUGAAUCUGUCCAGACUUGAUUUUCUCACAGGUGCCGACAUCGAUAACCGGGUAUUUUCCAUAAGCAGCUUUCAUGAAAAAAGGACCCUCCCUGGGCUUGUAGAUCCCAUACUUGCUCAAAUCUCCAUAAACAAGCCUGCUAAGCAUCACCAUCAAUGUGUCGACCCCGCCGCAUGGAACAUACUUCAAUAAAACUAACCCCAAAUACACCAUCUCCCUCGACAGCACAUGAACCUGAUUAAUUAAUUAAUGGAGUGGAUAGAUAUAUAGAAAUUAAGUAAAAAAAAUAUGUGCAUGCCAAGUGAAAUAAUAAUGAAUUUACCCACCGGGCUACGGAUAACUAAAGAGGUUUUGGCGGCAUGGUUGGCUAGAUCCAGUGCAAUUUUCAUGCCAGAAUUUCCAGAGCCAACGACCAACACAUGCUUGCCGCCAUAAGGUUUUCCAUUUUUAUACUGAGUGGAAUGAAUAACUUCUCCAGUCCCGGUGGCACUACUGCAGAAAGAACUCAGUCCUCGAACAUCCGGCGUAAAAGGGUUGCUCGUUUCCCCACUUGCAACCACUAGAAACCUCCCGGAAUAAUAUUCCUCAAUCUCACGGCCGGGACUUAGUAAGUUGCUAGCCUUAACGUUCCACAUAUUGGUUGCCUCGUCGUAGCUCGCCGAUUCAACGGAUCUUUGGUACCGUAUUGACGGACCGAUGUUGAAAUGGGAAACGUAGUGAUCCAAGUAUUCAAUGAAUUGGGCUCUGGAGACAAACAUCGGAUAAGAAGAAGGGAAUGGCAGGUGAGGGAGCUGACAAAAUUGCUUUGCUAAGUGCAGACGUAGGCGAUCGUAGGAAUAUUUCUUCCAGAUGGACGCGUAACAAUUUUCUCUUUCGAGGAUUACGUAAGGGAUUGAUAGAAGGCUAAGGCAGGCCGCCGUCGCCAGGCCGGACGGUCCUGCCCCUACUAUUAUCACUUCUACUCCCGCCGCUUGCUCUUUCAUUUCUUCUUUUUCUUCUUCUUCAGGUUAAUUUUGAGUUAAGUUGAUUGUUAUUGCCCAUCUGGGGGUGCUUGUUCUAUUUAUAUACUGAAAUCUUUACGUUAUAUGUACGACUCCAAUCAAUUUUUAUUUUGAUACUAUUGAAGAAGACGUAUGUUACAAGACACUCGAUUCACGAACUCCACGUGGUCGGACUUUAGAGGGAAAAAUUGUGGUGUAAUUCUGGUACCGUAUCACAGUUGCACUCAAUCGUUGGAUUUUGAUAGACCCCACUCAUCUAAUAAAUCUAACGGUUGGAUGCAACUGUGGUACAGUACCACAGUUGCAACGUAGCCGGACCUUAGAGGAAAAAAUGGUGGUGUAAAUGUGUUACCGUACCACAGUUGCACCCAAUCGUUGGAUCUCGAUGGACCCUAUCCAUCUAAGUGGAUCCAACGGCUGAAUGCACCUGUGACACAAUACCACAGUUAUACCGUAGUCGGACCUAUAUAUAUAUAUAUAUAUAUAUAUAAAGUGGUUUCCGAAAUAUUUUAAAGUGCAAGAAAAGUUCAACAAAAUUUUAAAACAAUAGAAUUUAAGAAGUUUAAAACUUAAAACAAUUAAACUGCAUAAUUUAUGUUUUUUUUUCAAAUGUUUCUGCACUAUAAAAUUUUGAUUGAAACCUCUCUGUUUGUAUAUAUGUUCGCUGCCACCCCCACCGUUUUAAUUUUCUCAUUCUAUGUGAUAAAUCAAUAUUUUUAUACGUCCUUAGUGUUACGAGAAAAACUUUUUACGUAGGACCAAAUGAUUAGAGUACUACCAAUUUAACAGAUUGAUUGAGGUAAUAAUUAAUCAUGCACAAGUCUUUCUCCAAAGUUACCAUGCUGACUAUAAUAUCUUCUUAAGCGUGCAUUUUUUUUCUUCUCUUUAAUACAAAAAAAAAAAAGAAGUAUUACAUUUGCAUAUAAAGUAACAUUAUCUAGGUCAUGUUACUAUUAAGGAAAAUGCUAUUUGCAUAUGAAAAAUAAAGUAAGGAUACUUUUACACAAAGACAAAAUUAGUAAAAUGAAUAAGUUUGUUUAUAAUGAAAUGUUUCUUAUUUUUAAUGACCUUGUAUAAUUUUAUGUAUAAUAUUAUGUACAAAUAAUAUUACCUACCAAAUGGUUAUGCUACCUCGAAUGGACGCAAAAUUAUUGGAAUAUAUUAAAACCAUAAAUUGUAUAACUUUUUUUUUUUUGGUUUAUUUAAUUUUGGCUUAAGAGAGAAGAAACAGAUUAGCAUGCUUUAUUUGAUUGAAAAAGACAUUGAAAAUAGCAUUCUUUGUGUUUCCACAAAUGAAGUCAUCCUCCCAGAUUUCAGUUUAUUUGGAAAUUUGACAUCCACAUGUUCAUUUGGAAUUUCGACAUCCACAUUCAACAAUCCUUCAAAGGAAAUAAGUUGGAAGAUGAAUUUCCCUUUCUCAAUAACUACCAUACCUCAUCAAAAUUGAAGUCCCAACUCAUAAUAUAUGACGUACGGUCCAGAAAGACUCAACCAUAUACUUGUAUUCUUGAAUGGAUAAUUUUGCCAGCAUGUUUCCUUGUUUGUUGGGUCAAAAAUAAAAGAAAUUAGGGAAGAAGAAAAAAAGCAAAUUGAAUUUGUCAAUGGAAACGUAAAGAUUACUUGACGUUGCCAAUAAGGUAUUUGAUUGACAUCUCAACUCUGACGAACGGCACUCGAAAUUGUAAUGUGAAAACACAGAAAUGAAGGGCCAAAUUAAUUAAAAGUAAAGAGGCUUUUAUGAUGUGGUGCAAGGCUUUAUGAAAAAAAUAGUCAGGUGAUAUUCUGCUUAACUAUAUUAUUGUUAACGACAUGAUUGGAUUGGGUCUGCUUAACUAUAUAAUAUUCUGCUUAAGAAUUAAUGAAAUUAAUAAAAUAAUUAAAUAUUAUUAAUUUAAUCAGGUGAUAUUCGUUUUGGGUUUAUACAACCUCGAUCGAGUCGAUGCUUCUUGAAGUCGUCUUGAAUUGGGGGGAUCCAGGACGAACAAAUAUGAAGCAACAUGAAAGGCGAUAACGACUCUCACACACAAAAUCAGAUAGUAUAUAUAGGAGUAACGAAAUCUCUUUUCUAGAUAAAGUAAGAGAUAGGUUAAAUUGAAAAAUAAUAAUAAUAAUAAUAAUAGCACAGUGAGUGACUUCAUGAAUUUAUGAGAUAACCAUGUAAUGCAUCAGAACUUGAAAAAUAAAAAUCAUUAAAAAAAAUUAAAAAUCAAAGUUAUGCAUUUUUGUAAGGGUGUUUUAUGUGAUAAAUACACGUUUAGUCUCUAUAUUUUGGGUUAAGUACUCAUUUAGUCCUCAUAUUUUGAAAAACGUCUCCAAGAUUUGUUAUGCUUUUGUCCUUAUAUUUUUCGUCUCAACUUUUACAAAAACAUCCUUGCGGGGCAUUAAUAAAGGGGAGAAAAUAUUAAUUUGUCAAAUUAACCGCAAAAGUAAACAAAAAUUAAUGUAAAAAUUUCUUACUAUUAUUUUUAUUUUUAAAGUUAAUUUGAUAUUAGUUUGGUACUUGUAAAGAAAAUUAUUGUAAACUCCUACGCCCAUCGGAGAUCCUCCUUUCUUCUCAGAAUUAUACAAAAUAGUAUUAAAAUCUCCACCUAACAGCCAAGGACCCCGGACAGUCAAAGCUAUCUUUGCCAACUCAUUCCAAAGAUGUCUCCUGAUGCUUGGAUUAGGACUAGCAUAGAUUGCCGUCAUCCAAGUUAGCAGGUUAUUGUUCCUUGAAAUCUUGAGGUGAAUGAACUGAGUAUGAUUCCCCACUAUCUCAACUUCAAAUAAAUUUUUCCAAAGGAUCCAAAUGCCGCCCGAAAAACCCUCAGCUUCCACUCGGUGAGACUUGUCAAAACCACUAUUCUUGAUGAAGUUAUCCGCCUUGGAACCACUGAUGCGAGGCUCCAUUAACACCACCAUUACGGGCUUGUAAUUAUUAACCACAGCAGAGAAAGAACGACGAAAGGACGGUGAAGCAGCACCUUGAGCAUUCCAAAACAUAGUUGUAAUACACAUAACAAAAAAAUUUAAAAGGAGAGCCAGGGGAAAAACUAAGACAGCCCUAUGGCUUCAGCUUCAUCAUCCAUGAAGGUGUCAGGAACCCCUGAAUUAUCUUCAUCAGUUAAAGGCACACUCCUACCCGCAACAUCUGAAUCAAGCUCCCUAAAAGGUCCCCCCCGGAGAUUAAGACUAUUCAUGCCAUCCUCAUCGGGGGGCUCUUUAUCCAAAUUCUGGGCCAAAACUUCCUUAGGCAACUGUUCAUGGUGAGACCGAGAAUGAGGAAAUUGAAGCUGAGGGUUAGGGAAAGAAACUGCACUAUGGUUUAACGGGUUAAGGGUUACAUGAACAGGCAUCGGGGAAGCAGCCAUUGUGUUGGGAUGGGCAUGCAUGCCAUGCAUGGAGCUACAGGGAACAUCAGAGGUAGCACUUGGUUCAGAUGUGGUAAGACCCUUGAGAUGUGCGUGCAUGCCUUGCAUGGCUAGGGUAGGAUUAUGUGGUUGGAAAGGCUGGCCACGGCUAUGAUUAUUGGGGUUGAUAUUUUCAGCUAUGGAGUUGUUUGCCCGAACGGAAAUUUUCUUGGUAGGAUAUUUUCGUAUAAAGUGACUCACUUGUUUCUUUUUCAUGCUCCUGGAUUUUGGGGCUAAAGUGUUGGGAUUUUCUAAUGUUGGCUCUGGAAUUUCCUGAUGGAUUACCGAAGUGUUGUCCUGAUUUUGUGGUGCAAUUUCCUCAUUCAUCACUUUGCCUAAGACAUCAAACCGCGACUCAUGAACAUUUAGCCCCUGUUGAUCCUGAACCGAGACCUUAGGAGAAACCCUUUCUGAAACUCUACGGGGGCGAGGUUUACGGGUUACCACCAUCCACGAUCCAAACUUAGACGCAUUUCGGUUAGAACCCUCCUCCACUACAAUAUCCCGGUUUGCAGCAACAGGACAAGAAGUUGGCAGUUCAGCUUCCACAUGCGUGGUACCACCGUCAGGGCAAGCAUCUUGAUAAUGGCCAAACUUGCCACAGUAAAAACAAAUCAAGGGCAGAUUUUCAUACUCCACCUUUUGGAUUCUUCCCUCAAAAUUAAAUUGAGAAACCAGCGGCUUGUCAAGGUCUAGUUGAACCGCAAUGCGAGCAAAUUUUCCCCUUUGGGCUGCGGCAGUGAGAUAGUCUAUCUUAAUGACCGGGCCAACAAUUUGCCCUAACCGCCGUAUAAUAGUUUUAUGAUAAAAGUGAAUAUUCAUGCCAGACAAACGAAUCCAAGCCACAAUACGAUCAACUCUAUUCGUGAUAGCAUCAAACUCCGGCGUCCAUUGCUGAACAAAAAGAUAAUGCCCCAUGAUGGUCCACGGCCCCUCAGUAAGAGCAUAUUCCACAUCUCCCUCGUUCUGAAAACGGAUCAGGUAAUAGUCAUUAGCUAAGUCAAUGAUGGAGAAACCCAUUGUAGAACUCCAGAGUCUCUUCAAACGCUCGCUGAUAACUCUAUAUCCCAGGUUUCGUCCAAGAGUUUUAACGACAACUGAGUUUGCCCAAGGUUUUGCUAGUCGUUCGUGGACCCUCUGUGAGAAAGCAAUAUAGGGCAUAGAUUCGUCCUCCUUACAACAAACAUCCUCCUCUUCCAGUUCCCACUCGUCCCUCAUGCCAAAAACCAUAUUUGCAGAGCCCCCAUUCGCCUCCAUGGCGAUAUCACGGUAGGAUAAGGGCUUAGGGUUAUCUCCAUCAGCCCCUUCAGCCCUAAACUUUGUCUUUUUGGUGAAUCGGUCACUCGCCAGCGGCGGUGGAGAAGCUUUCGCGGAGCUCAUUAGGGCACGGAUUCUUUGUUUUGGACUCACUCAAAAUCUGGGCGUUUCACUACUCAUUCGGCUUACUUGGCUUUUUCGAAUGAUACCCCCAUGCAUGAUGACAGGCCUUGGCGGACGGUUUGGAGUUGGAAGGGUCCCCAAAGUGUGAGGAUCUUCUUAUGGCAAGCGUUUCACAAUCGUCUGAAAACAAAGGCCGAGUUAGUUCGUCGUCACAUCCCGGUAUCAACCUCCUGCGAUCGGUGUGAGGCUGCGACUGAGGAUGCUUUGCAUGUCUUGCGGGACUGUGCUUUGGUUAAGCGUUUUUGGCUCCUGAUUCUCCCAGAAAAUAAACGACAUCAAUUCUUCAAUUGGCGGCUCCAUGAUUGGCUUCGUAUGAAUCUGGGGAUCGUCGGAGGGCUAGGGAGUGUUUCUAAUUGGGCCAUCUUCUUUGGCAUUGCUCUCUGGAGACUUUGGUUUUGGAGGAACCAAUUCAUCUUUAAUCAAGUUUCUAUGGAUCCGAAUGUUGUUUUAAUGGAUGUUUUUCUGCGCACUGCGGAAAUGCAAAAGAUUCAUACUCAUCCGCUUACCUCAGGACAUACGAGGGUGAUGAGAUGGAUCUCUUGGAAACCUCCAGAUUGGCCUUGGUGCUCUUUGAACACUGAUGGUGCCCAUAACAGGGAGGGAAUUUCUACUGCUGGGGGAUUGAUUCGCGAUCACAUGGGUCGCUGGCUUAGUGGUUUUGGGAUGAUGAUUGGUUCCUGCUCUGUUACAGUAGCGGAGCUUUGGGGUUUGUAUCAAGGGUUGCAACUAGCUUGGAAUUCUGGUAUAAGAAAGCUUAAAGUGGAAAUAGAUAGUCGUUGUGUGCUGCAGUUGGUGACCAAGCCAACAUUGGAAAUCAAUCAUUAUGCUUCUCUGAUUCGAGCUAUCAAGGAUUAUUUAAAGAUGGAUUGGCAAGUUUCUGUCUCCCAUAUUUACAGAGAAGCUAACUUCGCAGCGGAUUAUAUGGCGAGCCUAGCUUUCUCCAUCCCUCUUGGUCUUACUAUUUACCAUACUCCCCCGUUGGGAGUUAGCCCUUUUUUGUUUAAGGAUGCUUAUGGGAUUGCCCAUUCUCGCUCGGUUGUUCUUUAGCUCUGCUUAGAGCCCUUUUUUACCAAAAAAAAAAAGAAAAUUAUUGUAAAAAUUGUUGUAAGAAUAUUUAGCAGUUAGAACUAAAUAGAAAUUUAAUUCAAAAUAUAAAAGGAUUAAAAAAAAAAUUCACCUAUAUUAUUUUUAGUGUUUUUGUAAUUCGAAGUAAAGCAUAUUUCAUGCUGUUAAAUCGGGUUGACGAUCCCAUCGGAAAGAAAAAGAAAAGAAAUAUGAGGUGGAUGAUGACUUGCAUUCUAAGUCAAAGGAAUAUGCUAAGUGCUAAGAUUUGGUUGUUCACUGGACGCGCUCAAAUUGGUACUCUUUUUUUUUUAUCAAUUCAACGAUUCAACCAACGGCAGCAUGCAUUGCAUGCACAGGUUCAGAUACCUGCAACUCACUCCGGCCCCCACCCGAAAAAGCCAAACCCUCAGCCCUCUUUGAGUCUUUUACUAGUCUAUGUCCGAAUGAUUGUGUGCAGACAAAGCAAUUUAUUUGGGUGUCAUCGAGGAAACGGCCAUGAAUGUGGGUUAAGAGAAAGUGGUUAAAAAAAAAAGGGGGGGGGGGGGGGGGGGGGGAAUUGGGAGAAAAUGUCAAAUCUCCAACCCUUUUUAUUAUAUCCCACUAAUUUUUUUCACAUCAAAAUCUUAACCAAAAAAAUUAAUUUUUAUUUUGUGGAUGGAAUGUUAACAUUAAGAGAGUAUACUGGAGGGGAUGGUAACAAAGAAUAAUAACGUAAAUUCUCAUUUGUAAGUAACGAUGUAUGUUAUUUUCGCUCUCUUUGUAAGUUCUCAUUUCUCAAAAGUACUGUAGAGCAUACUGUAAUAGAAUAACAACAUAGUCUGUAAGCUAAUUUGAAUUUUUUUUUCAACUUAAAUGUUAUAAUGGUAAUUAUAAUGGAAUAAAAUGUAAAUUAUGUUGUUGUUUUUAUGGUGCAUUUAUUUUUUAUUUUUGGAUCAAGGAAUUAGAAUCUCAAAUUGAAAUUAUUGAUAGUGUUUACUUGAUAAAGUGAAGGUGAAAAUAUAAGUGAAAGUGAUAGGCUUUGUUGGACCAAAAAUAAAAUAGGCCCAAUCAAGACCUAAAUAAAUUUAAUCCCAAUAAGACCCAUCUAAUAAAUUUACUCUCGAUUAAGUCCACAAAGCGUUGAACAAAUCACCUAUAAUAAUCCUCCUAAGUAAUAAAGCUUCAAAACCCAAAGGGUUCCAAGAUCCAAGACCAAAACUUAUUCUAGAGUCCUAAGAUCUAUCAUAAGACAAAUCACCUAGGAUAAUCCUCCUAAGUAACAAGACUUCAAAGCCUAAAAGGUCUCAAAGUCCAAGACUAAAAGAUUCUAAAGUCCUAGGAUCUUAUCUUAAGACAAACCACCCAAAAUAAUCAUCCUAGAUGACGAGGCUUCAAAGCUCAAAAGAUACUGAGAUCCUAGGCUUCUAUUCUAAGACAAACUAUUUAUGAUAAAUCUCCUACAUUCUAAGGUUCUCAUCAUCACAGAGUUUUAGUAAAAAUAACUUAAGGUUAAAACACUUCUUUCUUUAAUAUAUAGACAAACUUGCAUAUUCAUGUGUUAAUUAACAUGGCCACAAACAAACAAGUGUUGCCAGACGUGAUAAGAACAAUAACACUUGUCAUUAAAAUAACUAGGACUUAAGUCAAAUCAAUUUCGCCUAUAAAUAUGUCUUUUAUUCUCAGUAAAAGGUAAGAAAAAAUGGACUCAAACGGAAAAAUGAUAACUUUCACUUUCUAAUAUUUUUCUUUCUAAAUAUACAUUUCCAAAAGUCUGGUGACUAACUUGACCAUAGGACGGUUUAUGCCGGCAAAGCCGGCUUUCUGAUUCUUUUCUUGUGUUUGUAAAGUAUCACUAAAUAAGAACAUUCUCAUUAUCUAAAGAAGUGAACUCAGACAACGAUAUAUAAAGGCCUAUUAAGAUCAACCUAAAGGGUAAACUCACUAUCGUUAAAUCCAACAAAAAGUAACCCAAGUCCUAAGGGGGUCGUCCUCAGUUGGAAUUUCUACAUAAUAAGUUGGGACAAAAUUUGCACAAACAGGCUUCACACAAAUUUAAGAUUAGGAUUUGAAAGUUUGAUUCCCAAAGGGCUUAGGAUUUAGAUUCCAAUUCCUUUGACUGAUUAUUUUAUCCCCACCUAAAUUAUUUAACUUCAAUUUUAUCCUCCGUUAAAAAUAUUAUAUAUAUAUCUUUUUCACAAUUCCCAAAAAUCUGAACCACCAAAAUCACGUUGCCGGUCAUCACGUAGCAUCCGUUGGAAUUGUGCACUGAUUGUCAAUCUCGCACUACAGCAGACGUUCGUUGAUAGUUAGCCUUACAAACACUGUAUCUCUCCAUCAAAUGUGGAUUGAUAAUGAGAUUGUUGGUGGUGAUAAAUAUCGAUGGUGAGAUUGAUAAUGAUAAAGAAUAUUGAUGAUGCUGCAUCAUCAAAUCUGAUAAAGAAGCCAUAGUAGCUAGGGGAUCUUAUUCUUUAUCAUCGGGAAGUACUGAGGAUGAUGAUGAAGAAGAAAAUAAAUUAUAAUAAUACAUAAUAAUAAUAAUGAUGAUAAUAAUUAAAAGAUAUUUUAAUGACUUGUAACAUUUUAUUUCGAUCCUAUAAUAAAAUAAAUAUAUUAAUUAAAAUACAACAACUUAUUUUUAUUUUAAUUUAUGUAAUUCAAAUAAAUAACUUAUUUUUUAUUUUCAUUUCAUCUGAGUUCGAUUCGAACUUAUUUCUAAUUGCCUUUCAUUAUCGAAUGUUAAAUGCGCCUUAAAUUUUCUACACCAAAACCAAACGCCGAUAUGUCAUUAGUCCCUAAAUAUUUCAGAACCAGACUCCGUGAUCCAGGUCCACUGCCCUUUAAUUGAUUGGGUCCCACUAAUUCGAAGGUCGCACCCCACCCUUUUAAUUACUUUGGAUUUUCAAAAAUUUUUAGGACCGGCGAAGAGAUAAUAUGAAAAUCACAAGCAUGUUGUGCAUUUGAAAAUUGAAAUUGUGACGGGAUCAGCAUCCACCUAAGAGCAUUUAAUAUAAACAUAAAAAUUAUUAAGAAUCUCCACAAUAUAAUUAUAUAAAUAAUAAAAUAAAUAUAAUUUAAAAUUAUGUCUUAUAAAAUUAUAUGAAUAAAAUUAUAUUUUUAAUUUUUAAUUUCAAGUCGGGUCGGACAUGGUAGGACCAAAACUUUGACCCGAACUUUAAUCGGCCAUAAUGUUUUAGCCUGAACCCGACUUAAAAUCUUUAAAUUUAGGUUAAAGUCUGAAAAUUUUGGAUCACAUCAAUCAAGUUAAAAAUUAGGCCCGACCUUUUUAACCAUGCAUACCAUCUGCUGCAGAUUUAUUUCGUUUUUAUGAACAAACUUCGAAUGUUAUUGGUAAAUUUGUUAAUACGAAUCAAUAAAAAAUAGCCUAAAGAUUUGAGGAUUGGGCAUUUAAAUUCCGAAUAGUACAAAAACCAUUAAAUAUCCAAUUAGAAUAUGAGAUGCCGUACAAGUAAAAUCUGGACUCUGGCAUCGUCAAGGUAACAGGUUUCCUUUGUCCACCAAUCAAAAACACAAAUUAAAGUUUACCAGAGAAUUAGACAGACACCACCUCUGAUGCCAUUUAUAUUAAAGGUUACAAGCAACUUACCAUUUUUGUAACUUCAUUCCACUAUUGCAAGGAAUGGAGAAAAAUCCCCAUGGUAUACCCCGUAGGGGACCUAAUCCCUUGCGUUUUCAUAUUCUAAAUUAUAUUCAGUUAAAAUAUUAAAUAUUAAAUACAUUCUUAAUAUUAAUAUUCUUAGAUGAAAUUCUUUUGCUGACUUAAGAAUAAAAUAUUAAAUAAUGUUAUUUUUCUUUUAUUGUGUAACGUGGACCAAAAAAAAAAGGAAAAGAAUUUAAUAAAACCUUCAUUCCGCCAACAUGCAUGUUAAUUGUUUCCAAAUUCCAACCUCCGUACUCUCUUGAGGAGUUUCCCAUUCAUCAAUUAUUAUUUUUUUAUAAUCCAUACCAUCCUGAUAUAAUUAAACACCAUUAAUAAUGUACCAGCCUUUAAAUAGUAAUUAAUUUAUUUAUCUAAUUCACCAAAUGUCAUUUCCUGUACAUAUCUCCAUUGGUAUCAAGAAGAGGCAGAACCCAAAGAAACGUUUCUUGCAUCUUCAUAUUUGUGCGAAUUCAUCCUUUCAUUGAGAAUAACCAUUUCCAGGCAGCAGUUGGCAAUCAAUUCAUGCGCACGUCGAUGCUAUUCAUAGAUAUUAAAGACAAUGAUGAACCAAAGGUGAUAAAUCAUAAAUGCAUAAUUACCAAACCUCCAUCCUUCUCUCAUUAUGAUUUGAUUUUAAAUGAAUUAUUGCUUGGUAACAUUAUUUCCAACCAUUGCAAGACCCUUUUUUUUUUUUUUCUUUUGGGAGAAAUUUCAAUUGAAAGUGAAACCUUUAGACAUUUACCUAACGAAGUUAGUUAAUCGGGAGGGUUGGAAAAAAAAAAAGUUGACGCAAGUCAAUGCACAAUAAUUAAUUAAAUCCGGAGUGACUAAACAGAGCCACGACUUUUUCAAAAAUAUCUGCAUUCAUCACUUUCUCCAGCAGCUAGUCAGCUACACACGAAUCAAUUUCUCUCCUCGUUUGUUGUCAUCCAAAAUUGUUCACCAAUACCAUGGCUGAUGCAAUCGUUUCCACUAUCUUGGCGCAGCUGAUUUCCUUCGCUGCUGAAGAGAUAAAACAACAGGUGAUCGAAGUUACACCCCUCAUAUUACAAAUACUUCCAAUGACUUUAAUUGGUUUUUUUAUUAUCAAAAACAUUAUAAUUAUAAUUUUUUUAAAUUUGAAUUGAAUUUAAUUAAAAGGUGAUGUAGUAACCACUCAUUUUUAUUUUAUUUCAUUUAUAUUCUCGAUAACUAACCAUAUUUUGGUAACUUAAUAUAACUCUCGUACAUAAGAAAUGAUCAAAACCCACAAUUUUAACUCUGUAUAAAUAUUCAACGUUGAGUCAUUAAUUCUCAACUCAGCACUGAAUCCCAUAGCUAUUACUUAGACUCUAUGAAAAAUUUCAUAGUUUUCUUACAUUCUUUGAGUUGGGUAAGUGAUUUCCUAUAAUUUCUUUUCAAGUUAAAUUUUAAUUUGGUUUCUGAUAUAGUCUCUUUGCCGAAUUGUCUCUUUUAUGAUUCUUGGAUUUUGGACUUCAACUUUUUAGGAUUUGAUAGUCAUAUUUUAUGCCAUGCUCAGAUUGAUUUUCAUGAUUUUUAGUAGCUGUUGAGUGACUUACAAUUUGACGAAAGUUUGAAAGGAAAAAUGUUUCAGGAUUAUGUUUUAAUUGACCUUUUAGUGGAAAUAGGAUGCUUAUAACUUAAUGUGGAUGGUUCGUAAAAUCAUGAAAUUUGGAUAGGAUUCACUAGAAAUAUGUACAAGACUCUCCAUAAAAUUUCAUAAUUUUUCAUUCGGUAUGGGGUGGCACAGGUGAAACUUGUGUUUGGUGUUGAAAAAGAAGUGAAAAGCCUUACCAGCCACCUUCAAGUCAUUCAAGUUGUGCUCGAUGAUGCAGAGGAAAAGCAAGUGAAGGACAAAGCUGUUAGUCUUUGGCUGGGUAGGCUCAAGUACGCAUCCUACGACAUUGAAGAUGUGUUGGAUGAGUGGAUCACAGCAAGACGCAAAUUGCAAAUUGAGGAUGGCAUUGAUGAAAAUGCUCUUGUUGCUCCUCAUAAGAAAAAGAAGGUAUGUCUCUGCUUUCCCGCCUCUUGUUUUGGAUUCAAACAAGAAGAAUUUGGUUUCAAACAAGUCUUUCUCCGUCAUGACAUUGCCAACAAGAUCAAAGAAAUGAAUGAAGAGCUACAUGAUAUUGCCACCCAAAAAGACAUGUUUAAUCUUGUUAAGAGUGGCAAUAAAAGUAGUGAAAGACCAAGGCGUGUACAGAGUACCUCCUUGAUUGAUGAGGAAGAGAUUUGUGGUAGAGUUGGUGAGAAGAAUGAACUCAUAAGCAAGCUGUUGCGUGAGAGUAGCGAGCAACAAAAAGGCCUCCAUAUCAUCUCAAUUGUUGGUAUGGGAGGCAUAGGGAAAACUACUCUUGCACAACUAGCUUGUAAUCAUGACGAGGUGAAGAGAAAGUUCGACAAAAUUCUGUGGGUGUGUGUAUCAGAAACUUUUGAGGAGUUUAGGAUAGCCAAAGCGAUCGUUGAAGUUUUGGAUGGUCGUGAAUCUCAUUUAGCUGAAUUCCAUUCUCUUCUUCAACAUAUUUGUGAAUCAAUUGCAGGGAAGAGCUUUCUUCUUGUCUUAGAUGAUGUGUGGGAUGGAAAUUACUUGAAAUGGGAACCAUUCUACCGUUGUCUAAAGAAUGGUCUCCAUGGAAGUAAAAUUUUAGUUACCACACGUAAAGGGUCAGUCGCAUCCAUGAUGGGAUCCAUAGAUAUUAUCUCCGUGAAGGAGUUAGCUGAAGAGGAAUGUUGGUUGUUGUUUAACAAGAUAGCAUUUUUUGAUCGGUCCAUCGAGGAACGUGAAAAAUUAGAACAAAUUGGGCAAAGAAUUGCAGGCAAGUGCAAAGGUUUACCUCUUGCAGCAAAGACAAUAGGGAGUCUCAUGCGUUCUAAACAAACUGAAGAAGAGUGGAAAAGAAUUUUAAAUAGUGAUUUAUGGAAAGUAGAAGAGAUUGAGAAAGAUGUUUUGUCCUCUUUAUUGUUGAGUUAUAAUGAUUUGCCAUCUAGAGUAAAAAGAUGUUUUUCAUAUUGUGCUGUCUUUCCAAAAGACUACGAUAUAAAAAAAGACAAACUAAUCACAUUAUGGAUGGCUCAAGGUUAUCUUAGUGCAGAACAAGAUGAAGAGAUGGAGACAGUAGGUGAAAAGUAUUUUGGCAUCUUAGCUUCUCGCUCGUUUUUUCAAGAGUUUAAGAAAAGUUAUGAUAAUCGGAUUAUAGCGUGUAAGAUGCAUGAUAUGGUACAUGAUUUUGCCCGAUUUGUAAGUCAAAAUGAAUGUUUUUCGAUGGCAAUUAAUGAUAGUGAAGAACCAAAUGCUACAAACUCUCUUGAUGAGAAGGCCCGUCAUUUAAUGUUAAUCUUUAGUAUAGGGGCUUCAUUUCCUGUUUCCACUAGUAGAGUUAAAAGAAUGCGUAGCCUCUUAAUUAACUAUAGUGGAUCUGAUCAUUCAUCAUUAAAUGGUGAGAUCCUAGAAGAAUUAUUUGGGGAAUUGACAAGUUUAAGGGCAUUAGAUUUUGGCGAACCGUACGACACAAAUUUUUCUUUGACUCUGGAGAUUCCAAGAAAUAUAGAAAAGCUGGUACAUUUGAGAUACCUUAAUUUGUCUUAUCAGGGAAUAAAGAAACUACCGGAGACAUUGUGCGAGUUGUAUAAUCUAGAAAAGUUAGAUAUUAGUUGGUGUUUUAAUCUUAAAGAAUUACCUGAAGGGAUUGGGAAGUUAAUAAACAUGAAGCAUUUACGAAAUAGAGGUACUAAUUCUUUAAGGCACAUGCCAGUAGGGAUUGGGAGAUUAACGGGUCUUAGGACCUUGGGUGAGUUCCACGUGAGUGCAGGAGGAGGUGUUGAUGGUAGGAAAGCGUGUAGGCUUGAAUCUCUUAAAAACUUGGAACACCUUCAAGUAUGUGGUAUACGUAGACUGGGUGAUGUAUCAGAUGUGGGCGAGGCUAAGCGAUUAGAACUUGACAAAAGGAAAUACCUCUUCAGUUUGACCCUUGAGUUUGAUAAGAAGGAAAGAGGAGGAGAAAUGAGGAAGAACGAGGACGAUCAACUUCUUCUUGAAGCCCUGCGGCCACCUCUCAAUUUAAAGGAAUUAGAGAUACAGUACUACCGAGGCAACACUGUUUUCCCCAGCUGGAUGACGUCAUUAACCAACUUAAAGAGUUUAGAUCUCUCUUCCUGCGAAAAUUGCGAGCAGCUGCCUCCUUUGGGAAAAUUGCCAUCCCUUGAAGCACUCAGCCUAUUGAUUAUGCGGAGUGUGAAAAGAGUGGGUGAUGAAUUUUUGGGGAUAGAAAGUGAUCAUCAUGGCUCAUCUUCAUCUUCAUCGGUUAUUAUUGCCUUCCCCAAAUUGAAAUCACUUAGUAUUGAGGGAUUGAUGGAAUUGGAGGAGUGGGAUUAUGGGAUUACAAGAACGGGAAACACCGUCAUCAACAUCAUGCCACGUCUUUCUUCCUUGACAAUUGGGAGUUGUCCCGAAUUAAAGGCACUGCCUGACCACAUUCAUCAAACGACAACAUUGAAGGAAUUGCAUAUUUGGGAUUGCAGGCUUCUGGAAGAACGUUAUUGCAAGGGGGAAGGAGAAGACUGGCCUAAGAUAUCACACAUUCCCAACCUCCAUAUUGGGCUUUGACAAGUAAUUUCUUCUCUUACUCUGAUUUGCUUUGUUCUUGUUUUUAAUCUAAUUAAGAAGCGUAAAUAGCAUUUUGAAUCAAACUCUAUAUCAGAAAUCUGCAAUACUUACUUUCUAAUAUUCUGAUUUUCAUAUCCUAUGAAUAUACGAUUUUUAAUUUGUGAGAUGGGUAACGUUAUUGUAAAAGAUUAUUAAUGCAAUAUGAGUAAUUCUUUUACAGGACAAGUGACCUACAUUUAGUUUGGCUUUGGAGUUGAAUAAUAACGUUUUGAGGUCCCGACAUCCAAAAAACGAAGCUUAAUUUGCCACAGAUUGAACGUAUUGCCAUUAUUGACAAUUUUCUGCACAAGCGUGACUGAACUUAGGUUGAUGUCAAAAGAGGUAAAUUAUUGGCAUGCCUGACUAUUUUGACCAUUACAUGAUUCAUAAGUUUACAUUAAUUUUGAUUUUGAGUUGAGUGAUUAGUUUUCUAGGUUUGCUUACUUUAACUGGGUGACCAAUUUCUUGUAACUAAAUGUAUGAUGUGAUGCAGGAAGCAGGGUAGGAUAUGAAAGAGAAGCUUAUUAGAGGAAGGAUUGCCAGUAACAGAAUCCAAAGAAAAAGAAACCAUUUCGAGGCAGCAGUUGGCAGUUGGCAGUGAAUGGAGCCCCUUGAAAAAAUUCCCAAGCCGUUGCACUGCAAUUACGAUCAUCCUCGGCCUCAGGUAAUUUCUUCUCCUGCAUUUUUGUUAUUUGCUAUCAAGUGACUAUUUUAAGUAUGAUUGCAUUAAGCUGCUGCUGGGAAAUUUGAGGUUUUGAUGACUGCCCAUGCUAUUGUCAGAAGCUGCGGUUCUUUUCAUCAGCCUGAACCUGGACCUGCCGCUAUGGAUAACUCAGGUUUUUUUUUUUUUUAAUCAACUGCCAUCUUUUCCACUGUUUAGAAACUCUUAAGAUUAAACUUUAGUAAAGUUGUUUUAGUUAUCCAUGUAAUCGGGCUGAGGAUACUUAGCUGCCUAUUUAGGCAAAUGUCAGAAUGUUCGCUGGGAACUGGUGUGGACUGGCAAAGGAUGAUGAGAUAGUUUUUUGAGUGAGUAAAUUUUGGGAGCUUGAGUGUAUUGGGAUUUGCAAUUACAAUCAUCGUCUGCCUCAGGUGAUUUCUUCUCCUGCUCUGUCAUUGUUUGUUCUCUAAUUCAAAAGCAUAAAAUAUUUCAAUCAAUUUUAUGCCAGGAAUAUGCAAAAGUUUCUAAUAUUUUAUUUCCAUCUGUUACAAGAUCAAACUGAAGUAGAACUCAAACAAAAGUAUGCUACUUCUUGCGGAAAUCUUGCCUUUGUUCAGAUUAUGAAACCAUUUCCAUGCAGCAAAUUCAUCCAAAAGUUUGAAUAAGUUUCAUGGUUGGACACUGUUGGCUUCUUUUUCUUCUGGGGUGCAUUUAGGUGCUAUCAAGUGACAGCUGUAAGUAUGAUUGCACUAAGCUGCCGCUGGGAAAUUUGAGGUUUUGAUGGCUGCCCAUGUUAUUUUCAAGAAACUAUUGAUGUAAGAAGCUGUGGUUCUUUUCAUCAGCUUGAACCUGAAACUGUCGCUAUGGAUAACUCAGGUUUUUGUUAUCAACUAUAUCAUCUUUUUCACUAUUUUGAAACUCUUAAGAUUAAACUUUAGUAAAGUUGUUUCAGCUAUUCAAAUGAAAAACUCAUUGAUUUGAGACUUCCUUCAUUAUUGUUUCUAAUUACAAUGCUAACGAUCCAGAUAAAAUAAUAUUUAAUCGGCGAAGGUGUCCCUUGGAAGUACAUCCUUCUUUUUCUUUUAUUAUAUAAAUUCUUGCAAUGAGCUUAGUGAAGCUGUUGUGCUAAUCAUGCCACUGCAUAAUUUGGCCCCUAAUGUGGGUACUCUGUUACAUUGUUCUGCAAAUUCUCCGGAAGUUAAAAUCAAUAAAUUUUCUAUUAGCUCUAGUGCUUUGACCUAAAUGCUAUUCUAUAUUUUGAUUACAAUGUUUUAACCUUUAAAUUAACUACCCCUAGAUGUUGGAUUUUCUAGAACUUCAAAAUACAUAAACCGUCAGACAUUUAAGCAUCCAAAGAUACAUUAUAUAUUUCUGUGUCUCUAUUUGUAGAUGACAUUUAAGCAUCCAUAAACCGUCAGACAGAGGAAGGGCGUUCAGUGCAAAGAUUCUGUUGACCUAGGGUUGACUGCAUAAUGUCACUUGUUCGCAAUCUAUUAUUUAUUUCAUAUUUUGAAGAAUUUAAUGGGUAAUCCUAAUUGUUUGUUUUGGCAGGUAUGUGUUGUUAUCUCCUUCUAUCUAACAGUCGUACCUAAAUAGCAUAGUUCCAAAGAGGUAAAUUAUUGUCAUGCCUAGAUAAUUUGGCCAUUUCCUAAUUCAUAAGUCUACAUUAAUUUUGAUUUUGAGUUGACUGAUUUCUUUUCAAGGUCUGCUUCCUUAACGGAGUGACCAAUGUUUUUCAACUAAAUUUAUCAUAUGAUGCAGGAAACAGGGCAGGAUAUGAAAUGAGAAGCUCAUUGGUGGAAGUAUUGCCAGUAGCAGAACCCAAUGAAAAUGAAACUAUUUCAAGGCAGCAGUUGGCAGUUGCAAGUGAAUGGAGGCCCUUGACAAAAUUCUCAAGCGAUUGCAAUGCAAUUACGAUCAUCCUCAGCCUCAGGUAAUGUCUUUUAUUGGUACCCAACAAAAAUGCAAGGUCUGUGAGAAGACAGUUUGUCCAGUUGAGCAGUUAUCUACUGAUGGGGUUGUUUAUCACAAGUCUUGCUUCAAGUGCUCUCACUGCAAAGGCACACUCAAGCUAAGCAAUUACUCAUCCCUGGAAGGUGUUCUUUACUGUAAGCCUCACUUUGAGCAGCUUUUGAAGGAGUCGAGUAACUGCAACAAGAAUUUCCAAUUACCUGCAAAGUCAGCUGAGAAGUUAACUCCUGAGCUGAGAAGGUCGCCUAGCAAAGUUGCCAGCAUGUUCUCUGGGCCCAAUAAAAAUGUGCUUCUUGCAGUAAAACAGUGUGUCCGUGGGAGAAGGUAGCAGCGGAAAAUCAAGCCUCUCACAAGACAUGUUUCAAGUGCUCACAUGGUGGUUAUUCCAUUAGCCCGUCAAAUUACGCAGCCCUAGCAGGCAUCUUGUAUUGCAAACAUAAUUUCUCCCAAUUGUUCAAGGAAAAAGGCAGCUACAACCACCUUAUAUCAAAUCUGCUCCCAUGAAGCGUGCUGCAGUCUCUGUUCAAGAAGCUUGAACAUGUUAUGUUAUCUUCCAUAAAUCUUAUUUGGCGUGGGUUUUCUCUGGCUUGAGGGUGUGCUUUCUAUUUUGAUCCCUCUUGUUGUUUUUGCGGGGAACUACCAAACCUUCGGUUCCCUCUGCUUCUUUGGAUCAUCUUUGUUUGGACAAAUUUCAUGUAAUUAGAGAUACCGAUUUAUGGGAGGCAUAAUCCCAUGGUCGUAAAUUGACCAUUUUCUGGCAAGUUCUUUUUAAAAAGAUAUGAGCAGUUGUUUAAAAAAAAAAAAAUAGCUUGCCUUCAUCAUUGUAUGUUACCAAACUGCUAUGUAUAGCUGUUAACUAUGAGCAUCCGAAAAUAUGGUGCAUCGUGAUUCAUGUAGUGCAAUAUGGCUACCAACGCAUCCUAAAUGGAAUAUUACUCAGUUAGUCAGCAAAAUAAGACAACAUAACUGAUAUUAAAAAAAUAAAAACUACAUUAAUAAGUGGGCAAGAUCAUGCCAGUUUAACUUUUCGCGAGUCGCUGCUGGAGAUAAUCAAAUCGGGGCAGAGAAAAGGAGAAUGGAAUCAGAGGCUAAGAUUAAUAAGUGGGCUUCUGCUUGCUUUGCCCCUCUUUCUUAAACGAUUGGUAGACUGCUGCUUCCACCGAUUAACCGGGUCUUCAACCACUGCUUUUACUGCCUGCCAUCUUGUUGUUUGUCGAAGGGAUGAAUUCGAGUCGAAAAGAGAAAGCGCGCUGAAAAAGAUAAAUCACUAGUGGUUAACUGCUGACUCAGCCAAGUGUUGGCUUCACUUGAUUCACCGAUUGAGGUUAUUUUGUCUUCUAUCUAAUGCAGCGAAGAAGCUUUGCUGCUUAACAUGCUGCAAUGCAACUUUAUCCUUUGAAGUUCACACUUCAGGGCUGCGCACUUUAUGUAAUCCUAUGAGUAAAAAGAAUUUGUUUUCAAAUGUGAAAAAAGAAAAUGUAAGGUAGUAACUAAUAUAUUAUAGCAUCAAAGCAAGAUUUGAUAUGAAUUUAGUACAACAAAGAACAUCAAAUCUGUGAUUCCUUGUCUAAUGUCACCAUCGAGCAACAAAUUUAAAAGCCUACCUAUCAAAUACACGAGGCAAUAAACGGAGAAAAAGUUGAAUUACAAGAACAAGUUUACAAUUCUUGUCAAUGGUUAAUGAUUCGUGAACUGAGAUAGCAUUCAAGAAUCCAAUUUCAAUACAACAACGUAAAAGAUAAACAGAUGAUGAAUUUUAUGAGAUAAAGAAGGAGAUCGUGUUUUAUCGUAUCUCUAUUUUCUUUCUUUUUAAAUUUAAAAUAAGCUUUUCAACCGGUUUAUUAACCGGUUAUAAUAUUUUUUAAAAUAAUUAAAUAUUUUCAUUAUUAAAAAUAAUGUGUACCGUUGAUUACAUCUAACGGUACAUAUUUCUUACACUACUAAUACGGUAAAAAAAAAAAAAAGGGCAUCAUAAAGGGACCCUUAAAACAUUUUCAUUUGAAAUUAUUUGGUGUAGUCAAAAAGUUAAGAAAGAAAUAGUUGUCCCUUUGGUCAUUUCACAAAAAUGAAAGCCCCAUAUAACAUGGACUUGAAUGGAAACCCAAUUGUUUGUGUUUGAUUUCAAGCUUUAUCGGACCUUUGGACCUGGAUACUUUACUGCGGCCUCUAAGCGCUAUAAAUUUGUUUUUUGGGAUAAAAGGCGCUUCAAUGAAAAAGCACUUUAAAACUUUGGAUUUUGCCAAAACUUCAAAGCGGUUGGUCCAGUUACGGUGUUAUGCUAACGGGUUUAAAGGUUCCGAUCCAAUGAGUUAGGGUGGAAUAUGAAUAUAUAAAUUCCAUAGCAUGUAAGGACUAGGAUUUGUUUGUUCAUAUUAAGAAAAAAGAUCUAAAAAUUUGAUGAUCAGAAGAAAAUAGACUCUUCUCUGUCUGAAUAAGAAGAAAGCAUAAUGCGCCUCCAAUAGAGAGAAAAGGGACUUAAUUUCACUUGCGUCAAAUGUUCCUCAUUCUUUGAUGGAAGAAAAACUCUUAAUAGUCUAUUGUUUUUUUUUUUUUCAUUUUUAUUUAAGUUUCACAAUAUUUUAGUAGUUGAUCAAAUUAUUUAGAAUUAGACAUUUAAUCUAGGGACAAUGUGAACUUUUUAAAAAUCUAUCAGGUGAUUUCAUAAUUUUAUAAUUCAGUUGGGGUAAUUUCUCAAACUAUAAACAAAUUAUCGUGUUUUGUAAGUUGAGGUCCAAUGGCGUUUUGGCACAUCAUAUGAUAGACCACUAUAUUGAGUUGCUUUACAAAAGAUUAAUAUUUUUAAAAUUAUUAGGUAAGUUUAGGCUCAGUGGCACUUUAACUCAUGAUAUGAUAGUCCGGGUUUUCGAGGACCACUAUAUUGUAUUGAUUUAAAAAAAAAAUUAAUAUUUUUUAAUAUUAAUAUUCUAAAUUAUAUUCAGUUAAAAUAUUAAAUAUUAAAUACAUUCUUAAUAUUAAUAUUCUUAGAUGAAAUUCUUUUGCUGACUUAAGAAUAAAAUAUUAAAUAAUUUUAUUUUUCUUUUAUUGUGUAACGUGGACCCAAAAAAAAAAGGAAAUGAAUUUAAUAAAACCUUCAUUCCGCCAACAUGCAUGUUAAUUGUUUCCAAAUUCCAACCUCCGUACUCUCUUGAGGAGUUUCCCAUUCAUCAAUUAUUAUUUUUUAUAAUCCAUACCAUCCUGAUAUAAUUAAACACCAUUAAUAAUGUACCAGCCUUUAAAUAGUAAUUAAUUUAGUUCUGAGAAGGAAAAAAAAAACAAAAAAACUACUUUGACCAGAAAAAUUCCCCGUUCUAUUGCCUAUAUAUGAACUGAGCUGUGCAAUUGAUCAAUUUCAAAAACUUCCUCAGCUGACCAAUUUUGAGCAAUUACUACAUAACAUAAAACCAAAUGCUGGAUGAAUUGGCAUCUCUGAAAACCCCAGCUCACACGUACCGACAGAAAGAGACUCUAGAUGUAUUCAAACAUUAAAUAACUGCAUAUGCUCUUCAAAAGAUGGAAGGAACCAUGGAUUAAAAAGAAGCAACCAUCUAAACAAGAACUUAUAUUAAAAAGCAAAGGAAGUAACACAUUAAAUUGAGAAGUGUGAUCAUCACUAUGAAGCUUCUAUAAGUAAUUUAAGAAUAGUAAUAAAAAACUAUUCUAAUAUAAGUAAUAAAUAUGGGAGACAUCUUUGGCUAAUAUGUAAUAAUAAUCUCGAGCAGCAGACGGACUCUUAUUUGCUCCAAUUUGAAUGGUGGUGUUAAGCAAUUUAAAUGUGAAGCCACUCGAGGCUCUGAUUGUGACAGCGGAAGCUAUACAGGCACGGCAUCAGAACAAGAAGAAGGAGCCGAACAACAUAUUUCAGUUCUCAAGAGAAGAAUAGAUUCUCAAACAAACUUCAAUUUUGAGAAGAAGAAGAAGGAUUCAUUAUCAUGGCAAGCUCAAAAAUGCAUUGGUAGAUUUUUCUACGAAAUGGGUAUUGAUUUCAGUGUUGCUAAUUCUCCAAGCUUUCAAGACAUGAUAAAUGCUAGCCGUGGUAAGGAAAAGUGUGAGAUCCCCAGUUGUCAGGAUUUGAAGGGGUGGAUCCUUCAUGAAGAAGUGAUGGAAAUGCAAGAAUAUGUGAAGAGGAUAAGACAUUCGUGGGAAAGUACUGGGUGCAGCAUUUUGUUGGAUGGAUGGACUGAUGAAAAUGGUCGAAACUUGGUCAGUUUUAUUGUGGAUUGUCCUCAGGGACCUAUUUAUCUGCGAUCAUCAGAUAUUUCAGCCUUCGUUAGUAAUGUUGAUGCCCUGCAGUUAUUAUUGGAUGGAGUCAUUGAGGAGGUUGGAGUGAAUAAUGUUGUUCAAAUUGUUGCAUGUUCUACAUCAGGUUGGAUGGGGGAUGUGGGCAAGCAGUUUAUGGAAAGGCGAAGGACAGUGUUUUGGACUGUAAGUGUGUUUGAUUGCAUUGCUCUGAUGCUUGAGAAGAUUGGUACGAUUGAUUUUGCUAGGGAGAUAUUAGAAAAGGCCAAGACCAUUACAAAGUUCAUUCAUGGCCACACAACGGUCUUGAAACUCUUUGGAGAUUUUACUGGCAAGCGGAACCUUAUCAAGCCCUCUAAGUUGAGAUCAGCAAUGCCUUUCUUGACUUUAGAAAAUAUUGUGGCGGAAAAGAAAAACCUUAAGGCCAUGUUUGCCUCAUUUGAGUGGAAUAGAACUAAAUGGGCUUCAAGAACAGAGGGGAAGAGGAUAGUUAAUUUAGUGGAGGAUCGUUCUUUUUGGAGCACAGCCAGGAUGGUCCUAAAGGCAACUAUACCCCUUGUGCGUGUUCUGUGUUUGAUCAAUGGGGCUUAUAAACCACAAGUGGGUUACAUCUAUGAAACCAUGGAUCAAGCAAAGGAGACAAUUAAAGAGGAAUUUAAGAACAAGAAAACCCAAUAUUGGCCAAUUUGGGAAAUUAUUGAUGACAAAACGCUAUUUCCGCAUAUUAUUAUUAUCAGAUUGUGUCUAAUGUCAGAUAUUGCCGACCACCUACAAUGCCACACAGAGAACCGCUACAAAUUCCUGUAACUUCCUUCCUGUACUAAAAUUAAAGGAGUACCCCAUCCUCUGCAGUAAAUACAUAGUCCUACUUACGGUUCCUUGUUACUUCCUUUGCUUUUUCAUCUGCAGUAAAUAAGAUAAAGGUGUCUCCCACAGUUGAAGACGGACCCUUGUUGCCAAAGAAUAGUAAUAAAAAAUAAACCACUUUCAUCUUGUACUGAAGUCUAUACUUAAGCUUCUAUAAGUAAUUUAAAAAAGCAUUUACCAUUUUAAACAUCAUAAUGAUACAAUUAUCUUAGUUUUAUCAGUAUAUAAGAAUUACUUAUAGAAUAGUAAUAUAUGUUUAUAUUUAAAUUAGUACAAUUUUAUAUUGAUAAUAAUAAUAAUUUUCAAUUGAAAGUGAAACCUUUAGACAUUUACCUAAUGAAGUUAGUUAAUCGGGAGGGUUGGAAAAAAAAAAAGUUGACGCAAGUCAAUACACAAUAAUUAAUUAAAUCCGGAGUGACUAAAACAGAGCCACUACUUUUUCAAAAAUAUCUGCAUUCAUCACUUUCUCCAGCAGCUAGUCAGCUACACACGAAUCAAUUUCUCUCCUCGUUUGUUGUCAUCCAAAAUUGUUCACCAAUACCAUGGCUGAUGCAAUCGUUUCCACUAUCUUGGAGCAGCUGAUUUCCUUCGCUGCUGAAGAGAUAAAACAACAGGUGAUCGAAGUUACACCCCUCAUAUUACAAAUACUUCCAAUGAUUUUAAUUGGUUUUGUUUUUAUCAAAAACAUUAUAUAUUUUUGCUUUUUUUUAUUUAUCUGAUAAUUUUAUAUUUUGAAAUUUGAAUUGAAUUUAAUUAAAAGGUGAUGUAGUGACCACUUAUUUUUAUUUUAUUUCAUUUAUAUUCUCAAUAACUACUCAUAUUUUGGUAACUUACUAUAACUUCCAUAUCUAAGAAAUGAUCCAAACCCACAAUUUUAAUGAUAAGAUUGGUUGAAUUAAAUAUCACUUGGCCCACAUGAUUUGUUUUAAUUAUUUUAUAUUUUCAUUCAACCAAUGAAUUAGUGCCACGUCAGUUUGUACAAAAUAAGUUUGUACAAUAGUUUGUGGUUGUAUCAUUACUCUUUAGUAAAGAGUAAUGAUAUAGCCACAAACUCUUGUACAAACUUAUUUUGUACAAACUUAUGUGGCAUGAUAAGAUUGGUUGAAUUAAAUAUCACUUGGCCCACAUGAUUUGUUUUAAUUAUUUUAUAUUUUCAUUCAACCAAUGAAUUAGUGCCACGUCAGUUUGUACAAAAUAAGUUUGUACAAUAGUUUGUGGCUGUAUCAUUACUCUUUAGUAAAACCUCAACUCAUCACUGAAUCCCAUAGCUAUUACUUAGACUCUAUGAAAAAUUUCAUAGUUUUCUUACAUUCUUUCAGUUUGGUAAGUGAUUUCAUAUAAUUUCUUUUCAAGUUAAAUUUUAAUUUGGUUUCUGAUAUAGUCUCUUUGCCGAAUUGUAUCUUUUAUGAUUCUUGGAUUUUGGGCUCCAACUUUUUAGGAUUUGAUAGUCACAUUUUAUGCCAUGCUCAGAUUGAUUUUCAUGAUUUUUAGUACCCGUUAAGUGACGUACAAUUUGACAAAAGUUUGAAAGGAAAUAUGUUUCAGAAUUCUGUUUUAAUUGACCUUUUAGUGGAAAUAGGAUGCUUAUAACUUAAUGUGGAUGGUUCGUAAAAUCAUGAAAUUUGGAUAGGAUUCACUAGCAAUAUGUACAAGACUCUCCAUAAAGUUUCAUAAUUUUUCAUUCGGUCUGGGGUGGUACAGGUGAAACUUGUGGUUGGUGUUGAAAAAGAAGUGAAAAGCCUUACCAGCCAUCUUCAAGCCAUUCAAGUUGUGCUCGAUGAUGCAGAGGAAAAGCAAGUGAAGGAAAAAGCUGUUAGUCUUUGGCUGGGUAGGCUCAAGUAUGCAUCCUACAACAUUGAAGAUGUGUUGGAUGAGUGGAUAACAACAAGACGCAAAUUGCAAAUUGAGGGUGGCGUUGAUGAAAAUGCUCUUGUUGUUCCUCAUAAGAAAAAGAAGGUAUGUCUCUGCUUUCCCAGCUCUUGUUUUGGAUUCAAACAAGAAGAAUUUGGUUUCAAACAAGUCUUUCUCCGCCAUGACAUUGCCGACAAGAUCAAAGAAAUCAAUGAAGAGCUCCAUGAUAUUGCCGCUCAAAAAGACAUGUUUGAUCUUGUUAAGAGUGGCAAUAAAAGUAGUGAAAGACCAAGGCGUGUACAGAGUACCUCCUUGAUUGAUGAGGAAGAGAUUUGUGGCAGAGUUGGUGAGAGGAAUGAACUCUUAAGCAAGCUGUUGUGUGAGGGUAGCGAGCAACAAAAAGGCCUUCAUAUCAUCUCAAUCGUUGGUAUGGGAGGCAUAGGGAAAACAACUCUUGCACAACUAGCUUGUAAUCAUGACGAGGUGAAGAGAAAGUUCGACAAAAUUCUGUGGGUGUGUGUAUCAGAAACUUUUGAGGAGUUUAGGGUUGCCAAAGCGAUCGUUGAAGUUUUGGAUGGUCGUGAAUCUCAUUUAGCUGAAUUCCAUUCUCUUCUUCAACAUAUUUAUGAAUCCAUUGCAGGGAAGAGCUUUCUUCUUGUCUUAGAUGACGUGUGGGAUGGAAAUUACUUGAAAUGGGAACCAUUCUACCGUUGUCUAAAGAAUGGUCUCCAUGGAAGUAAAAUUUUAGUUACCACACGUAAAGGGUCAGUUGCAUCCAUGAUGGGAUCCAUAGAUAUUAUCUCCGUUAAGGAGUUAGCUGAAGAGGAAUGUUGGUUGUUGUUUAACAAGAUAGCAUUUUUUGAUCGGUCCAUCGAGGAACGUGAAAAAUUAGAACAAAUUGGGCAAAGAAUUGGAGGCAAGUGCAAAGGUUUACCUCUUGCAGCAAAGACAAUAGGGAGUCUCAUGUGUUCUAAACAAACUGAAGAAGAGUGGAAAAGAAUUUUAAAUAGUGAUUUAUGGAAAGUAGAAGAGAUUGAGAAAGAUGUUUUGUCCUCUUUAUUGUUGAGUUAUAAUGAUUUGCCAUCUAGAGUAAAAAGAUGUUUUUCAUAUUGUGAUGUCUUUCCAAAAGACUACAAUAUAGAAAAAGACAAACUAAUCACGUUAUGGAUGGCUCAAGGUUAUCUUAGUGCAGAAGAAGAUGAAGAGAUGGAGACAGUAGGUGAAGAGUAGUUUGGCAUCUUAGCUUCUCGCUCAUUUUUUCAAGAGUUUAAGAAAAGUUAUGAUAAUCGGAUUAUAGAGUGUAAGAUGCAUGAUAUGGUACAUGAUUUUGCCCGAUUUGUAAGUCAAAAUGAAUGUUUUUCGAUGGCAAUUAAUGGUAGUGAAGAACCAAACGCCACAAACUCUCUUGAUGAGAAGGUCCGUCAUUUAAUGUUAAUCUUUAGUAUAGAGGCUUCAUUACCUGUUUCCACUUGUAGAGUUAAAAGAAUUCGUAGCCUCUUAAUUAACGAUAGUAGAUCUGAUCAUUCAUUAUUAAAUGGUGAGAUCUUAGAAGAAUUAUUUAGGGAAUUGACAAGUUUAAGGGCAUUAGAUUUUUGCAAAUCGUAUAACGCAAGUUGGUCUUCGACUCUGGAGAUUCCGAGAAACAUAGAAAAGCUGGUACAUUUAAGAUACCUUAAUUUGUCUUAUCAGGGAAUAAAGAAACUACCGGAGACAUUAUGCGAGUUGUAUAAUCUAGAAAAGUUAGAUAUUAGUUAUUGUUAUAAGCUAGAAGAAUUACCUGAAGGGAUUGGGAAGUUAAUAAACAUGAAGCAUUUACGAAAUAGAGGUACUAGUUCUUUAAGGUACAUGCCAGUAGGGAUUGGGAGAUUAACGGGUCUUAGGACCUUGGGUGAGUUCCACGUGAGUGCAGGAGGAGGUGUUGAUGGUAGGAAAGCAUGUAGGCUUGAAUCUCUUAAAAACUUGGAACACCUUCAAGUAUGUGGUAUAUGUAGACUGGGUGAUGUAUCAGAUGUGGGCGAGGCUAAGCGAUUAGAACUUGACAAAAAGAAAUACCUCUUCAGUUUGACCCUUGAGUUUGAUAAGACGUAAAGAGGAGGAGAAAGGAGGAAGAACGAGGACGAUCAACUUCUUCUUGAAGCCUUGCGACCACCCCUGGAUUUAAAGGAAUUAGAGAUACGGUACUACCGAGGCAACACUGUUUUCUUCCAUGUUGGAAUUGGAGGAGUGGGAUUAUGGGAUUACAAGAACGGGAAACACCGUCAUCAACAUCAUGCCACGUCUUUCUUCCUUGGAAAUUGUUGCCUGCCCCAACUUAAAGGCGCUGCCCGACCACAUUCAUCAAACGACAACAUUGAAGGAAUUGCGCAUUGUGCAUUGUGGGCUUCUGGAAGAACGUUACCGCACGGGGGAAGGAGAAGAGUGGCCUAAGAUAUCACACAUUCCCAGCAUAGAUAUUGAUUAAGAAGGAGAAGAGUGACCUAAGAUAUCUCACAUUCCCAACCUUGAGAUUUGGCCUUGACAAGUAAUUCCUUCUCUCACUCUGAUUUGCUUUGUUGUUCUUUUUAAUCUAAUCAAGAAGCAUAAAUAGCAUUUUGAAUUAAACUCUAUAUCAGAAAUCUGCAAUACAUAUUUACUAAUAUUCUGAUUUUCAUAUCUUAUGAAUGUACGAUUCUAAUUUGCGAUAUUUAACGUUGCUGUAAAAUAUUAUUAAUGCAAUAUGAGAAAUUCUUUUGCAGGACAAGUGACCUACGUUUAGUUUGGCUUUGGAGUUGAGUAAUAACCUUUCGAGGUCGCCACUAUAAAAACGCGAAGCUCCAUUUGCCACAGAUUACAUGUAUUGCCAUCAUUGACAAUUUUCUGGAUAAGUGAUGAAGGGUGAGAAUGGUGCUAGAAUAUUGAAUAAAGCUGUCGUGACUGAACUUACGUUGAUGUCAAAAGGGGUAAAUUAUUGGCAUGCCUAGCUAAUUUGACCAAUACCUGAUUCAUAAGCCUACAUCAAUUUUGAUUUUGAGUUGAGUGAUUAAUUUUGAAGGUUUGCUUACUUAACUGGUAACCAAUUUCUUUUAACUAAAUGUAUCAUAUGAUGCAGGAAGCAGGGCAGGAUAUGAAAUGAGAAGCUUAUUAGUGGAAGGAUUAUCAGAAACAGAACCCAAAGAAAAUGAAAACAUUUCAAGGCAGCAGUUGGCAGUUGGCCGUGAAUGGAGCCCCUUGAAAAAAUUCCCAACCCAUUGCACUGCAAUUACGAUCGUGAGUAUGAUUGCACUGCAAUUUCGAAGCUUCUUCUCCUGCAUUUUUGUUAUUUGCUAUCAUCCUCUGCUUCAGGUGAUUUCUUCUCCUGCUCUGUCGUUGUUUGUAUCUCAAUCAAAUUCUAUAACUGGAAUAUGCAAAAGUUUCGAAUUUUUAUUUCUAUCUGCUUGCAUUGAUAACAUCGCGGCAUAUGCACUAGUUAAAGAUCAAACAGAAACAGAGCUCAGGAAAAAGUUUCUUCUGCCAUCAUAUUUGAAAAUUCAUGUAAAAUGUAGACAGUAAUCAGCAAAAAGGUGAUUCGCAAUUUGAUUUUUUUUAUGAAAUUAAUUGUUAGGUUGGAGUUGCCAAUUAACAAUUUUAACCCCCUUUGACUUUGAAGGAAUUAGAGAUAUGGUCAUACAGAGGCAACACUGUUUCUGCAAGUAGUCCUCUCUUUUCUUUUUAUUAUAUUUUAUUUAGUUAUUAUUUAUUAUUUAUUUUUUGGUUUACUCUGCUUCUUCUUUUUACGUUUCUCAAAUUUUGAAUUUCAUUGCUUUUGAACAUACGACAGUCUGUUAUGUGGCGACCCUGGUUCUUAAUUAAGGUUGUGAAAUAUUAUUGUAAAAGAUGAUUUAUUCAAUUUGAGUAAUUCGUUUGCUUUGAUAAUGAUAGUAAUUUUUUAUUUUGACAAUUUGCAAGGUGAGAAUGGUGCUGAUUGGUGAUUCAGGAUAUGGUUCAAACACCAUUGAAUAAAGCUAUGGACAUGGUGGCUCAACUUAGCUAGAUUGCUAUCAAAAUUGGUAAGUUGGCUUGUCAAUGUACCGAUGCUUUUGUUUUCUCUCAACCCUAAUUACCUUAACUUCAUUUAGUUUGGCUUUGGAGUUGAGUAAUAACUUAUUGUUCAAAUGUUAUUUCCUUAUUGUUCUAAUUCAUCAAAUGUUAUUUCCUUGUUGUUCCAUUGAUAUAUUGGUUGCAUAUCAAGCAGAAACAGAAUCCAAAGAAAAUGAAACCAUUUCCAGGCAGCAGUUGGCAGUGAAUUCAUGCAAAUGUUGAUGCCAUUCAUAGAUGUUGAAGACAAUGUUGAGCCAAAGGCGAUAAAUCAUUAAUGCAUAAUUCCCAAAACCUCUAUCCUUCUCUCAUUGUAAUUUGAUUUGAAAUGAAUAAUUGCUAGGUAAUUGAAGCCAAUGUUGUUAAAGACCGUGUUGAGCUACCCAAGCUAAGAAGUUAGUUGCCAAAAAAUGCAGGGGAUCAAAAGAAGCAUUGCAUUUGAAAAGGCAUGAGAUUCUGGUGGCUACAUGUCAACUCAUAUAUGUUUGAAUAAGUUUGAUGGUUCAAGAUUGUUAGCUUCUGUUUAAAUUUGUGCUACUGCAGUGCUACAAUGCUGCUACUGGGAAAUUUGAAUCCCAUAUUAGACUUUCCUCACAUCAGAAGCUGUGGAUCUUCGGACAUCAGGUUUUUUCACAGUUCUGAAACACUCAGGAUUAAACUCUAUUAAAGUGUUGUAGUUAUCUUGUUGUCAGAAUUCCCAUAUUAUUAUCUUUUUCAUGUAAAAUUAUCUUGUUGUCUUCGCCCAUGAAUCUAAGCUAAAAUUUGAACCAAUUGUUUGCUAUUAUAAAUUUCGUUGUUAAAUGUUAAUUGUGAUGUUGGUGUUGAGUUUCUUUUAAAGUCAGAGAAGCCUGACGAUUGAGUUCCAUGGGAUUCUGAGAAGCAGUAAUAUUUUGAACAAGUGAAGGUUCUUCGUUUUUAAUUACGUUCUGCACUUUUACAGUAUGUGCAGAUGUCUAAGAGGCAGGAUUUUAAUUUCUGUAAUGCUAAAUUUCGCAAAACAAUAAAUAAAUAAAUGCAUGACAGUGACUUCAAGAAUUUAGAUUAUUGAAUUUGGUCAUUUUAAAAUUGUUGGAAUAUUGAACUUAAGUAAUUUUGAUAAACCAGAGCUCAGAAAUGUAGAAUAUAAAUAUUGGAGAUUUGGACUUCAAUCAUUAGAUUUGAAGCUAAAGAGGUAAGCCAUUAAUUACAUCAAAGGAUUUGGAAAAUGGAGGGAUUGGAAAAAGGAAACUUUUUCAUAAACUACAAGCAUUGGGCAGUUUCAUUUGUCCGAUUCAAGAGGAACGUCACAGAAAGGGGUAAAGAAAAGAGUAGCCUAAGAUAUUUAAGACAAUGUUGAGCCAAAGGAAACAUAAAUCCCAACCAUUGCAUGCGAACAUGAUCACAAUAAGGUCAAGAACCUACCAAACCAUUUUUUUGAGAAUUUUCAAUUGAAAGUGAAACCUUUGGACAUUUACCUAGUAAAGUUAGUUAAACGAGAGAAAUAAAGGGGAAAAGAAAAGUUGACUCAAGUCAAUACAGAAUAAUUAGUUCAAUCUGGAGUAACUAAAACAGAGCCACUAUAUUUUCAAAAAUAUCUGCAUUCAUCACCUUCUCCUACAGCUAGUGAGCUAAACACGAAUCAUUUCCUUUUAGCAUUUUUGCAGCAUCAACUUCUCUCCUCGUUUGUCAUCCAAAAUUAUUCACCAAUACCAUGGCUGAUGCAAUCGUUUCCCUUCUCUUGGAGCAGCUGAUUAUCUUUGCUGCUGAAGAGUCGAAACAACAGGGGAAGCUGGUGAGUGUUGGAUGAGUGGAUCACAGCAUGCGCCAAAUCGCAAAUUGAUCAAUGCUCUUGUUGCUCCUUAUCUGAAGAAGAAGGUGCAAAUUGAGAGCUGCAUUGCACUGUCAUAACAUUUAUUGUAAUUUCAUUUGGAGAUUUUAUGGAUAAUGAUUUGGUAGACUUUAUAUGCCGUCUUCUUUCUUUUUGCAGUGAUAUGUUUGUAUUCAAUGUGCUUGUGCUUAUUCUGUGGUUUUUAAAGUAGGUGUUUUUAUGAUAAACUAGGUCUUGUGUAUUGUAUGUACUAUCUAGAGAAGAAUAUUGACUGGUUGCAGUCGAAAUUGGAACCACUUUUGAAAGGUAAGAAGAGGCCAUUUUCCUUCAUUCUAAUGCCAAUAAUGCUGUCAUGAGACUCAUAAAAAAUGUUAAAACAUUAAUGUUUUUGGUAUUUUGCAGAUCAUUAUCUUCUGUUUGAUUUUCCUGGCCAAGUUGAAUUAUUUUUUCUUCAUUCCAAUGCCAAGAAUGUUAUCAUGAGACUCAUAAAGAAGUUAAAUCUCAGGGUAUUGUUACAUCUUGCAUCUAUGAAGGGACUCAAAGAGUUGACAUGAAUUCAUCUUUGUUAUUUUGAUGCCAGAAUUGUGCAAUUCUCAGUUGGUUCCUUUCACAUGCAGUUGACUGCAGUGCAUCUAGUUGAUGCGCAUCUUUGCAGUGACACUGGAAAGUAUGUUAGUGCUUUGCUUCUCUCGUUGUCUACGAUGCUACAUCUGGAACUUCCCCACGUCAAUGUCUUGUCUAAGAUCGACUUGAUUGAGAAUUAUGGAAAGCUAGGUGUGGUUUUAAGUGUCUCCCUCCUACUUGUUUGUUUAGUUUGAAAUAUCAGAUAUUAUCACGAGCUCCUAUCUGCUACGUUUCCUCACCAAUCAAUUACUUUGGGUAUGUUGCAGCUUUUAAUCUCGAGUACUAUACGGAUGUGCAAGAUUUGUCAUAUUUACAGCAUGCUCUGGGUCAGGACCCUCGUUCUGCUAAGUACAGGUUUGAAUUCUAGCUGAAUCAAUGAUGCAAAUUAUGUCCAUUGCUAUUUUUGACUGUCGUUUCUAUCAUUUUCAAUUGUUACCUCCCCUUGCCAUCUACUGCCACACUGCAAUGCCUACACAAAUGUUAUGAAAUUUGUCAAUGGCAAUGCCAUCCUGUUUGUCCAGAGACAGCUCUUAGAUGCAAGUGAACAAUUUUUGGCUUUGGCCGUUGUACAGCCUUAGAUUUCAACUUGCCAUAUCUUGUCUCGGAAGUCAAAAGAAAGCGUAUAUGUUAGCCAAAUUUUAUUUGAAUUUAUUGAGUAACAAUGAAUGGUUCGGAAAAACAGUUCCUCUUUUGUUUUGAUCAGACUCAAUGAAUAAGUGUUUAAAAUGUGCCUGUCCUAGAAAUAUAGAUGUGUGGUUUCGCAAAAUUUUCUUGAUCUUAAGAAAGAGUUAUCUUGAAAAGAAGAUAACAUGGAGAAUUCAGCAACUAUACAGUCAUAUUGCGUCUGUCAACUUGGGUCAGAUGGUGUCGUUUGGAUGGAGAUGUUAGGUCCCAGAUGGUAUGCUUGUUAUCAAAUUCCAGUCUAAUUCAUUCAUGCUUUGAUGACAUAUGCGGUGCAGCUUCUUAUCUAAGACCUGCAUAUGUUCAGUCAUCAUUCAGUUCUGUAUUUGGCUGUCAUUCUUUCAAUGAAUUCAAACCACUUUCUGAAUACUUGCAAAUUCAUCCAGUGUUGUCAUUGAGAUUCCAAUAUGUAAAGGAGCAAUAGUUGCCCUUGAUAGUAUGCUUAUUGAUUGCCUCUUGCCUCACUCAGCCUAAGGAGUCUGGUUGUAUGGUGUUCUUGUAAUUUCAUUUGGAGAUAAGUAAUAUCUGUUGUUCAAAUGUAUUUUAUAUACAAGCAGUUAAUAAUUCUGCUUGCAGAAAGCUUACAAAGGAGCUGUGUGAUGUAAUAGAAGACUACAGUCUGGUCAAUUUUUCAACCUUAGAUAUUCAGGUCAUCAGUUUCUCUUGAAUUCUUUCUUGAGUUUCUUUGAAUUAUUUGUGAAUAAGAUCUUAGUUGGCUGCUCCUCUUCAGGAUAAGGAAAGUUUGGCAAAACUCGUGAAGCUGAUAGAUAAAAGCAAUGGGUACAUCUUUGCUGGCAUGGAUGCCAGGGCAGUUGAAUUCAGCAAGAUUGCCGUUCGCGAUGUGGAUUGGGAUUAUUACAGGUAUCCUUCUUUUCACCUAUUUUCAAUCUUGUGAUUCUCAUAUUCAUAAAACUUUCAUGGUUCAUUGUAUGCAUCUGCAUCUUCUAAUUUGUACGUUUGAGAGACUAAUUUUGCUGUUAGGUAGGCGUCAAAUUUGAUUCAUGCGUUUUUCAUAAAUUUACCAAAAUCAUGGAAACUUCUUUUUCCCAGAUAUUGUAUCCACACUUUUCCCAUGUAAUUCAGUCAGACAAGUUCUGCUUAACAAAGAUAUCUACAGUAGCUGAAGUGCAGGAAAAGUACAUUAAGGAUGAUGACGAUGUUAACUAAAAUGGGACACGAAGAUAUGUGGUGUGCAAACCGUAAGCAUGCCUCUUACUUUUGUGCAUGUUUACUUGCUUGUGAUUCAUGUUUGUUAAUCUAUUAUGCUCUUUUGUUGGGUUUAUAAAGUUUUCAAUCAAUCAAACAUUUGACUGAUUCAGACAGGACAAGCGGGGAAGAGGUGGUUUUAAUCAAACCACUACUAAUUAUGAUGUAUCUCGGACCUUUGUACAAUAUCAAGCGAUUUUUUUAGUUGAAUCAGCUGGUGUACACAAAUGUCGUUUAUUGAUUUUUCUCUAGUAUAGUUCGUAAUUUUGGUAACACAUCUACUCUAGUAUCGUUUGUAAUUACAAGAAACAAAGUAAUGAAAUUUAUCACUGCAUUCAUAGUUAUGCUUAAGCUCAAAGAUCACUGUGAAUAUCAUUUUGGGGCCUCUAUUUGUUCUAUAACAUGAUGUUGACACGUGUCAAAUUUUGAAGCUUGUGAUUAAAAUACUAUUCACAUAUAUAUUUUAAGUACCACUAAUAAUUAAAUAUAUUAAUAAAUAUGGGCAAUGGGGAUAAAAUAAAAUGGUUUUAUUUUUUGAAUUACUCAACUGCUUCAAACUUCUAAGAAGUAGAUUUACGAUGAGUGGAAUCUUAAAUUGAGUACGAGUUAGGGAUAACUUAUAAAAUUGGGAUACAAGCUUCAAAGAAAGUGUAUUACUAUUCAUAUGUAGAUUUCGAAUUAAGAAGAUAUGCCAGCUAAUUGUAUAAGAAUGUAAAAAUUGAUCACAGGCAUAAUCGCAAAUGAUGAAAUGAGCUACCUUGAUCAAAAGGUCAAGAACCUACCUUACUUCUCUUAGGGAUAAGUUGCAUCAACCGUUGUGAUAUUGAUAUUUAUCUUGAGCCAGUAAAAGUGAAAGCUUCCCAAUUGAAGGAAAGUGAAGAGAAGAUUCUAUGCUCUAAUUAUUAUUAUUAUUAUUAUUUGUUAGAAUGAAGUGCGAAGUGAGCACAUCAUGCAAGCUCAGCAGAUGUGAUAAGGUGACUUGUAACUCAGCUGGCACAAGAGACAAAGUGUAGUGGAGAAAAGUUUCCCAAUUGAUGGAAAGUGAAGGGAAGAUUCUAUGCUCUAAUUAUUAUUAUUUGACAAUGAAUUGGCAAAUAAAAACAAAAUAGCAGGCCUGUAAAGUAAUGAAGUGGAGACAAUGACCAUGUGAUUGAUUGGUAAAUAAAAACAAAAGAGCAAGCCUGUAAAGUAAUAUAAAUUAUAGUGUAUAUUCAAGUUAAAGUAAUGGAAACAGUGUGCAUCCACAAAAAAUUCUUUUAUCUCUCGUUGUCUUAUUCUUUUCUUUAUUUACGUUUUCCAGAAGUAAAGCCAUACAUGUGAUGAAGCAUAGAUAAGAAAGCUAUCGCCCGAAAUUCAUUUUGCACAAACACUUCAAUAUCCUUUUGAUCACUUUUGCAAACAUCAAUUUGUCUCCUAUUGUAUUCACCAUGGCUGAUGCAAUCGUUUCCACUAUCUUGGAGCAGCUGAUUUCCUUCGCUGCUGAAGAGAUAAAACAACAGGUGAUCGAAGUUACACCCCUCCUAUUACAAAUACUUCCAAUGAUUUUAAUUGGUUUUGUUUUUAUCAAAAACAUUAUAUAUUUUUGCUUUAUUUUAUUUAUCUGAUAGUUUUAUAUUUUGAAAUUUGAAUUGAAAUCAUGAAAUUUGGAUAGGAUUCACUAGAAAUAUGUACAAGACUCUCCAUAAAGUUUCAUAAUUUUCAUUCGGUAUGGGGUGGUGCAGGUGAAACUUGUGGUUGGUGUUGAAGAAGAAGUGAAAAGCCUUACCAGCCACCUUGAAGCCAUUCAAGUUGUGCUCGAUGAUGCAGAGGAAAAGCAAGUGAAGGAAAAAGCUGUUAGUCUUUGGCUGGGUAGGCUCAAGUAUGCAUCCUACGACAUUGAAGAUGUGUUGGAUGAGUGGAUCACAGCAAGACGCAAAUUGCAAAUUGAGGAUGGCGUUGAUGAAAAUGCUCUUGUUGUUCCUCAUAAGAAAAAGAAGGUAUGUCUCUGCUUUCCCGGCUCUUGUUUUGGAUUCAAACAAGAAGAAUUUGGUUUCAAACAAGUCUUUUUCCGUCAUGACAUUGCCAACAAGAUCAAAGAAAUGAAUGAAGAGCUACAUGAUAUUGCCACUCAGAAAGACAUGUUUAAUCUUGUUAAGAGUGGCAAUAAAAGUAGUGAAAGACCAAGGCGUGUACAGAGUACCUCCUUGAUUGAUGAGGAAGAGAUUUGUGGUAGAGUUGGUGAGAAGAAUGAACUCUUAAGCAAGCUGUUGUGUGAGAGUAGCGAGCAACAAAAAGGCCUCCAUAUCAUCUCAAUUGUUGGUAUGGGAGGCAUAGGGAAAACUACUCUUGCACAACUAGCUUGUAAUCAUGACGAGGUGAAGAGAAAGUUUGACAAAAUUCUGUGGGUGUGUGUAUCAGAAACUUUUGAGGAGUUUAGGGUAGCCAAAGCGAUCGUUGAAGCUUUGGAUGGUCGUGAAUCUCAUUUAGGUGAAUUCCAAUCUCUUCUUAAACAUAUUUAUGAAUCAAUUGCAGGGAAGAGCUUUCUUCUUGUCUUAGAUGACGUGUGGGAUGGAAAUUACUUGAAAUGGGAACCAUUCUACCGUUGUCUAAAGAAUGGUCUCCAUGGAAGUAAAAUUUUAGUUACUACACGUAAAGGGUCAGCCGCAUCCAUGAUGGGAUCCACAGAUAUUAUCUCCGUUAAGGAGUUAGCUGAAGAAGAAUGUUGGUUGUUGUUUAACAAGAUAGCAUUUUUUGAUCGGUCCAUCGAGGAACGUGAAAAAUUAGAACAAAUUGGGCAAAGAAUUGCAGGCAAGUGCAAAGGUUUACCUCUUGCAGCAAAGACAAUCGGGAGUCUCAUGCGUUCUAAACAAACUGAAGAAGAGUGGAAAAGAAUUUUAAAUAGUGAUUUAUGGAAAGUAGAAGAGAUUGAGAAAGAUGUUUUGUCCUCUUUAUUGUUGAGUUAUAAUGAUUUGCCAUCUAGAGUAAAAAGAUGUUUUUCAUAUUGUGCUGUCUUUCCAAAAGACUACGAUAUAAAAAAAGACAAACUAAUCACAUUAUGGAUGGCUCAAGGUUAUCUUAGUGUAGAACAAGACGAAGAGAUAGAGACAAUAGGUGAAGAGUAUUUUGGCAUCUUAGCUUCUCGCUCGUUUUUUCAAGAGUUUAAGAAAAGUUAUGAUAAUCGGAUUAUAGCGUGUAAGAUGCAUGAUAUGGUACAUGAUUUUGCCCGAUUUGUAAGUCAAAAUGAAUGUUUUUCGAUGGAAAUUAACGGUAGUGAGGAACCAAACGCCACAAACUCUCUUGAUGAGAAGGUCCGUCAUUUAAUGUUAAUCUUUAGUAAAGGGGCUUCAUUACCUGCUUCCACUCGUAGAGUUAAAAGAAUGCGUACCCUCUUAAUUAACUAUAGUAGAUCUGAAUCAUCUGAUCAUUCAUUAUUAAAUGGUGAGAUCCUAGAAGAAUUAUUUAGGGAAUUGAAAAGUUUAAGGGCAUUAGAUUUUGGCGGAUCGUACGACACACAUUUUUCUUUGACUCUGGAGAUUCCAAGAAACAUAGAAAAGCUGGUACAUUUAAGAUACCUUAAUUUGUCUCUUCAGAAAAUAGUGGAGCUACCGGAGACAUUAUGCGAGUUGUAUAAUCUAGAAAAGUUAGAUAUUAGUUAUUGUUAUAAGCUAGAAGAAUUACCUGAAGGGAUUGGGAAGUUAAUAAACAUGAAGCAUUUACUAAAUAAAAAUACUAGUUCUUUAACGUACAUGCCAGUAGGGAUUGGGAGAUUAACGGGUCUUAGGACCUUGGGUGAGUUCCACGUGAGUGCAGGAGGAGGUGUUGAUGGUAGGAAAGCAUGUAGGCUUGAAUCUCUUAAAAACUUGGAACGCCUUCAAGUAUGUGGUAUACGUAGACUGGGUGAUGUAUCAGAUGUGGGCGAGGCUAAGCGAUUAGAACUUGACAAAAAGAAAUACCUCUCUUGUUUGACCCUUGAGUUUGAUAAGAAGGAAAGAGGAGGAGAAAGGAGGAAGAACGAGGACGAUCAACUUCUUCUUGAAGCUCUACAACCACCUCUGGAUUUAAAGGAAUUAGAGAUAUGGUACUACCGAGGCAACACUGCUUUCCCUAGCUGGAUGACGUCAUUAACCAACUUAAAAAGUUUAGAUCUCUCUUUGUGCGAAAAUUGCGAGCAGCUGCCUCCUUUGGGAAAAUUGCAGUCCCUUGAAAAUCUCCACAUAUGGCGCAUGGCGAGUGUGAAGAGAGUGGGUGAUGAAUUUUUGGGGAUAGAAAGUGAUCAUCAUGACUCAUCUUCUUCUUCAUCAGUUAUUAUUGCCUUCCCCAAAUUGAAAUCACUUUCAAUUAACGAAAUGGAGGAAUUAGAGGAGUGGGAUUAUGGGAUUACAAGAACGGGAAACACCGUCAUCGACAUCAUGCCACGUCUUUCAUCCUUAACAAUAAUUCUUAGCCACAAAUUAAAGGCACUGCCCGACUACAUUCAUCAAACGACAACAUUGAAGGAAUUGCACAUUUUGGGGUGUGACCUUCUGGAAGAACGUUACCGCAAGGGGGAAGGAGAAGACUGGCCUAAGAUAUCUCACAUUCCCAACUUCGAGAUUUGGCGUUGACAAGUAAUUUCUUCUCUCACUCUGAUUUGAAUCAAACUCUAUAUCAGAAAUCUGCAAUACUUACUUUCUAAUAUUCUGAUUUUCAUAUCCUAUGAAUAUACGAUUUUUAAUUUGUGAGAUGGGUAACGUUACUGUAAAAGAUUAUUAAUGCAAUAUGAGUAAUUCUUUUGCAGAACAAGUGACCUACAUUUAGUUUGGCUUUGGAGUUGAAUAAUAACCUUUCAAGGUCCCGACAACCAAAAAACGAAGCUUAAUUUGCCACAGAUGGCACGUAUUGCCAUUAUUGACAAUUUUCUGCACAAGCUUAGGUUGAUGUCAAAACAGGUAAAUUACUGGCAUGCCUGACUAUUUUGACCAUUACAUGAUUCAUAAGUUUACAUUAAUUUUGAUUUUGAGUUGAGUGAUUAAUUUUCUAGGUUUGCUUACUUUAACUGGGUGACCAAUUUCUUGUAACUAAAUGUAUGAUGUGAUGCAGGAAGCAGGGCAGGGCAUGAAGAGAGAAGCUUAUUAGAGGAAGGAUUGCCAGUAACAGAAUCCAAAGAAAAAAGAAACCAUUUCGAGGCAGCAGUUGGCAGUUGGCAGUGAAUGGAGCCCCUUGAAAAAUUCCCCAAGCCGUUGCACUGCAAUUACGAUCAUCCUCGGCCUCAGGUAAUUUCUUCUCCUGCAUUUUUGUUAUUUGCUAUCAAGUGACUAUUUUAAGUAUGAUUGCAUUAAGCUGCUGCUGGGAAAUUUGAGGUUUUGAUGACUGCCCAUGCUAUUGUCAGAAGCUGCGGUUCUUUUCAUCAGCCUGAACCUGGACCUGCCGCUAUGGAUAACUCAGGUUUUUUUUUUUUAAUCAACAGCCAUCUUUUCCACUGUUUAGAAACUCUUAAGAUUAAACUUUAGUAAAGUUGUUUUAGUUAUCCAUGUAAUCAGGCUGAGGAUACUUAGCUGCCUAUUUAGGCAAAUGUUAGAAUUUAGUUUGUUUGCUGGGAACUGGUGUGGACUGGCAAAGGAUGAUGAGAUAGUUUUUUGAGUGAGUAAAUUUUGGGAGCUUGAGUGUAUUGGGAUUUGCAAUUACAAUCAUCGUCUGCCUCAGGUGAUUUCUUCUCCUGCUCUGUCAUUGUUUGUUCUCUAAUUCAAAAGCAUAAAAUAUUUCAAUCAAUUUUUAUGCCAGGAAUAUGCAAAAGUUUCUAAUAUUUUAUUUCCAUCUGUUACAAGAUCAAACUGAAGCAGAACUCAAACAAAAGUAUGCUACUUCUUGCGGAAAUCUUGCCUUUGUUCAGAUUAUGAAACCAUUUCCAGGCAGCAAAUUCAUCCAAAAGUUUGAAUAAGUUUCAUGGUUGGACACUGUUGCCUUCUUUUUCUUCUGGGGUGCAUUUAGGUGCUAUCAAGUGACAGCUGUAAGUAUGAUUGCACUAAGCUGCUGCUGGGAAAUUUGAGGUUUUGAUGGCUGCCCAUGUUAUUUUCAAGAAACUAUUGAUGUAAGAAGCUGUGGUUCUUUUCAUCAGCUUGAACCUGAAACUGUCGCUAUGGAUAACUCAGGUUUUUGUUAUCAACUAUAUCAUCUUUUUCACUAUUUUGAAACUCUUAAGAUUAAACUUUAGUAAAGUUGUUUCAGCUAUUCAAAUGAAAAACUCAUUGAUUUGAGACUGACUUCAUUAUUGUUUCUAAUUACAAUGCUAACGAUCCAGAUAAAAUAAUAUUUAAUCGGCGAAGGUGUCCCUUGGAAGUACAUCCUUCUUUUUCUUUUAUUAUAUAAAUUCUUGCAAUGAGCUUAGUGAAGCUGUUGUGCUAAUCAUGCCACUGCAUAAUUUGGCCCCUAAUGUGGGUACUCUGUUACAUUGUUCUGCAAAUUCUCCAGAAGUUAAAAUCAAUAAAUUUUCUAUUAGCUCUAGUGCUUUGACCUAAAUGCCAUUCUAUAUUUUGAUUACAAUGUUUUAACCUUUAAAUUAACUACCCCUAGAUGUUGGAUUUUCUAGAACUUCAAAAUGAUUAAUGGAGAAAGAUCCCAUUAUCGUUAUUGCUAUAAGAAAUUGAUUUAUGCAUCCAAAGAUACAUUAUAUAUUUCUGUGUCUCUAUUUGUAGAUGACAUUUAAGCAUCCAUAAACCGUCAGACAGAGGAAGGGGGUUCAGUGCAAAGAUUCUGUUGACCUAGGGUUGACUGCAUAAUGUCACUUGUUCGCAAUCUAUUAUUUAUUUUAUAUUUUGAAGAAUUUAAUGGGUAAUCCUAAUUGUUUGUUUUGGCAGGUAUGUGUUGUUAUCUCCUUCUAUCUAACAGUCGUACCUAAAUAGCAUAGUUUCAUCUGCGUUACCAUGUGAUGUACAUAAUUUCACAUUUGCCUCAGAUUAAGCUUAAUUUCCCACAGAAUAGAGCUGUCGCGACUGGACUUUUUGAUGUCCAAAGAGGUAAAUUAUUGGCAUGCCUAGAUAAUUUGGCCAUUUCCUAAUUCAUAAGUCUACAUUAAUUUUGAUUUUGAGUUGACUGAUUUCUUUUCAAGGUCUGCUUCCUUAACGGAGUGACCAAUGUUUUUCAACUAAAUUUAUCAUAUGAUGCAGGAAGCAGGGCAGGAUAUGAAAUGAGAAGCUCAUUGGUGGAAGUAUUGCCAGUAGCAGAACCCAAUGAAAAUGAAACUAUUUCAAGGCAGCAGUCGGCAGUUGCAAGUGAAUGGAGGCCCUUGACAAAAUUCUCAAGCGAUUGCAAUGCAAUUACGAUCAUCCUCAGCCUCAGGUAAUGUCUUUUAUUGGUACCCAACAAAAAUGCAAGGUCUGUGAGAAGACAGUUUGUCCAGUUGAGCAGUUAUCUACUGAUGGGGUUGUUUAUCACAAGUCUUGCUUCAAGUGCUCUCACUGCAAAGGCACACUCAAGCUAAGCAAUUACUCAUCCCUGGAAGGUGUUCUUUACUGUAAGCCUCACUUUGAGCAGCUUUUGAAGGAGUCGAGUAACUUCAACAAGAAUUUCCAAUUACCUGCAAAGUCAGCUGAGAAGUUAACUCCUGAGCUGAGAAGGUCGCCUAGCAAAGUUGCCAGCAUGUUCUCUGGGCCCAAUAAAAAUGUGCUUCUUGCAGUAAAACAGUGUGUCCGUGGGAGAAGGUAGCAGCGGAAAACCAAGCCUCUCACAAGACAUGUUUCAAGUGCUCACAUGGUGGUUAUUCCAUUAGCCCGUCAAAUUACGCAGCCCUAGAAGGCAUCUUGUAUUGCAAACAUAAUUUCUCCCAAUUGUUCAAGGAAAAAGGCAGCUACAACCACCUUAUAUCAAAUCUGCUUCCAUGAAGCGUGCUGCAGUCUCUGUUCAAGAAGCUUGAACAUGUUAUGUUAUCUUCCAUAAAUCUUAUUUGGCGUGGGUUUUCUCUGGCUUGAGGGUGUGCUGCUUUCUAUUUUGAUCCCUCUUGUUUUUUUUGCGGGGAACUACCAAACCUUCGGUUCCCUCUGCUUCUUUGGAUCAUCUUUGUUGGGACAAAUUUCAUGUAAUUAGAGAUACUGAUUUAUGGGAGGCAUAAUCCCAUGGUCGUAAAUUGACCAUUUUCUGGCAAUGUUCUUUUUAAAAAGAGAUGAGCAGUUGUUUAACAAAAAAAAUAUUCGGCCUUCAUCAUUGUAUGUUACCAAACUGCUAUGUAUAGCUGCUAACUAUGAGCAUCCGAAAAUAUGGUGCAUCGUGAUUCAUGUAGUGCAAUAUGGCUACCAACGCAUCCUAAAUGGAGUAUUACUCAGUUAGUCAGCAAAAUAAGACAACAUAACAGAUAUUAAAAAAAAAACUACAUUAAUAAGUGGGCAAGAUCAUGCCAGUUUAACUUUUCGCGCGUCGCUGCUGGAGAUAAUCAAAUCGGGGCAGAGAAAAGGAGAAUGGAAUCAGAGGCUAAGAUUAAUAAGUGGGCUUCUGCUUGCUUUGCGCCUCUUUCUUAAACGAUUGGUAGACUGCUGCUUCCACCGAUUAACCGGGACUUCAACCACUGCUUUUACUGCCUGCCAUCUUGUUGUUUGUCGAAGGGAUGAAUUCAAGUCGAAAAGAGAAAGCGCGCUGAAAAAGAUAAAUCACUAGUGGUUAACUGCUGACUCAGCCAAGUGUUGGCUUCACUUGAUUCACCGAUUGAGGUUAUUUUGUCUUCUAUCUAAUGCAGCGAAGAAGCUUUGCUGCUUAACAUGCUGCAAUGCAACUUUAUCCUUUGAAGUUCACACUCCAGGGCUGCGCACUUUAUGUAAUCCUAUGAGUAAAAAGAAUUUGUUUUCAAAUGUGAAAAAAGAAAAUGUAAGGUAGUAACUAAAUAUAUUAUAGCAUCAAAGCAAGAUUUGAUAUGAAUUUAGUACAACAAAGAACAUCAAAUCUGUGAUUCCUUGUCUAAUGUCACCAUCGAGCAACAAAUUUAAAAGCCUACCUAUCAAAUACACGAGGCAAUAAACGGAGAAAAAGUUGAAUUACAAGAACAAGUUUACAAUUCUUGUCAAUGGUUAAUGAUUUGUGAACUGCAUAGCAUUCAAGAAUCCAAUUUCAAUACAACAACCUAAAAGAUAAACAGAUGAUGAAUUUUAUGAGAUAAAGAAGGAGAUCGUGUUUUAUCGUAUCUCUAUUUUCUUUCUUUUUAAAUUUAAAAUAAGCUUUUCAACCGGUUUGGUAACUGGUUAUAAUAUUUUUUAAAAUAAUUAAAUAUUUUCAUUAUUAAAAAUAAUGUGUACCGUUGAUUACAUCUAACGGUACAUAUUUCUUACACUACUAAUACCGUAAAAAAAAAAAGGCAUCAUAGAAGGACCCUUAAAACAUUUUCAUUUGAAAUUAUUUGGUGUAGUCAAAAAGUUAAGAAAGAAAUAGUUGUCCCUUUGGUCAUUUCACAAAAAUGAAAGCCCCAUAUAACAUGGACUUGAAUGGAAGCCCAAUUGUUUGUGUUUGAUUUCAAGCUUUAUCGGACCUUUGGACCUGGAUACUUUACUGCGGCCUCUAAGCCCUAUAAAUUUUUUUUUGGGAUAAAAGGUGCUUCAAUGAAAAAGCACUUUAAAACUUUGGAUUUUGCCAAAACUUCAAAGCGGUUGGUCCAGUUACGGUGUGUUAUGCUAACGGGUUUAAAGGUUCCGAUCCAAUGAGUUAGGGUGGAAUAUGAAUAUAUAAAUUCCAUAGCAUGUAAGGACUAGGAUUUGUUUGUUCAUAUCAAGAAAAAAAAUCUGAAAAUUUGAUGAUCAGAAGAUAAAAACACUUAAACACGUUUAUUACAGAGAAACAAACGACAACAUGAUACUAGUAGUAGUUAUUCUUUUCAUCCGAUAUAUUACAUGGUAAUAUCACUACUCGUUCCACUGGUUUCAUAUACACCAUCGAUCAGCAACAUGAUAAUUUUGUGUCAGUUCAUUUUGUUUGUAGGAAAGAGCAGUGUAUUUAUAAUAAAAAGAUUUUAAAAUAUAAAUUGCAUAUUUGUUUAUUACUGUUGUUUGGUCUAAUUUCUUAUGUAGAAUUGCUUGUCAUUCUUUGGACGUUAUUGGUUAUAUUUUUGUCAGACUUGGCGUAUAUAUUCACAUACAUUUUAUUUUGUCAUUUUUUAGAACAUUUUUACACGCCAUAUUAUCACUACUCUUCUCUGUCUGAAUAAGAAGAAAGCAUCAACGGAGGUGUAUUACCACUGUUUCUUACUCAGUUAUCAUCAACGGAGUACCAAGAGGCUUGAUUUUUCCUGAAAGAGGACUUAGGCAAGGGUGUCCACUCUCCCCAUACCUGUUCCUUUUAUGUGCUGAGGUCUUUUCCAGCUUGCUGUCCCAGGCAGAAAGAAAUUAGCAAAUUAAGGGCUUGAGAUUCACUAAAGAUGUUACUAUCUCCCAUCUCCUCUUUGCGAAUGAUAGUCUAAUUUUCACAAGAGCUGCAGUGGCUAAUUGCAAGCAUCUAAAAGGUCUAUUUGAUACUUAUGCGAAGGCAUCGGGGCAUAUUUUUAACUUUGAAAAGUCAUCUAUGUUUUUCAGUGGUAAAAUUUUUUAGGGGCAGAUUUCAGCGAUCAAGAGUAUCUUCAAGCUUAAGGUGGUUCCUGUUGUGCAAAUUUUAAUGAACUCGCAAGCGCACGAAUCUAUUGUAGUAUAGAUCAAUGGUGACGAGUGUCGAUCCCACGAGGAGGUGGAUUUUAAUUAUAUGUAGAAUUAAUUUUGUAAAUGGGUGGUUGGAAUUGUAGUGGAAAUGAUUUGGAAUAUGCUAAAACUUAAAUUAAAAUGGCGAGAAUAAAUUAUGAAAUUGGAAUUGCAAUGGCGAGAAUAAAUUGAAGUGAAAUCUAUUGAAAUAACGUACUUGGGUAUCCGGAUCCGUAUCAACAUGCAUCAUGGGCUAAAUAAUCCGUAUUAAUGCCAAUUAAAUCAUGAGGGGGGAAUCCACACCUCAUGAACCACGCUCUAAUCAAUAUGGUGCUAAGGGCUUAUCGUGCCAAAUAAUAAUAACCUUAUACUAGAGAGCCGGUGUAACCAAGGCGGUAUCUAGACAAGAUUACUAUUAUUUGUCGACGAAAAGUCAAAACAUCCACAAAAACUAGAGGGGAAGAGAAAAUAAAUUUACCAAAUUAAGCCCAUGAAAAUAAUCCUGUGUGAUGCAUGCACCGUACGCGAAAUUUUUCGUCCACUGAUAUGCUGCCACGUCACCAUCAACAGUACAUAAGAAUUUUAGUCCAACAGGAUCGUGACACCUCAUCAGUCAAUGCCACAUCAUCGGUCAAUGCCACGUCAUCGAUCCGUCUAUGUGAACAGUGUCGUGAACAGUAACGUAGACAGUACCGUAUACGUGAAUAGUACCGUACAUGUGAAUAGUGCCAUUUUUCCUUUUAUGCUCCUCCUAAGGUUUUCGACCGUCCUGAGUUCAAAAGUGAUGUCCGUUUUGCUGUCUGAUCUCUCCUUUAUUGUGAAAUGACUAUAAUGCCCCUAAAAUACAUAAAAUACUUAAUUAAAAUAACACACACGUAAUUACAUCACAAAAAGGUUAAAUACAUAAAAGUAAGGGUUGUUAGUAAGACUUGAAAUGUAAAAUGAUGGUUUUCUCCUUUAUAAAUAUGCAUUUUCUAAUACUCAACACACCCCCCAACCAGCUUAUUGCUAGUCCCUAGUAAAUAAAGCGAAAACAAAAUUCAAAUUCAAAAUAUUUUUUUAGAAACACUCGUGUUUAUUCAAUCAGAUUAAUGAUAGCAAUCAAAUAAAAGUAUAAGCAUUAUCUCCAGUCUAAAGCAAUAUCACACCCAUAUCAACCAUCCACAUGAAUCGGCCCAGUAGACUUUGUUAUAGCUACUUUCAAGAAUGACAUGUUAAACCCCAAAAUCUCACUGGAAGUAGUGACACUCUCACAAAGAAAUUAAAACCCAAUAAACAUAGUCACUCCAAUGAAUAGUAAUUGAGAGAGAAAAUAAUAAAGAAAUGAUAUCACAUGCUCUCACCAAGAUGAAAUAAAUAUGCCCUCAGCUUAGAAAUAAUACGAUCUCAAGUCAAAUAAAAUGUUAGUCAACCCACUUUAUUUAUCUUCUUUUUUUUUUUAUUAUUAUGCAUCACUACAUCUUUUUAGCCCAUAUAACUAGCUUCUACUUCAAACUAUAGUUCCCUAAAAUCAAGAAGGACUUUUAUUAGGACGUAACGUAGGCUAGGGAUAUGGCUAACAAAGAAAGGAAAUAAGGAAAACAAAGUGUAUGUUUGAGAAAAAUGCAGAAAUAUAUAUAUAUAUAUAUAUAUAUUUUUUUUUUUUUUUGAAGUUGCAAGGUGGAUUUCACCUAUUAUUGUUAUUUUAUUCUUUUGAAACAACAACUUUUGUUUUUUUGUUUUUUUUUUAUUUUUUGUUUUUUUUUUUGCUUUUAUUUGGCAUAACUUCACUGAACAACAUAAUUAUUUACAUUUUCUCAAACAUAAAUAGGUGAUGGAACUUAUAAGACAUCGAGUAAUACUCCAAAUCGGAGUGAGUCAAGAUGAUAAGUUGACAAAGAAAAGGUUUUAUUUAUUUAUUUUUUUUUAAAGGCUCAAAAGGGGUAACUAUGGAUAUUUAAUAAAAGGGAUGGCUAGAAAGGCUCAAACGGAUCAAAGAUGGCCUUUCCAUCGUCUUUUAGGGCUCUAAAUAAUUAUCCAUAUCUACUAGUUAGAUGGGCCUCCCAAUGUAGCAACACACAUUUUUUUUUUUUUUUUUUAAUUUUACCAUUUUUUUUAAAGGGUUAACUCAAAAGAAAUCUAGAGAUCGUGUAUAAAAUAAUAAACUGCUAAGCUGUAUAGAAAAUGGGCAAAAGGGUUACUCUCCAAGAAAAUGAUAGGCUCAACAACUCACUUGACACUUAUUUAUGACAUGUUCAUUCCUUCAAGCAACUCAUAUUUGUCUCCGACAUCAACAUGUAAAGUAGCAAACAUAGCGUAACAUCACUUAAGACCAAAGAUAAUACAAAUACUAAAAUUUGAAAUUAAUCAUGUCAUCCAAUGUUAAAACAAAUAACACAAAUUUUUUUUUUUUUAAACAACAUUCUACCCCCCAACCUAUUCUAAACAUGAAAAGAAAAUAUGCAUGCAGAAAUGUGAAAAUGAUGUAGAAAAAUUAAUUAGAAAAAGAUUUUUUUUUUUUAAAACUAAGAAGAUGCGUUUCUAGAGGCACUACACUCCAUAUUCAGCCAUCUUCGACUCAAAAGUUGGAAAAUGUAUAUUUAUAGAGGAGAAAAUAAAAAGAAGAAGAAAAAUGAAGUAGAAAAAUUAAUUAGAAAAAGAAUUUUUUUUUUCGAACAAUGAAGAUGCGUUUCUAGAGUAACUACACUCCAUAUUCAGCCAUCUUCAACACAAAAAGUUAGCAACAGUUAGUUUCUACAACAAAAAAUUAGUAAAAACUUAACCAAGAUUCCACAAUUGUCGACUAUUCCCUCCCCCCAACCAGAACGAAACAUUGUCCUCAAUGUUUGAAAGGAAAGAAGUAGAGUUUAGAAGACAUCACCUGGGUGGUGCAACACAGAAGAAUAUAUUUACAGGCGGAGAGUUAAAUCUAAUUUGUACUUCUUACUGCGGCUACUGUUACCAUCAUUAGUUGGUCGCUCCAACACAAAGGUCCAGGGGUCUGGCUCCGGUUUAUAAGCUUGUAACAUAUCAAGUAGCUCAUUAGCAGUGUGAGCACAAAUAAAGAGUUUUUUCACAUUAGAAUGCGAUAAAGUCAUCAUAAAAGUUAUUGACAUUUAACAAACCAAUAGGUUUCUGGUGGAUGUGCAGAUGGGCCCAAGAUGCUAGUGUCAUAAAUGCUUCUAGUGUUGCAAGAUCUCCUGGAAGGAAAAUAAAAGCAUCAGCAUGAUUAAGCAUUUCAGUUAUUCUUUCUUGCAUACCUGAGACGACUAACUCUUCUCCAGUUGAUGAGUCAGACGAACUGCCCAAUGGUUUUAGGACUCUUGGGAUGAUGCCUAACACUUGACUUCCUCUGAUAAAAGCUGCUUCUGAGACCAUUUUUGAUAACCCUCGGUUACCUCCUCCAUACACCAAGUGUAAUUUUCUCGCUGCUAUGCUUCGACCAAGAUCUAUGGCUGCCUCCACAAACUCUUUAUGUUUGCCACAGGUAAAUCCAGAAAGCACACAAAUGUUCUUGAAUUGUCUAAUGGGAGUAGCUGCCAUUGUGAUACUUCUCAAAAACAAUUUGUGAGUGCUUGACAAAAGAUAAAUCACAUUUAAGAAUCUUGGUGACAGUGGAUCACAACUGUGAAUGAGGUAACAUGUCAGUGUCAAAUAACGCGUAAAGCACGUGGCUCGCGAGUCAAAAAGGAAACAAUAAAAAAAAGAAAAAGCAAACAGUAACAAAAUUAUUAAAGACAAAAAUAAAACAACAGUGAAAUGAAAUAAAAUAACAGUAAAGUAAAAGGAUAUUUACACGUAGUUGCGACUGUGGCUCACAUCUUCCUCUGGUUUUACGUCCAGAAACGGCUUGAACGCCCUCUAUGGGUCGAGGAUAGGCUUCCUAUCCAGUUUUCUUAUAAACUGGCAAACAGGGUCGUUUAUAGUCAGAUUCCCGAGACUAUAUCGUGCAUGCUCUUUCUGGAAUAAUGGCCAUAACUGGAGAACCGCUCCUUGCACAUAUCCACUAGGAUGCGUUUCAAGAGACAAAAGGAUAUCAUCCAAUGACUCCUUAUUCAAGCCAUCCCUAAUGAAUUGAAUCUUAUAUUCCCUGUUAUCAGACACCAUUCCUAAAGAACAUGGGUUUCUAUCGCAACUCAUUCUGGCACACUUAUGACAAGCAACAGAAAUUCUUCGAGCUCGUCGUUUUCUUCCAUAAUUUCCUUUACCACAACCAGGCAUGAAUGCAAUAAAUUUUGGAGGAAACUCACCUGCCGAUCGUACUUUAGCCUCGAUUAACCAACGGAUGUCAGCAGGUAUGUUAUUCCUCAUGAGUAAUCGCAUGCGUUCGGAUCGAGCUUUAUAGAUCGUAAGGAGGGCAUUCUGAGGAAGUGAAGGGAAUCGCUUGUGAAGCUUCGCUAGAAUCUCGUUUCUGUUCAUACUUUCACCUCAGAAUGUCAGUUAUUAUGGGAAACUGAAGUAACCGACUUGAUUGUCACGGAGUACCGUUAUCCGCCACUUCACCGGGGUAACAAACUAAAGCACAUAAACAGAAAAACAAAUCAAAACACACAAAGAAAAUUAAAAUCGUCCUCUUAUUGAAUUUACCUCAAGCUCCAACUGGAUGUCGUAAACACUUCUCUCAAUGUCUCUGAGUUGGCGUUCUAAACCCUCAACAUAGGCUACUAACUCUGGUGGUUGUAGAGCCCAAAUGCGUUGUGUUUUACAAAAUUGAAUCUGCCUUUUGAGAUGAGUUUUGAUACGUUGAAGUGGUUUAAGAAUGUUCAGGAGGAACGGUCUAAGUAUGAGACUCAUGAUUAAAAAUGAUAAGAGAAAACUUAAUGGUAAAAUAAACACACUUAUGCAAAAACAAUUUCAAUUAGCAAAAGAAUAAUAAUAAAAAGAAAGAAAGAAAAAUCAAAUCAACGAAAAGAAAAAAAAUCAAUUCAAAUUUGGUGGGUCACUCAAAUUUAUUUCGGUGUCUUCUCUAUGUGGUUGGUACUCAAGAUAUGGCUUUAAUCUUUGACCAUUAACUUUAAACGUGACACCGUUCUUUGGGUCCUUAAUUUCAAUUGCCCCAUGUGGAAAAACAGUAUGAACAAUAAAGGGACCAGACCAUCGAGAGCGUAACUUACCUGGGAAUAGGUGCAAGCGAGAAUUGAAUAAAAGCACUUUCUGACCUGGAGUGAAAGAUUUUCUCAUAAUGUGCUUGUCAUGAAAGACUUUCAUUCGUUGCUUGUAAAUUUUGGCAUUUUCGUAUGCAUCAUUGCGAAUUUCUUCAAGUUCUGCCAGCUGUAAUAUUCUUUCUGAGCUGGCUUGUUGCAUGUCAAAAUUGAAUUUCUUGAUGGCCCAAUACGCACGAUGCUCGAGUUCCACAGGUAGGUGGCAAGCUUUUCCAUACACUAGCCUGUAGGGUGACAUCCCAAUCGGGGUCUUGAAAGCCGUUCUAUAUGCCCAUAAUGCAUCAUCAAGUCUUAAUGACCAAUCUUUCCUGUCUGGCCUCACCGUUUUUUCUAAUAUGUGCUUUAUUUCUCGAUUGGAUAUCUCAACUUGGCCACUGGUUUGCGGAUGAUACGGGGUCGCCACUUUGUGUGUGAUUGAAUACUUUGUCAAAAGAGCCUUGAAUGCUUUGUUACAAAAGUGGGCACCACCAUCACUGAUUAUCGCUCGAGGGAAUCCAAAGCGUGAAACAAUGUUGCUUUUCAAAAAUCCUAUCACCACUUUGUGAUCAUUGGUUCUGCAUGGAAUUGCUUCCACCCAUUUCGAUACGUAGUCAACACCAACCAAUAUGUAUUGAUGGCCAAAAGAAGGGGGAAAGGGUCCCAUGAAGUCGAUACCCCAUACGUCAAAAAUCUCAACCACUAAAAUUGGAUUUAGUGGCAUCAUGUUCCUUCGUGUAAUGCUCCUCAUUCGUUGACACCUAUCACAUGAAGAACAAAAAGUGUAAGCAUCUCGAAAUAUAGUUGGCCAAUAAAAACCACAUUGUAAAACUUUAGUCACGGUUUUCUUAGCACUGAAGUGGCCUCCACAAGCUUGUUCAUGGCAGAAUGAAAGGAUAUUCUGAAUUUCACUUUCUGGGACACAUCGUCUAACAAUUUGGUCUGCACAAUACUUGAACAAAUACGGGUCAUUGUUGAGUGUUAGAAAAUGCAUAUUUAUAAAGGAGAAAACUGUCAUUUUAUGUUUCAAGUCUUACUAACAACCCUUACUUUUAUGUAUUUAACCUUCUUGUAAUGUAAUUACGUGUGUGUUAUUUUAAUUAAGUAUUUUAUGUAUUUUAGGGGCAUUAUAGUCAUUUCACAAUAAAGGAGAGAUCAGACGGCAAAACGGACAUCACUUUUGAACUCAGGACGGUCGAAAACCUUAGGAGGAGCAUAAAAGGAAAAAUGGCACUAUUCACAUAUACGGUAGUAUUCACGUAUACGGUACUGUCUACGUUACUGUUCACGACACUGUUCACAUAGACGGAUCGAUGACGUGGCAUUGACCGAUGAUGUGGCAUUGACUGAUGAGGUGUCACGAUCCUGUUGGACUAAAAUUCUAAUGUACUGUUGAUGGUGACGUGGCAGCAUAUCAGUGGACGAAAAAUCUCGCGUACGGUGCAUGCAUCACACAUGAUUAUUUUCAACCAAACCGCGUUACUGUUCAUCCGGGUCAAACCGUGUUACUGUUCAUCCGCGUGGUCAAACCGUGGACUGUUGACUGAUGACGUGGCGCAAUCCUGAGCGUCCAAACUGUUUUUAAUCCGAUGGCCAUGAUUUACUCCAUGUAUCUAUAAAAAGGGGGCCUCCCCCCCAUAAUUUGAUAUCUCUGAAUCCAUUUUUGGGAUCCAUUUUCUGUAAUUCCUUCUCCAUCUUGUAUUUUCUUUGUAUUUUAAUAAAUUCCCUUUUUGCCCCUAGUUCAAUUAUGAGUAGCUAAUUUCUUUUCAAGCUUGGGUUGAAGGUGAAGUCUCAACAUGUGUCAUGGGCUUUAUUUGGUAAAUUUAUUUUCUUUUCCCCUCUAGUUUUUGUGGAUGAUUUGACUUAUCGUCGAUAAAUAAUAAUGAUCUUGUCUAGAUACCGCCUUGGUUACACCGGCUCUCUAGUAUAAGGUUAUUAUUAUUUGGCACGAUAAGCCCUUAGCACCAUAUUGAUUAGAGCGUGGUUCAUGAGGUGUGGAUUCCCCCCUCAUGAUUUAAUUGGCAUUAAUAUGGAUUAUUUAGCCCAUGAUGCAUGUUGAUACGGAUCCAGAUACCCAAGUACGUCAUUUCAAUAGAUUUCGCUUCAACUUAUUCUCGCCAUUGCAAUUCCAAUUUUAGAAUUUAUUAUCGCAAUUUCAAUUCCAAUUUUAGGAUAAUUUAAAUCACUUCCACCACAAUUCCAACCACCCAUUUUGCAAAAUUAAUUCUAUACACAAUUAAAAUCCACCUCCUCGUGGGAUCGACACUCGUCACCAUUGAUCUACACUACAAUAGAUUCGUGCGCUUGCGAGUUCAUUAAAAUUUGCACAACAGUCAUCCCAAAAGAAAUUCUUUAUUUCUACAAAGAAUUUAGCCUUGUCUUGCUUGGUCCAAUGCUCUGGAAAUUUACCUGUAACAAGAUAAUUAACUAUAUCAGCAUACCAAGGUAAUACUUCCACAUUCAUCAAUUGUUCAUCUGGAAAUGACUCAUUCAAUAUUAAUGGCUCUGUAAUUGUGUCAAAAUGGAGACGAGAGAGGUGGUCCGCCACAACAUUCUCUGUGCCUUUCUUAUCUUUGAAUUCCAAGUCAAACUCCUGCAAAAGUAACACCCAACGAAUUAGUCUAGCUUUUGCAUCUUUCUUUGUGAGAAGAUAUUUAAGAGCAGCAUAAUCUGUGAAUACAAUUAUUUUACAACCAAUGAGAUAAGAUCGAAAUUUUUCUAAUGCAAACACUACUGCUAGCAUUUCUUUUUCAGUAGUUGAAUAAUUCAACUGUGCAUCAUUGAAUGUCAUACUAGCAUAGUAAAUAACAUGGGGAAUUCGAUCAACUCUUUGUCCUAAUACUGCUCCUACGGCAUAAUCAGAUGCAUCACACAUUAGCUCAAAUGGUAAGCUCCAGUUUGGGGCCUGAAUGAUGGGUGAUGAUGUCAACAACUGUUUUAAUUUUUCAAAUGCAACAAGACAUGAAUCAUUAAAGACAAAAGGUACAUCCUUAGCAAGUAGAUUGCAUAAGGGUCUAGAAACUUUGCUAAAAUCUUUAAUGAAACAUCUAUAAAAACCAGCAUGCCUAAGGAAAGAUCUUACUUCUCUGAUUGUUUUGGGUGGAGGAAGAUUAGAAAUGAGAUCCACCUUGGCUUUGUCAACCUCAAUACCUUUGCUCGAAAUGAUGUGACCGAGAACAAUACCUUGUUUUACCAUAAAAUGGCACUUCUCCCAAUUUAAGACUAAGCUCUUCGCGGUACAUCUCUGCAGAACUAGCGUUAGAUGAUGUAAACAUUGAUCAAACGAGUCACCAAAGAUAGAAAAAUCAUCCAUAAAGACUUCAAGGAAUCGUUCAACCAUAUCAGAAAAAAUGCUCAACAUGCAUCGUUGAAAUGUAGCAGGUGCAUUACAUAAUCCAAAUGGCAUUCUCCUAUAUGCAAAAGUGCCAAAAGGGCAAGUAAAAGUAGUUUUCUCUUGAUCUUUUGGUGCUAUGGGAAUCUGAUUAUAUCCUGAGUAGCCAUCUAGAAAGCAAUAAAAUUCAUGGCCUGCUAAUCUAUCAAGCAUUUGAUCAAUAAAUGGUAAAGGAAAAUGGUCUUUACGUGUGACAGAAUUCAACUUUCUAUAAUCAAUGCAUACACGCCAUCCUGUAGUUACUCUAGUUGGUAUCAAUUCAUUAUCAGCAUUGGUAACUACUGUGACUCCUGACUUUUUGGGGACAACUUGUACAGGACUGACCCAUGAACUAUCAGAAAUUGGGUAAAUGAUACCUGCGUCUAAUAGCUUAAGGACUUCUGUUCUAACAACUUCUUUCAUAUUAGGAUUUAACCGACGUUGCAUUUCCCUAGUAGAUUUAGCAUUUUCAUCAAGGUGAAUGUAAUGCAUGCAGUCUACUGGAUUUAUACCUUUUAUGUUCGCUAUGGUCCAUCUUAAUGCUCCUUUGUGCUAUUUAAAACAUCCAACAACUUACCUUUUUGUUCGUCAUUUAGGGAUGAUGAGAUGAUUACCGGCAGAGUACUUUCUUCUCCCAAAAACGCAUAUUCCAAUGUGUUGGGUAAUGGUUUGAGCUCGAGUUUCGGUGGUGAUUCUGAUGAUGGGAUGAGUUUCUUCUCUGAUGGUGCUAGUUGUUCAACUCUUGACUUCCAUUUAUUAGUGUCCAUGGAUGGUGCUGAGUCAAGUAGGGCGUUGACCUCAUCAACUGAUCUGUCAAUAUCAAAAUCCAAACCAAAGUGAGUUAAACAUGUUUAUAAAGGAUCAUCACUAAGGUUUGAAAGAAAAGUAUUAUCAACUAUUGUUUCUAUUAAAUCCACAUCAACAAUUCCAUCAUCUGCACUGUGAGGUUGUUUGGCAAUGUUGAAGAUGUUCAGCUCCAUAGUCAUGCUGCCGAAGGACAACUGCAUAUUUCCAGUCCUGCAUUGAAUGUGAGCAUCCGCAGUUGCCAAGAAAGGUCGACCUAGAAUAAUAGGGAUGUGCUUCCUUGAAUCCUGUAUUGGUUGAGUGUCAAUUACAAUGAAAUCAACAGGAAAAUAAAACUUGUCUACCUGGAUAAGCACGUCCUCCACAAUACCACGAGGUAUUUUCGUGGACCGAUCUGCAAGCUGUAACACCACUGGAGUUGGGUGUAAUUCUCCCAGUCCAAGUUUCACGAAUACAGAGUAAGACAAAAGAUUUACACUAGCUCCUAAAUCCAACAAAGCAUUCUCAAUUGUGUGGUUCCCUAUACUACAUGAGAUAGUGGGGGAGCCUGGGUCUUUGCAUUUUAAAGGAAUUUUAUGUUGGAGUAUAGAACUAACAUUUACUGUUAAAAAUGCCUUCUUUUGAACAUGCAUAUUUCUCUUUUUAGUACAAAGGUCUUUAAGAAACUUGGCAUAAGAUGGAACUUGCUUUAUAGCAUCAAGUAAAGGGAUGUUAACACUUACCUGUUUGAAGAUUUCGAGAAUCUCACCUGUGGAUUUUCCCUUCUUUCCUUUCGCUAACCUCUGAGGAAAUGGAGCUUUGGGAACGUAUUCUCGUGGGUUGGUUUCUUCUUUUUCCUCCGGUGGUGAGUCCUCAACAUUCACAGGUACAAUUUGAUUUUCUUUUGUCACCGGCAUCUCCACUUUGUUGUCGACUUCCUUUCCUUUUCGCAAGGUCAUGACUGCUUUGACCUCUCCAUGCUGUUGUGGUGAACUGGUACUUGCUUCAUGUACUCCUUUAGGAUUAGGCACUGGUUGACUUGGAAAUUUACUUUUCUCAACAGUAAUUGCCAAGGUCUGAACUGAAGAAGCAAGUUGUCCCACCAUCUUCUCGAGGCUUGAAACUGAUUGGGCUUGUGAGUUGAAGCCCGCUCUCAACUCAUUUCGUAGUCCAUCAAUAGUGCGGUUCUGUUGCUCAAUCGUAGAGUGAGUAACAUUCUUGAGAUUUUGGAAUGAAUCCUCCCAUGGUCUGGGUUGAGAGUAGUUCUUGUUCUGAUUGUAUGGUCUGAAUGGUGGCUGAGAGGCUUGAGGAUUUUGAGGAAUUUGUUGCAUUGGUGGAGCUGGAGCUGCUGGUCCAUUCUGUUGGAAUCCUUGAGACCAUGAAAAAUUGGGGUGGUCUCUCCAUCCAGGGUUAUAUGUGUUGGAGUAUGGGUUGUAAUUAGAUGGCUUUCUCAUUACACCUAUGGCAUUGGCUUGAUCUGGAUAUGAGUCAGGGUCACGUGAUUCUGUUGAUUUAGCAGUCGAUAACGAUGUUAUUUGUCGAGCAAGACCUUCAACCAUCUCCUUGACUUCUUUGAUUCCCGAAGUUGACUCGCCAAUGUGAACCUCAUUCACUCCUUUAAUCCUUCUAGUAUUCCUGAGUGAUCGACUCCGUUGUUGGGAAUUGUCCGCUUGUCGCUGGAAAAACUCCCAAAUUUCUGAUGCACUUUUUGACAUUAGCUCUCCUCCACUUGUUGCCAUUAGCCAUUCUUGCACAUUCGGCAAUAAUCCCUUCAAAAAGUAUUGGUAUUGGUGCCAUUUCUCGUACCCAUGAUGUGGACACUUCAAGAGUAGUCCAUUGAAUCGCUCCCAAGUUUCGAAAAACUGCUCGUCCUCUCUUUGUGUAAACUCUGAGAUUUCCCUGCGAAUAGAAUUGGUUUUAUGCACUGGGAAAUAUUUAUUUAGAAAUUUUGUAACCAUUUGUUCCCAUGAUGCAAUGCUAUUAGCAGGCAAAGUAUUUAACCAUGAACGAGCUCUAUCCUUUAAAGAAAAUGGGAAUAAUCUAAGUUUAACAUCAUCGUCUGAAAAAUUUUCAUAUUUAAAAGUUUGACAAAUGGCAUGAAAAUCAUUCAGAUGAUUAUAUGGGUCCUCAUUUUCUAGGCCAUAGAAUGUGGGGAGACAAUUUAGCACACUAGGUUUUAAUUCAAAACUCCUAGCAGCUACAUUUGGGUAUCUUAUGCAUGAUGUGCUCAAAUUAGCUAAGGGACUAAAAUAAUCCUUAAAUGGCCUCUCCUGUGGUGCUUGUAAAUCCAUUUUAUUUUUAAAUUGUUUGUGUGUGCGAAGUGUUUUUUCUAAUUCAAGGUCUAUAGGUUCAAGAUUUGGUAAUAAUGACCUACGACCAUGCAUGCAAAACAAAUAAAAUAAAAAUAAAGAUGGGAAUAAAACGAAUAAAAAUAAAGAAAAAUGAGAAAUUACGAUACUAACCUUAUUGCGCUGUUACAACUUUUCUAUAAAAACACACUAAAACAAAUACGUGAAAUAAAUUAACUAAAAAUAAAUUAAUUAAAAAAAAUUACAAAGAAAAAUAACUUAAAAAUUAAAUUGCAGAAUUGUAAAGAAUAGAGAAAGAAAAGAAAUUAUUACCUCUAAUUGCAGAUUCACUUUUUUUUUUCUCUUUUUUUUUAUAAAAAAAUACAAGAAAACAAAUAAAAGAAAUUAUUCACAAAAAUUAAUUCUAUGAAUUAAAAUUACUUACCUCCCCGGCAACGGCGCCAAAAACUUGUUGUGCAAAUUUUAAUGAACUCGCAAGCGCACGAAUCUAUUGUAGUAUAGAUCAAUGGUGACGAGUGUCGAUCCCACGAGGAGGUGGAUUUUAAUUAUAUGUAGAAUUAAUUUUGUAAAUGGGUGGUUGGAAUUGUGGUGGAAAUGAUUUGGAAUAUGCUAAAACUUAAAUUAAAAUGGCGAGAAUAAAUUCUGAAAUUGGAAUUGCAAUGGCGAGAAUAAAUUGAAGUGAAAUCUAUUGAAAUAACGUACUUGGGUAUCCGGAUCCGUAUCAACAUGCAUCAUGGGCUAAAUAAUCCGUAUUAAUGCCAAUUAAAUCAUGAGGGGAGAAUCCACAUCUCAUGAACCACGCUCUAAUCAAUAUGGUGCUAAGGGCUUAUCGUGCCAAAUAAUAAUAACCUUAUACUAGAGAGCCGGUGUAACCAAGACGGUAUCUAGACAAGAUUACUAUUAUUUGUUGACGAGAAGUCAAAACAUCCACAAAAACUAGAGGGGAAGAGAAAAUAAAUUUACCAAAUUAAGCCCAUGACACAUGUUGAGACUUCACCUUCAACCCAAGCUUGAAAGAAAAUUAGCCACUCAUAAUUGAACUAGGGGCAAAAUGGGAAUUUAUUAAAAUACAAAGAAAAUACAAGAUGGAGAAGGAAUUACAGAAAAUGGAUCUCAAAAAUGGAUUCAGAGCUAUCAAAUUAGGGGGGGGAGGCCCCCUUUUUAUAGAUACAUGGAGUAAAUCAUGGCCAUCGGAUUAAAAACAGUUUGGACGCUCAGGAUUGCCCCACGUCAUCAGUCAACAGUCCACGGUUUGACCACGCGGAUGAACAGUAACACAGUUUGACCCGGAUAAACAGUAACACGGUUUGGUUGAAAAUAAUCCUGUGUGAUGCAUGCACCGUACGCGAGAUUUUUCGUCCACUGAUAUGCUGCCACGUCACCAUCAACAGUACAUAAGAAUUUUAGUCCAACAGGAUCGUGACACCUCAUCAGUCAAUGCCACAUCAUCGGUCAAUGCCACGUCAUCGAUCCGUCUAUGUGAACAGUGUCGUGAACAGUAACGUAGACAGUACCGUAUACGUGAAUAGUACCGUACAUGUGAAUAGUGCCAUUUUUCCUUUUAUGCUCCUCCUAAGGUUUUCGACCGUCCUGAGUUCAAAAGUGAUGUCCGUUUUGCUGUCUGAUCUCUCCUUUAUUGUGAAAUGACUAUAAUGCCCCUAAAAUACAUAAAAUACUUAAUUAAAAUAACACACACGUAAUUACAUCACAAAAAGGUUAAAUACAUAAAAGUAAGGGUUGUUAGUAAGACUUGAAAUGUAAAAUGAUGGUUUUCUCCUUUAUAAAUAUGCAUUUUCUAAUACUCAACAGUUCCCAAAUAUGAAAGAUGCUUAGGCCUCCCAUCCAUGAUAGGCCGGAAGAAGAUGAGUUUUUUCAAGGAUGUCAAAUUAAAGGUUUUAAGAAAAAUUUCCAACUGGCACCAUAAAAUGUUCUCUAGUGGUGGAAAGGAAGUUCUUUUUAAAGCAGUCGCUCAAGCCAUCCCAGCAUAUGCCAUGAGCGUUUUCAAGCUCCUGAAGGGGCUAUGUGAAGACAUCCAAAGAGUUAUAGCCAAAUUUUGGUGGGGUUCGAAUCAAGAUAAGCAAGCAAUACACUGGUCGAGAUGGGAAAAAUUAAGUUGUGCAAAGAGUAGAUGGGGGCUGGGAUUCAGAGAUUUUACCAGCUUCAAUCAAGCAAUGGUGGCUAAACAAGGUUGGAGGCUGCUUCAGUUCCCGGAUUCCCUGGUAUCCAAGUUACUGCAGGCCAAAUACUACAGGAACUCCUCAUUCUUGAAUGCAAAGGAAGGUUCUAAUCCUUCUUUUAUCUGGAAAAGCAUCCUUUGGGGUAGGCUAGUUAUAAAAAAAAGGGCAAGAUGGCGAAUUGGGAAUGAGAGCAAUAUUCGGGUGUACAAAGACAAUUGGCUGCCAAGAUUGGAUACUUUCAAACCGAUAUCCCCUCCAACAUUGCCCAUGGAAACAACAGUGGCCAAGUUGAUAACUGAGGACAGCCACUGGAAUGAAGCUAAGCUAAAGCACCACUUUUUCGAGGAGGACACAGAAGCAAUACUCAAAAUUUCCCUCCCCCCAAGCCAUAAAGAGGAUUCCUUACUAUGGCAUUUUGACAAAAGAGAGGCAUACACUGUAAAAAGUGGCUACCAGGUGGCUCUCAAGCUUAAAUUCCCAAAUCAGGCCAGCAGCUCAGCCAGCCCCCCCCCCAAGAUGGAAUAAUCUGUGGUCUCUUAACUGGCCUGAAAAAAUCAAAAUCUUCAUGUGGAGAGCAUCCAAAAACCUUUUUCCAACAGCUGAAAACUUGUGGAAAAGAAAAUGUCUCCAAGAUCCAAUUUGCAAAAGAUGCUGCAGAAGUGUAGAAACCACUUACCAUGCUCUGCUAGAGUGUAAAGCAACGAAGAAGAUCUGGAAUCAUGCUCCUCUCCAGCUGAUAAGAAGCUACGCAGAACUAAUCGUGUAGCCAAACCCAACAGCAAGUACAUGGAAUAUGCAUGGGCACGUCAUUAGCCAUGCAACGUUUGAGAUGAUGAUCUGGAGCUGACUUCUUCAAAUUAACCGUUGCUUAUUUGGAGGAGAUCUUUCAUGCAAGUAUUUGUUUUGGUAUAUUUUGGAAUAAUAGUCAGGUUGUUGAGAUGUUGUUAACGACUUGAUUUAGUUAGCUUUGUUCAAGCCUUGUUUCACGGCUAAGGAAAUUAGUUUUGUAUUAGACUAUAAAUAAGCUCUUUUAUUCAAUAAGAAGAUCAUCAGAUUUUUAUUCCAAAAACAUUAUUUGUGGUAGUUCUCGCCCAAAGAAGAACAAGCAAUUUACUUUGUCAAUUCUGCUAGUUUUGACUGGGACCUCUAUUAGUGGUAUCAGAGCUAGGUUAGGAUGGCAACCAACAAAGAGCGUAUCGAGCGAAUAGAAACAGAGGUCGGAGAUAUACAAGACAAGAUGCAACAGUUGGAGUUGGGGAUCAAUGACAAAUUGGCACACAUUGAGGCAACAUUAAGCAAGCUUGCGGACUCAAUCAAUACUUCAAGAGGGUUGCCAAGUAUCAACAACAAUACUGCAUCUUCACGACUGGGCCGAGAAGUCAGUACAGGAGGGCCUCAACAUUUCCAAUCCAAGGUAGCAAAACUAGAAUUCCCUCACUAUUCGGGCGACGACCCCACCGAAUGGUUCAAUCGUGCAAGUUAGUUCUUCGAAUAACAGGAAUCAACAGACGAUCAGAAAGUGGUUCUAGCGUCAUUCCACUUGGAGGGGGAAGCAAAUCAGUGGUGGCAGUGGCUUCGAAGGUCUUAUCAAGAUGAAGGCAAAGUCGUGACUUGGGAGGUGUUUAUGGAGGAGUUAUGGGCAAGGUUUGGACCGACAGACUGUGAAGAUUUCAACGAGGCUCUCUCACGGGUUAAACAAACCGGUACUCUCCGUGACUACCAGAAGGAAUUUGAACGACUCGGAAACCGUGUUCAAGGCUGGACACAGAAGGCACUUGUUGGAACAUUCAUGGGAGGGCUUAAACCAGAGAUAUCUGAAGAAAUUCGGCUGUUUCGACCGAGGACUCUUAAGGAAGCAAUAAGCUUGGCAAGAAUGAGAGAUGAGCAACUGACCCGACAACGGAGACUGUUGAGAUCACCAAUCCUCACUCGUUCACCAACGGCUCAAGUCACCAACCAACGUGCUUCACCAACAGUACCCUUUAAGAGACUUUCUUGGGAGGAGAUGCAAAAACGCAGGUCACAAGGAUUAUGUUUUAACUGUAAUGAAAAAUUCUCUGCAGGUCAUAAGUGCAUAAAGGCGCAAUUGUUAAUCUUAGAAGCAGAUGAUAACGAAGAGUCCACGGAAACAACGCAACAUGAGUAUGAGACGGAAGAGCACGACAAACCUAAAAUAACAUUCUAUGCUUUGGCGGGUUAGGCUGCUCCUCAGACAAUGCGAGUGAAAGCUAAGAUUGGGCCACACGAGAUUAUUGUACUAGUGGACAGCGGCUCAACGCACAAUUUUAUCAACUCGCGUUUGGCUAAUAUGCUUCAGCUCCCAGUUCAACCGACAUCAGCAUUUCCAGUAAAAGUGGCCAAUGGAGAGAAAGUUAUUUGCCAGGGGAAACAUGACAAGGUACAUGUUUUAAUUCAGGACAUCCCUUUUGAACUUACUCUCUACUCAUUGCCGAUUACAGGACUCGACGUGGUGCUUGGUGUCCAAUGGCUUGAAAGCUUAGGGUCGGUGGUUUGUAAUUGGAAACAAUUAACAAUGGACUUCGAUUGGGAUAAUGCUAAGCGAAGGUUGCAAGGGCUGGAUCCACAAACAAUUCAAGCUACAACAUUAUCUGAAGUUGCCAAAGAUAUGAAACAAGGGCACAACGUGUUUGCUAUAUGUCUCUAUUUAAACAAUGAGGAAUCAUAUACAGUAGCACCGGCCAGCAUGAGGAGUUUGCUAGAGGAAUAUUCCGAGCUGUUCGUGGAACCCAAACAACUCCCACCAACACGGGAAAUCGACCACCAAAUCACUCUUAAAGAAGGAACAGAACCAAUUAAUGUGAGACCCUACCGGUACGCUUAUUUCCAAAAAGCGGAGAUUGAGAGACAAGUGAACGAAAUGCUGUCUUCCGGGCUCAUUCGACCAAGCACCAGCCCCUUCUCAUCACCGGUACUCCUAGUAAAAAAAAAGAUGGCAGUUGGAGGUUUUGUACUGACUACAGAGCACUCAACAAGGCCACAGUAAAAGACAGAUUUCCAAUACCAACAGUAGAAGACAUGUUAGAUGAAUUGCACGGUGCAACAUUCUUCACCAAACUAGACCUCAGAGCCGGCUACCAUCAGGUACGGCUAAACUCAUCAGAUAUACAUAAGACGGCUUUUCGCACACACAAUGGCCAUUAUGAAUAUCUGGUCAUGCCAUUCGGCUUAUGCAAUGCUCCCUCUACUUUUCAAGCAAUUAUGAAUGCUAUUUUUCGGCCCCAUCUUCGGAAAUUUAUAUUGGUAUUUUUUAACGACAUCUUGAUUUAUAGUCCCACGUGGGAAUGUCAUUUGAAACACGUUAGACAGACCUUGGAAAUUCUUAAACAACAUCAAUUUUUUGUCAAGGCUAGCAAGUGCAAUUUUGGCCAGCAAGAACUUGAAUAUUUGGGACACAUCGUCACUUGCCAUGGUGUGAAGGUGGAUGAACAGAAAAUUGCAGCAAUGGUGUCAUGGCCAAAGCCACGGAAUAUUACAGAGCUAAGGGGAUUUUUAGGCCUAACAGGGUAUUAUCGCAAGUUCGUUCGUGGGUAUGGCCUGUUAGCCCGGGCCCUAACCAAUCUUCUUAAGAAAGGACAAUUCGGGUGGAAUACUGAAGCUGCAACAGCAUUUGAGCAAUUGAAACUUGCCAUGACUCAAACUCCAGUACUUUCUAUGCCUAAUUUUAACGAUGUUUUUGUUAUUGAAACUGAUGCGUCCGGUGAUGGCAUAGGAGCAGUACUGCAGCAAAACGGAAAACCAAUAGCUUACAUGAGUCGAGCGUUGGGUAUAACAAAAAAGACUUGGUCGACAUAUGCGAAAGAGAUGUUGGCAGUGGUAGAGGCGGUCAGAUUUUGGAGGCCUUAUUUACUGGGACAACGAUUUGUGAUACAAACAGAUCAAAAAAGCUUAAAAUAUCUCUUGGAGCAGAAGAUAGCAACUCCUGAUCAACAGCAAUGGAUGGUCAAACUCAUGGGUUACGAUUACGAAAUCCGAUACCGCCCCGGCAAGGAAAACGCUGCUGCCGAUGCACUCUCUAGAAGAACUGACAGCCCAACUCUUAAUCAUCUUUUUGUACCGCAGGUGUCACUAUGGGGAGAAAUUAAAAAGGCUAUGCAUGAAGAUGAUUAUCUAAAGAAGAUUGCACAGCAAGUUGAGACUCAACCCGACGGCCCUUACACGGCAAAAAACGGCCUCAUAUUCUUCAAAGGCAGGGUAAUAGUUCCGCGAAAGAUGCGUGACUUAUUAUUAUUUGAGGCCCACAAUACGAAAAUAGGAGGGCAUUCCGGAGUCCUUCGCACUUACAAACGCUUAGCGCAGCAAUUUUAUUGGCCCUCAAUGUUUCAAUCUGUUCAUGAUUAUGUAAGUAAGUGUGUUGUUUGCCAGAAGACGAAGAGUGAAACGCUACAACCAGCAGGGCUUCUUCAACCGUUGCCUGUUCCUUGCCAAGUGUGGGAGGAUAUUUCUUUAGAUUUUAUUGAAGGGCUGCCUAAUUCACAAGGAAGAGAUACAAUAUUUGUGAUAGUCGACAGGCUCAGUAAAUAUGCAUUCUUCCUUUCCUUAUCUCACCCAUUUACCGCUAAAUCUGUUGCUGAAAGAUUUGUUGACGGAGUGGUAAAACUACACGGCAUGCCCAAGAGUAUUGUAAGUGAUCGGGAUCCAAUAUUUAUUAGCAAAUUUUGGAGUGAAUUUUUUACACUGUCAGGCACACAAUUAACGAUGAGUUCAGCCUAUCAUCCGCAAACGGACGGCCAAACAGAGGUUGUUAACAGAUGUCUGGAGCAAUAUUUACGCUGCUUUGUCCACCAGUGGCCACGCAAGUGGAACAUGUAUCUGUCGUGGGCUGAGUUUUGGUACAAUACCACUUUUCAUGUAUCCACCGGAAUGACCCCUUUUCAAGCUCUCUAUGGCCGGCCUCCACCUUCUGUCCCCAUGGAUUCGAUCGGGUCUUCACCGGUUCACGAAGUCGAUCACGCCUUACAGACCAGAGAUGAGUUAUUGCGGCAACUAAAAUCUAACCUUGCUGCAGCGGCUAAUCGAAUGAAACAAACGGCCGACAAGAAAAGGAGGGAUGUCGAAUUCAAAGAAGGAGACAUGGUGUACUUGCGCUUGCAUCCGUACCGGCAAUCUUCAGUUUUUAAACGUGCACAUCAAAAAUUAUGCAACAGGUAUUUUGGACCAUAUCAAAUAAUUCAAAAAGUGGGGCCUGUCGCUUUUAAGCUCCAGUUGCCAGAAGGUGCCAAGGUCCAUUCUACAUUUCAUGUUUCAGUACUAAAAAAAGCAGUGGGAGAUUCGACAGAGAGCAGCACGGAGUUACCUCCUAUAGAUGAUGAAGGUGUGCUGGUUUUGGAGCCUAAAUCAGUUCUGGACACUCGGUGGCUUAAAAGAGGUGGUACUGUUAUUGAGCAAAGUCUGAUUCACUGGAACAAUCAACCAAUGGAAGAGGCCACUUGGGAAGAUACUGUCGUCAUUAAGCAGCGGUUUCCUUCGCUGACCCUUGAGGACAAGGGUCCUCUUUCAUGGGGGAGUGAUGAUAAGAAGCUACGCAGAACUAAUCGUGUAGCCAAACCCAACAGCAAGUACAUGGAAUAUGCAUGGGCACGUCAUUAGCCAUGCAACGUUUGAGAUGAUGAUCUGGAGCUGACUUCUUCAAAUUAACCGUUGCUUAUUUGGAGGAGAUCUUUCAUGCAAGUAUUUGUUUUGGUAUAUUUUGGAAUAAUAGUCAGGUUGUUGAGAUGUUGUUAACGACUUGAUUUAGUUAGCUUUGUUCAAGCCUUGUUUCACGGCUAAGGAAAUUAGUUUUGUAUUAGACUAUAAAUAAGCUCUUUUAUUCAAUAAGAAGAUCAUCAGAUUUUUAUUCCAAAAACAUUAUUUGUGGUAGUUCUCGCCCAAAGAAGAACAAGCAAUUUACUUUGUCAAUUCUGCUAGUUUUGACUGGGACCUCUAUUACCAGCCCAAUUUUCAGAAUUCUCCAAACCAGAGCAUCCUCAGCAUCAUCCAAAAUAUGCCCUCCAAUAUGCGGAAGUCUAAUUUCGAUCUCUUGAUCUCUCUAUGUUGGGUGGCUUGGUAUGCUCGAAACAAGUUUAUUUUCGAAGGUAAGAAGAUAGACCCAAGGCUCUCUGUAGCUAAAGCUGAAGCAGUGAUUGAUGCUUUCCAAAGAGCUAGGAAGCCUGGAGCCACUCAUAUCCAUAACAGCAGCAAAGUACCUCAGCAUAAGUGGAAUCCCCCUCCGAAGAAUGUUGUCAAGGUUAACGUGGAUGCAGCCAUCAACAGCAAGAGUCAAAUGGCAGGCUUAGGAGCUGUAAUUAGAGACUCAAAGAACAAAUUUGUAGCUGCAGGCAUCAUGCAAACUGGUUUGAAGGAGCAUGUCAACUAUGCAGAAGCUGAAGCCAUUGUAUAGGGUUUAAAGCUAGCUAGAAGGGCAGCUCUUUCCACUUUGAUCAUAGAGUCAGAUUGCCUAGAAGUGGUUGAGUUAGUAAACAACAUAAAGAGCAACAAAACAGGACAAUGGUGGAUAAUUGAAGAGAUCCAGAACUAAAAAAGUGAGUUUUGUAAUGUAAUUAUCAAUCAUAUCCCUAGAACCUAUAAUGUUUGUGCUCAUUCCCUAACAAAACUUACUGUGGGAGCAAAUACGCCUGCUGUCUGGUUAGACCAUAUUCCAACAGAGGUGAUGAAUGUUCUGAUUUAGUGUUGUUUUUAAUGGAAAGGAUUACUUUCUUCAAAAAAAAAAAAAGAAUAAGAAGAAAGCAUAAUGCGACCCUCCAACAGCUUAAUCUAUGGAAUUAUCGUGUUUUGUAAGUUAGGGUCCAAUGGCGUUUUGGCACAUCAUAUGAUAGACCACUAUAUUGCGUUGCUUUACAAAAGAUUAAUAUUUUUAAAAUUAUUAGGUAAGUUUAGGCUCAGUGGCACUUUAACUCAUGAUAUGAUAGUCCAGGUUUUCGAGGACCACUAUAUUGUAUUGAUUUAAAAAAAAAUUAAUAUUUUUUAAUAUUAAUAUUCUAAAUUAUAUUCAGUUAAAAUAUUAAAUAUUAAAUACAUUCUUAAUAUUAAUAUUCUUAGACGAAAUUCUUUUGCUGGCUUAAGAAUAAAAUAUUAAAUAAUUUUAUUUUUCUUUUAUUGUGUAACGUGGACCCAAAAAAAAAAAGGAAAUGAAUUUAAUAAAACCUUCAUUCCGCCACCAUCCAUGUUAAUUGUUUCCAAAUUCCAACCUCCGUACUCUCUUGAGGAGUUUCCCAUUCAUCAAUUAUUAUUUUUUAUAAUCCAUACCAUCCUGAUAUAAUUAAACACCAUUAAUAAUGUACCAGCCUUUAAAUAGUAAUUAAUUUAUUUAUCUAAUUCACCAAAUGUUUUUUCCGGUACAUAUCUCCAUUGGUAUCAAGAAGAAGCAGAACCCAAACAAAUGUUUCUUGCAUCUUCAUAUUUGUGCAAAUUCAUCCUUUCAUUGAGAAUAACCAUUUCCAGGCAGCAGUUGGCAAUCAAUUCAUGCGCACGUCGAUGCUAUUCAUAGAUAUUAAAGACAAUGAUGAACCAAAGGUGAUAAAUCAUAAAUGCAUAAUUACCAAACCUCCAUCCUUCUCUCAUUAUGAUUUGAUUUUAAAUGAAUUAUUGCUUGGUAACAUUAUUUCCAACCAUUGCAAGCCCUUUUUUUUUUUUGGGAGAAAUUUCAAUUGAAAGUGAAACCUUUAGACAUUUACCUAAUGAAGUUAGUUAAUCGGGAGGGUGGAAAAAAAAAAGGUUGACGCAAGUCAAUACACAAUAAUUAAUUAAAUCCGGAGUGACUAAAACAGAGCCACGACUUUUUCAAAAAUAUCUGCAUUCAUCACUUUCUCCUCGUUUGUUGUCAUCCAAAAUUAUUCACCAAUACCAUGGCUGAUGCAAUCGUUUCCACUAUCUUGGAGCAGCUGAUUUCCUUCGCUGCUGAAGAGAUAAAACAACAGGUGAUCGAAGUUACACCCCUCAUAUUACAAAUACUUCCAAUGAUUUUAAUUGGUUUUGUUUUUAUCAAAAACAUUAUAUAUUUUUGCUUUAUUUUAUUUAUCUGGUAAUUUUAGAUUUUGAAAUUUGAAUUGAAUUUAAUUAAAAGGUCAUGUAGUAACCACUUAUUUUUAUUUUAUUUCAUUUAUAUUCUCAAUAACUAACCAUAUUUUGGUAACUUAAUAUAACUCUCGUACAUAAGAAAUGAUCAAAACCCACAAUUUUAACUCUGUAUAAAUAUUCAACGUUGAGUCAUUAAUUCUCAACUCAGCACUGAAUCCCAAAGCUAUUACUUAGACUCUAUGAAAAAAUUCAUAGUUUUCUUACAUUCUUUGAGUUUGGUAAGUGAUUUCGUAUAAUUUCUUUUCAAGUUAAAUUUUAAUUUGGUUUAUGAUAUAGUCUCUGUGCCGAAUUGUAUCUUUUAUGAUUCUUGGAUUUUGGGCUCCAACUUUUUAGGAUUUGAUAGUCAUAUUUUAUGCCAUGCUCAGAUUGAUUUUCAUGAUUUUUAGUAGCCGUUAAGUGACUUACAAUUUGACGAAAGUUUGAAAGGAAAAAUGUUUCAGGAUUAUGUUUUAAUUGACCUUUUAGUAGAAAUAGGAUGCUUAUAACUUAAUGUGGAUGGUUCGUAAAAUCAUGAAAUUUGGAUAGGAUUCACUAGAAAUAUGUACAAGACUCUCCAUAAAGUUUCAUAAUUUUUCAUUCGGUAUGGGGUGGCACAGGUGAAACUUGUGUUUGGUGUUGAAAAAGAAGUGAAAAGCCUUACCAGCCACCUUCAAGCCAUUCAAGUUGUGCUCGAUGAUGCAGAGGAAAAGCAAGUGAAGGACAAAGCUGUUAGUCUUUGGCUGGGUAGGCUCAAGUACGCAUCCUACGACAUUGAAGAUGUGUUGGAUGAGUGGAUCACAGCAAGACGCAAAUUGCAAAUUGAGGGUGGCGUUGAUGAAAAUGCUCUUGUUGUUCCUCAUAAGAAAAAGAAGGUAUGUCUCUGCUUUCCCAGCUCUUGUUUUGGAUUCAAACAAGAAGAAUUUGGUUUCAAACAAGUCUUUCUCCGUCAUGACAUUGCCGACAAGAUCAAAGAAAUCAAUGAAGAGCUACAUGAUAUUGCCGCUCAAAAAGACAUGUUUGAUCUUGUUAAGAGUGGCAAUAAAAGUAGUGAAAGACCAAGGCGUGUACAGAGUACCUCCUUGAUUGAUGAGGAAGAGAUUUGUGGUAGAGUUGGUGAGAGGAAUGAACUCAUAAGCAAGCUGUUGCGUGAGAGUAGCGAGCAACAAAAAGGCCUCCAUAUCAUCUCAAUUGUUGGUAUGGGAGGCAUAGGGAAAACUACUCUUGCACAACUAGCUUGUAAUCAUGACGAGGUGAAGAGAAAGUUCGACAAAAUUCUGUGGGUGUGUGUAUCAGAAACUUUUGAGGAGUUUAGGGUAGCCAAAGCGAUCGUUGAAGUUUUGGAUGGUCGUGAAUCUCAUUUAGCUGAAUUCCAUUCUCUUCUUCAACAUAUUUAUGAAUCAAUUGCAGGGAAGAGCUUUCUUCUUGUCUUAGAUGAUGUGUGGGAUGGAAAUUACUUGAAAUGGGAACCAUUCUACCGUUGUCUAAAGAAUGGUCUCCAUGGAAGUAAAAUUUUAGUUACCACACGCAAAGGGUCAGUCGCAUCCAUGAUGGGAUCCACAGAUAUUAUCUCUGUCAAGGAGUUAGCUGAAGAGGAAUGUUGGUUGUUGUUUAAAAAGAUAGCAUUUUUUGAUCGGUCCAUCGAGGAACGUGAAAAAUUAGAACAAAUUGGGCAAAGAAUUGCAGGCAAGUGCAAAGGUUUACCUCUUGCAGCAAAGACAAUAGGGAGUCUCAUGCGUUCUAAACAAACUGAAGAAGAGUGGAAAAGAAUUUUAAAUAGUGAUUUAUGGAAAGUAGAAGAGAUUGAGAAAGAUGUUUUGUCCUCUUUAUUGUUGAGUUAUAAUGAUUUGCCAUCUAGAGUAAAAAGAUGUUUUUCAUAUUGUGCUGUCUUUCCAAAAGACUACGAUAUAAAAAAAGACGAACUAAUCACAUUAUGGAUGGCUCAAGGUUAUCUUAGUGCAGAACAAGAUGAAGAGAUGGAGACAAUAGGUGAAGAGUAUUUUGGCAUCUUAGCUUCUCGCUCGUUUUUUCAAGAGUUUAAGAAAAGUUAUGAUAAUCGGAUUAUAGCGUGUAAGAUGCAUGAUAUGGUACAUGAUUUUGCCCGAUUUGUAAGUCAAAAUGAAUGUUUUUCGAUGGCAAUUAAUGGUAGUGAAGAACCAAACGCCACAAACUCUCUUGAUGAAAAGGUCUGUCAUUUAAUGUUAAUCUUUAGUAAAGGGGCUUCAUUACCUGUUUCCACUCGUAGAGUUAAAAGAAUGCGUACCCUCUUAAUUAGCGCUAGUGGAUCUGAUCAUUCAUCAUUAAAUGCUGAGAUCGUAGAAGAAUUAUUUAGGGAAUCGACAAGUUUAAGGGCAUUAGAUGUUAGCCAGGUGUCUUUGCCUACAGAGAUUUUAAGAAAUAUAAAAAAGCUGGUACAUUUAAGAUACCUUAAUUUGCGUUUUCCGAAAAUAGUGAAACUACCGGAGACAUUGUGCGAGUUAUAUAAUCUAGAAAAGUUAGAUAUUAGUUAUUGUUUUAAUCUUAAAGAAUUACCUGAAGGGAUUGGGAAGUUAAUAAACAUGAAGCAUUUACUAAAUAGAGGUACUAAUUCUUUAAGGUACAUGCCAGUAGGGAUUGGGAGAUUAACGGGUCUUAGGACCUUGGGUGAGUUCCGCGUGAGUGCAGGAGGAGAUGUUGAUGGUAGGAAAGCAUGUAGGCUUGAAUCUCUUAAAAACUUGGAACACCUUCAAGUAUGUGGUAUACGUAGACUGGGUGAUGUAUCAGAUGUGGGCGAGGCUAAGCGAUUAGAACUUGACAAAAAGAAAUACCUCUCUUGUUUGAGACUUCGGUUUGAUAAGAAGAAAGAAGGAGGAGAAAGGAGGAAGAACGAAGACGAUCAACUACUUCUUGAAGCCCUGCGACCAUCUCUGGAUUUAAAGGAAUUAGAGAUACAGUUCAACCGAGGCAACACUGUUUUCCCCAGCUGGAUGACGUCAUUAACCAACUUAAAGAGUUUAGGUCUCUCUUUGUGCGAAAAUUGCGAGCAGUUGCCUCCUUUGGGAAAAUUGCCAUCCCUCGAACAGCUCUUCAUAUCGUACAUGUCGAGUGUGAAAAGAGUGGGUGAUGAAUUUCUGGGGGUAGAAAGUGAUCGUCAUGACUCAUCGUCAUCUUCAUUAGUUAUUAUUGCCUUCCCCAAAUUGAAAUCACUUAGAAUUGAGGGAUUGAUGGAAUUGGAGGAGUGGGAUUAUGGGAUUACAAGAACGGGAAACACCGUCAUCAACAUCAUGCCCCAUCUUUCUUCCUUGGUAAUUGAUAGUUGCUACGAAUUAAAGGCACUGCCCGAUCACAUUCAUCAAACGACGACAUUGAAGCGAUUGUGGAUUUUGAAUUGUGGGCCUCUGGGAGAACGUUACCGCACGGGGGAAGGAGAAGACUGGCCUAAUAUAUCACACAUUCCCAACAUACAUAUUCGUUAAGAAGGAUUUGCGCAUUUGAGAUUUGGCGUUGACAAGUAAUUUCUUCUCUUACUCUGAUUUGCUUUUGUUGUUGUUUUUAAUCUAGUUAAGAAGUGUAAAUAGCAUUUUGAAUCAAACUCUAUAUCAGAAAUCUGCAAUACAUACUUUCUAAUAUUCUGAUUUUCAUAUCCUAUGAAUAUACGAUUUUUAAUUUGUGAGAUGGGUAACGUUACUGUAAAAGAUUAUUAAUGCAAUAUGAGUAAUUCUUUUGCAGGACAAGUGACCUACAUUUAGUUUGGCUUUGGAGUUGAAUAAUAACCUUUCGAGGUCCCGACAAACAAAAAACGAAGCUUAAUUUGCCACAGAUUGCACGUAUUGCCAUUAUUGACAAUUUUCUGCACAAGUGAUCGAGGGUGAGGUCCUGUCCUGAAUAAAGCUCUCGUGACUGAACUUAGGUUGAUGUCAAAAGAGGUAAAUUAUCGGCAUGCCUGACUAUUUUGACCAUUACAUGAUUCAUAAAUUGAGUGAUUACUUUUCAAGGUUUGCUUACUUAACCGGGUGACCAAUUUCUUGUAACUAAAUGUAUGAUAUGAAAUGAGAAGCUUAUUAGUGGAAGGAUUGCCUGUAACAGAACCCAAAGAAAAUGAAACCAUUUCAAGGCAGCAGCCGGCAGUUGGGAGUGAAUGGAGGGCCUUCACAAAAUUCUCAAGCAGUUGCAAUGCAAUUACGAUCAUCCUCAGCCUCAGGUAAUUUCUUCUCCUGCUUUGUUUUUAUUUGUUACCUAAUUAAGAAGCAUUAUUUGUUUUUAUUUGUUACCUAAUUGAAGGACAAGUGCUGAAGAGUGGGAAUGGUGCUAUAUUGGGGAAUAAUGCAGGAGGAGGUAAAUUAUUGGGAGUUUCUUCAACCUUGUUUUCUUUGAACCAGCGCCUGAUCCACAAGACUCCGUUAAUUUGGCUUUUGAUCGGCUGAUUGAUAAAUUUUCAAUUUCUUUUGUGAUAAAUGUAUAUGUGAAGCAGGCAGCAGGACAUGACUGUGGAAAAGAGAAGAUCUUAGUGAAAGCUGAGACUCAGAUAUUUCUACAAAGUAUGUGUUUUGGCUGAUUUAUCUAAUUCAUGAAAUUUUAUUUCCAUCUGUUACAAGAUCAAACUGAAGCAGAACUCAAAGAAAAGUAUUCUACUUCUUACGGCAAUCUUGCCUUCGUUCAGAUUAUGGAACCAUUUCCAUGCAGCAAAUUCAUCCAAAAGUUUGAAUAAGUUUCAUGGUUGGACACUGUUGGCUUCUUUUUCUUUUGGGGUGCAUUUAGGUGCUAUCAAGUGACAGCCGUAAGUAUGAUUGCACUAAGCUGCUGCUGGGAAAUUCGAGGUUUUGAUGGCUGCCCACGUUAUUGUCAAGAAACUCCUCAUGUAAGAAGUUGUAGUUCUUUUCAUCAGCUUGAACCUAAAACUGUCGCUAUUGAUAACUCAGGUUUUUGUUAUCAACUAUAUCAUCUUUUUCACUGUUUUGAAACUCUUUAAGAUUAAACUUCAGUAAAGUUCUUUCAGUUAUCCACAUAAUCAGGCUGAGGAUACUUUAGUAAAGUUGCUUCAGCUAUUCAAAUGAAAAAUCUCAUUGAUUUGAGACUUCCUUCAUUAUUGUUUUUGAUUAAAAUGCUAAGGGUCCAGAUAAAAUAAUAUUUAAUUGGUGGAAGGUGUCCCUUGGAAGUACAUCAUGAUUAGCUGUUGUGCUAAUCAUGCCAAUGCAUAAUUCGGCCCCUAAUGUGGGUACUCUGUUACAUUGUUCUGCAAAUUCUCCAAAAAAGUUAAAUCAAUAAAUUUUGUAUUAGCUAGAUUAGCUCUAGGUUGUGAGGAGUCUGUCAUAUGGGAGAACCCAUUUCCAGAAAAUAUCUGGUAUUUGUUCCAGUCUUCUAAUGAAUGAAAGUUAUGAUUCCUUUUCAAAAAAAAAAAAGAAUUUUGUAUUAGUUCUAGUGCGUUGACCUAAAUGCUAUUCUAUAUUUUAGUGCCUUAAUUCUAGAACCUUGGCUCCUGCCAGAGCAUGCGGAGAUAAUGGUAGGGAGAGUGUUUGUGUAUUUUAACCAUGAUAAAGCUAAUGUUCCCAAUGAUUUCUGCUGGUGAGACUUGUGAAGAGGGUGAAUGAGGCAACUGCUAAUAUUCCUGGGUGGGAUACAGUAACUAGAGGCUGAGAUCAGGUGGUGGAAUUUUUUGUUUGAUCGAUGAUACCAGAAUUGUCCACAAAAAGUUUGUUGAUACAAAUUACAGGUGAUAGAAAGAGGUAUAGGUGGAGAAGAGAAAUCUGCGAGUCAAAUUAGGGAUAAUUGAUUUGCUGAUGCAAGUUACAUUGAAUAAUAAUAAUAACAAUUGCAUGAAGAUCCCUUAUUAAUCUUGUGUUCUCCUAUCUUUUACAUUCAGCUGGUAUACUUAAGCCUUGCUUGUGGAAUGUUUUAACCUUUAAAUUCACUACCCCUGGAUGUUGGAUUUUCUAGAACUUCAAAAUGAUUAAUGGAGAAAGAUCCCAUUAUCGAUAUCGCUAUAAGAAAUUUUAUUUAUACUUCCAAAGAUACAUUAUAUAUUUAUGUGUAUCUCUUUAUACAUGACAUUUAAGCAUCCAUAAACUGUCAGACAGAGGAAGGGGGUUGAGUGUAAAGAUUCUGUUGACCUAGGGGUUGCCUGCUUAAUGUCACUUGUUAGUGAUCUAUUAUUUAUUUCAUAUUUUGAAGAAUUUAAAGGGCAAUCCUGCUUGUUUGUGUUGUUAUCUCCUUCUAACUUACGGUCGUACCUAAAGAGCAUAGUUUCAUAUGUGUUACCCUGAGAUGUACAGAAUUUCACAUUUGCCUCAGAUUAAGCUUAAUUUCCCACAGAAUAGAGCUGUUGUGACUGAACUUAGGUUGAUGUCAAAAGAGGUAAAUUAUUGGCAUGCCUAGAUAAUUUGACCAUUUCCUAAUUCAUAAGUCUACAUUAAUUUUGAUUUUGAGUUGACUGAUUUCUUUUCAAGGUCUGCUUACUUAACGGAGUGACCAAUGUUUUUCAACUAAAUUUAUCAUAUGAUGCAGGAAGCAGGGCAGGAUAUGAAAUGAGAAGCUCAUUGGUGGAAGUAUUGCCUGUAACAGAACCCAAAGAAAAUGAAACUAUUUCAAGGCAGCAGUUGGCAGUUGCAAGUGAAUGGAGGCCCUUGCCAAAAUUCUCAAGCGGUUGCAAUGCAAUUACGAUCAUCCUCAGCCUCAGGUAAUUUCUUCUCCUGCUUUGUUUUUAUUUGUUCUCUAAUUAGGAAGCAUAAAGUAUCUUGAAUCAUUUUCUGUAUCUGGAAUAUAUGCAAGAGUUUCUAAAAUUUUGAUAUGAGUGUAAUGAUGGUAAUUUCUGUUUUCUGUCUGUCAUCAAAUGUUAGAAAACUUUCAUUGAGACCCUUGAACCGAGUCAUUUUUGACAAGUGAAGUGCUGAAGAGUGAGGAGUAAGAAUGGUGCUAGAUUGGGGAAUAAAGCAAAAGGAGGUAAAUUAUUGGCAGCUUCUUCAGCCUUAUUUUCUUUGGACCAGUGCCUAAUUCACAAGUCUCCGUAAUUUGGCUUUUGACCAGUUGAUAGAUAAAAUUUUAAUUUCAUUGGUGCUAAUGUACCCGUGAAGCAGGCAGAGAAGGACUGUGGAAAAGAGAAGGUUUUUAGUGAAAGCUUAAACUCAGGUAAUUCUAAAAAUUAUAUGUUUUGGCUGAUUUAUCUAAUCAGGAAAUUUUAUUUCCAUCUGUUACAAUAAAACAGAAACAGAACACAAAGAAAAAUAGUCUACCUCUUGUGGCAAUCUUGCCUUCAUUCAGACUAUGAAACCAUUUCCUUUCACCAAUUUCUUCCAAAAGUUUGAACACGUUUCAUGGUUGGACAUAGUUAGCUUCUUUCUCUUUUGGUGCAUUUAGGUGCUAUCAAGUGACAGCCAUAAGUAUGAUUGCAUUAUUGGGAAAUUUUAGGUUUUGAUGGCUCCCCAUGUUAUUGCCAAGAAAUUUUAAGUCCUCAUGUCAGAAGCUGCGUUUCUUUUCAUCAGCCUGAACCCGAACCUGUCACUAUGGAUAACUGAGGUUUUUGUCAUCAACUAUAUCAUCUUUUUCACUGUUUUGAAACUGUUAAGAUUAAACUUCAGUAAAGUUGUUUCAGUUAUCCAUGUAAUCAGGCUAAGGAUAUUUAGCAGCUUAUUUAGGCAACUGCCAGAAUUUAGUUUGUUCGCUCGAAACUUGUAUGGUGACAAGGAUACUGGCAAGGAUAGUGAGAUAGUUUUUUGUGUGAGUGAAUUUUGAAAGCUUGGGUGUUCUGGGAUUUGCAAUUGCAAUCAUCCUCUGCUUUAGGUGAUUUCUUCUCCUGUUCUGUCUUUAUUUUCUCUCUAAUUGAAAGCAUUUCAAUCAAAUUCUGUACCAGGAAUACGAAAAAUUUACUAAUAUUUUAUUUCCAUCUGUUUGCAUUGAUAACUUGGCCGCAUAUGUACUAGUUAAAGAACAAACAGAAGCAGAGUUCAGGAAAAAGUUUCUUCGGCCACCAUAUUUGAAAAUGAAACCAAUUCCAGGAAGCAGUUGGCAGCAAAUUCAUACAAAGUAUAGACAAUGAUGUGCAAAAAGGUGAUUCGCAAUUUCAUUUUUUUAAAAUGAAAUUAUUUGUUAAGUUGGAGCUGAUAUUGUUAGAAGGCCAUUGAGCUAACCUAUGACACUGCUUGCCUAGAUUGCAGGAGGUCAAGGCUCAAAAGAUGCACUGAAUUUUAAAAGGCAUGCAAUAAUUCUUAUGGCCAUUUGUCAAUGGUGGAAUGCUUUUAGCUUCUUUUCCUUUCGUGCAUUUUGGGGUUCUAUCAAGCGACAGCCGUAUGUAUGGAUGGAUAUAGCUGCUGCGUUGAUUUCUAAUGCGGUGGAGUAAUCGUCGUUAGAAUCUGAAUGAUAUGUCUAAGACGUUGCAUGCAUCAAGAAAAUUGCAGAUGAUUAAACCUUGCCAUCUAUGCGUUGUAUGAGGUUAUAGCAACUAUCUAUCUGGUCACCGUUUUAAAAGAAUAAGACAAAGGGAAAAAGAGAAAGAAAAGAAUGAUUCGACAAUGGCAUUAAAGUUCAACAUACCCCAAGAUCUUGUAAUAAUGCCAUUAAUCAUUUCUAGCUAGGCUAGCCUUAGAGAAAAGUGAAACUGUUGCACAGGUAGAAUCACACCCCUCAGAGAUAAUGUGUUUUUAUUCAGCUCUUCGAAUGAAUGAAGUUUAUUUUCUCGUCAAAAAAAAAACUGCUCGUUCCGCUGGUUUCAUACAAUGUCAACUAGAAACAUCAUACUUUCGUAUAAGUUCAUUAUUGUUUCUUGGAAAUAUCAGAAUAUUUCUUAGAGUUUGUAUAAAAUGAAAAGAUUUUAAAAUAUAAAUUUAAUAUUUGUUUAUUACCGUUGUUUGGUCUAAUUUCCUCGGGAGAAUUUUCAGAAUUUAUAGGACAUUAGUUUAUAAUUUGCGCAUUGACAUAUAUCUUAUUUUAUCAUUUUGAAUGAAUUGCACGGCGAGGCUUAUCAACUUUGGAUGAAUCCUCCAAUUGUCGCAGUCCAAGACUGGCUGCAGUGAGUGAAAAUUUACCCAUAUAUAUGCUGGCUAUUUUUAUUGGCGACGAAUUCGUUGUAGUUGGUCCAUCUUGCUAUUCUCGGACAAUAUUAGAGAAAAUAAUCAUAUUAUUUCGCGUGAUGUGACCUUCCAUAACUUAUCAAUUGAAUUACUGUAAAAUUAUUGUGUAAGUUUAGGCCCAAUGGCACUUUAGUUCGAUAGCCUGGAUUUAAAAGGAAAACUAUAUUGCAUUGCUUCAAAAAAAAAAAAUUAAUGUUUUUAAUAUGAAUAUUCUUAACUAUAUUCAGUUAAAAUAAUAUAUUCUUAAUAUUAAUAUUCAUAGAUGAAAUUCUUUUGUGGAUUUAAGAAUAAAAUAUCAAAUAGUUUUAUUUUUCUUUUGUUGUGUAACUUGGACCGAAAAAGAAAAUGAGCUUAACAUGACCCUCCUUCCGGCACUAUGCAUGUUUUUCUUUUAUUGAUGACAGUGCUCUUGGUGCUUCUCAUCUGCUUCUUGCUUUGGUUUCAAACAAGUCUUUCUCCGUCGAGACAUUUAUUGUAAUUUGAUUUGGAGACAUCUGUCGUUCAAAUAUAUUUCAUAUGCAAGCUGUUGAUAAUUCUGCUUGAGAAAGCCUACAAAGCAGCUGUGUGAUGUAAUAGAAGACUAUAUAUGCAAACGGUCAUCAGUUUCUCUUGAAUUCUUUCUUGAGUUUCUUUGAAUUAUUUGUGAAUGAGUUCUUAAUCGGCUGCUGCUCUUCAGGAAAAGGAAAGUGUUGCAAACUGGUGAAGCUGAUCGAUAAAAGCAAUGUACCAUCUUUGCUGGCAUGGAUCGAUGCCAGUGAGUUUUUUUAUUUGUCAACCUUUUUAAUAAUGCAUAUGUUUUUCUUCAACUUGAAGCGGCAUAUAAGACGAAAGAAGUGAUCUUUAAAGCAUUCUAUGGCAUUAUCCUUUCCUAUUAUAUAUAUCCAAUUGCUCCAAAUUAUUUGUAAAUUACUGAACACGAAUGCUGAUGAAUAAACUGAUGGCUCUAUGUAUGUAUGCACAUGCAUGGAGAAAUUUUAAGUCAGACAUUCUCAUAUAUAACUCGUGGGACCAAAUCAUUAAAUAAUCUUGAAAUCAAAGUAAUAAUUAAAUACAAAUAAAUUGCUCGAAUUGUACAUAUAUCUGAAUCAUGUAGUGAAGAAAAUACAACAACAACAACCAAUGGCUCAAAUUCCCCAUCAACUUCUAGUCUCAACACUUUUGAGUGUCAGAAGCAUUACUCUGCUACCAGUUAACAAACAUAUAAUUAGUAAUUUGCCAUUCACUUCCCUUUUAGGCCUAACACAUUUUCUAUAAAGGAGCCACAGAGUGAACUCAGCAGGAAACACUCAAUUUCAACCUACGUAGGACCAGGAAUUUCAACAAAAAAAAAAGUGUGCAAUUGCUUAUCCUAUCCUAUUGCUACUAGAAAGAAAGUGAACAAUUAAUUUCAGUGAAUAAAUUAAAAAAAAUUACUUCUGCAGAUACUCAAGCUAAGAACACAUUAACCCAUUAAAGACUCCAAAUUGCAUCAAACAAAUUGUUGUUAAACAAGUAAAACAAAGAAAGAGAGUUAAGGAAGCUGACCUAGUAGUAGGGGAGCUGAAGAAAGACUGCCAGUGAAUGUAAGAGAAAAUAAAAUGCAAGAAAUGGUGAAGUGCAGCUUUUCAUGUCAACUUGAAAUUGUUUCUUCUGUUUUUUGUAAUCUUUUGGAUUUUUCAAACAAAGAAAAUGAGGAGCAACCAGGGAGAUAAAAAGGGCGCCAAGGCAACUGUGUGUUGGGUUUAGAGCCAAAAAAAAAAAAGAAUAAGACAUCGUGUUCUUGUGGAGACCAGACCUAUUACGUAUAGGGAUGGCAAUGGGGCGGGGUGGGGGUGGGGAUGCCUACCCCAUUCCCCACCCCAUUAAAAAUUUUUGCCUCCAUUCCCCACCCCAUUCCCCAAUAAAUUUAGUGGGUUGGGGAUGGGGAAUCCCCACGUGGGGAAUGAUUCUCCCAUCCCCACCCCAUUCCCCAUUUACAUAUUUUAUAGUAGAUAUAAAAAUAUGAUUUCAGUAAAUUAAAAAUUAGAGACUUAAGAUAAAAUCAUCACAAUAUUAUAAAGUAUUUAAUUUUAAAAAAAAAUCUCUAAAAAUUUGAAACAAUAUCUUAAAAUGAUAUUAAAAGUGAAAAAUAUUUAAAGAAAGCAGCACCUUAAAAGAGAAAAGAAAAUAUAUUAAUGUUUUAAAGUUGAAAAAUAUUGUAGAAUUUUCUUUUAUUCAUAUUCUAUUUAUAUUACAUAAAAAUUAAAAAAAAUUAUUAAUUGACAUUAUAGUUGAUAAAAUAUAAAUUAUUAAAUAAGAAUUAAAAACAUAUUUAUAUAUAAUGGGGAUUGGGGUGGGAGUGGGGUGGGGAGUGCAAUACCAAACCCCACCCCGUUAACAAUUUGGGGAUUAUUUUUUCCCCACUCCCCACCCCAUUCCCCAAAAAUUAUUAAAAAAUUUCCCCAUUUGGGGUGGGGCUCCAUGGGGCCCCAAACCCGUGGAGGAUUUUGCCAUCCCUAAUUACGUAACGUCCCCUUCAAUACCACUUGUUCCGUAUCUGGUUUUUUCUUCGUCUUUUACAUAUUUAUCCUGUGAUUUUACAAUAACUAAAUAAUCCCCGCAUAGUUUGCAAUUUUAUUCAUUUGGGCCCUACAGAUUUCAGUAAUAGGAAUUAUUAAGGGACAAGAGCGCAAAACAGAAACUCUGUCCACUACUGAUGAUAUAACAACGAACCUUUGUAGUUUCUGCCUGUUAAUAUGAAUUGAUCAGGAGUGUUUCCUCACUUACAAAUUACGAAUUUACAAAAUAUGUAUGUAAGUAUGUGUGUACGUACGUGUGUAUGUAUGUACAUAUAUGCAUACACCUAUGUAACAUUUACUUAUACAUUCUUUUGAGUUUAAAUCUUAAUACACAUUUUCAUGAAAUUUUUAUUUUAUUAAGUAUACAACUACAUACAACUACAUUAAUGUAUAUAUUUUUUAUAUAAGACAUGCCGUCCUAUUAUUCAUAAGUAAACAAUGUGUUGUAAAUAGUAUUCUGUGUUUUCUCAAAGUUGACUUUUCGUCUUUUAUUUUCAGACGCAGACGCUAUGUCAUUUUGUAAUCUUCAAAACAUAUGCAGAGCAGAAUUGGUGUUAUAUGAUUUUGUGAUGCAAUAAGAUUUGCACUUCCUGUGCACUCAAUGGAAUCAUUUCUUUGUAACUAAUUGGGUGGUGGAAUGGUGGUCAAAUAUCGAACGAAGACAGAUCUAUCAAACUCCAGAAACAGGGAAACCAUGCCACGCUAGUAGACAAUAUGCUAGUAUGAACAAACUUGUUUGAAUGGCAAAAACGACAUGACCUGCUGUAGUAUUAGUUCUUUCCCGAACCAAAGGGUGAUUUGCUACGUUAGAUCAUGAAAAUUGAAAAAAAAAAUUAACCAAAAUAAAAAUUCUUACGGUAAGAAUAAAAAUUCUUAAGGAAUUAGUUAGUUAAUUGAUUGAUCGAAUUUAAUCUAAAUUGGAAAAUGAUAAGAUAAUUUUGAAUUUUUUAUUAUAAUUAUUAUUUUAAAGUGGGGUGGGUUUAUACAAUUUGAGGCUUUGAGCGGUGUAAAUAUCACUGCUGAAUUAUUAAAUAUACAGUGUAAAAUUUUGACCUUUAAAAUAUUCCUUUUUUUCAUUUAGCACUAUAAGUUUAAAAAUUUAACAUUUUACCUCAAUAAUUAAAUACUUUUAACUUUAAUCUUCAAAUAUUUACCCUACAACAUUCGGACCUAAAUUUUUAAUCCGACUCGGCCCCUGACCCAAGUGGGAAGAAGAUCAGGCUUAUAAGUUAUAACUAUCACCAACAUAACAUCUUCUGGAAAAUAAUAAGAUUACUCACCUGCAAUUAUGUGAUCAAACUAAUGGUAAGCAAAAUAGAACAGCGUUAUUUCAGUCCCCUUUCAGUUUCUUUAUCAUUUUUCUUUUCCUAUUUAUAAGCUUAAUUCGGUCCAAUAUCGGCUAAUUCACUUUGAUUUCACUUUUCUUUCUUUCGGUUCAAAAAAAUUGAACCCAUUGGCUGUCAAUUCAAUUUUGUUGAAAACCAACUUUGCCUGAAUUUGAGUAAUAAUAGAGGAAAAAAAAAGUGUACUUAGCAGAAGAGAUUUCUCAUUUUUUUCUCAUUCAAACUUCUAAAAUAAAGGGAAAAAAAAAACAAGAGUAAUUGUUAAUUAUCAAAAAUUUGUUUAUACUAUUCCACCAAGAAAAUUAUAAAAAAAAAAUUUAAAAAUUGGAGAAGAAAUAUGAGGUGAAAUACGUGGAUGGCUUAGACUAAUAAUGUGAACAAAUUCCUCUCGGAAACAUGUCAUUGUUCAUCCGGACAACACGCGGCAAUGAGAUUCAAGAAUUAAAUGAUAGGAAUCAACUGUAACCUCAUAAACAAAUGGCCUUGGAGUUGUAAACACCAAGCUCGGCAGAUUAAUUAAACAAGAAUAUCCGAAUUUUCUAUGAUAAUCUCUAGGAAACGAUCAGCUAUAAUAUACGAAAUUAAAAUAUUGCAUAUAUUUUUGAACUCAUGCAUUAAUUUCAAAAAUUAUAUCGUAUUAUAAUUUAUUCACAAAAGAAAGAAAAAUUCACUAAUCAAUUGAAUAAAUAUAAGUAUUUCAUCCAGUGUAAUACUUAUAUCAAUUGAAUAAAUAUAAGAAAAAUCACCAAAAUUCACUAAUCAAUUGGAUAAAUAUAAGUAUUUCUUCCAGUGUAAUUUUUGUUUAAUAGAAAAUCUAUUUGAGAUUUUGUGAGAAGAAACUCAACAAUAAAGUGUGAUAGACUUUGUGGGUAUUAAGAGUUUGACAAGUAUUUGAAAUCUGAAGUUUACGAGCAAACAAACUGAAAUCCGAAGUUUACUGAAGUUUACUAUCAAGAGUUUCAAAACAGUGAAAAAGAUGAUAUAGUUGAUGACAAAAACCUGAGUUAUCCAUAGCGACAAGUAACAUACUGAAGUAAGCCGUUGGGAGCUGGCCUGUUCAUGGGCUAUUUUUCUCUGAUGAUCUGCAUUUUUCUUCCUUUUAAGUGAACCUUGACUCGUAUCAAACCUGUCAAAAGAACAGUUCAUCAACUGAGCUGAGAUUUGCUUUCCUUUUUCAAAACCCACCUGAGAUAUUGUAAUUCCCAAAUUUCUCUCUCUCAGCUACACGAGCAAGCAGCCGCUUUUUCACUUCAUCGAAGAAGGUAAGCGAUAUAUCUAUUUCGUCCGAUUGAUUUCUUGUUUCCUUUUCAGUGUUCCGGUAAAUUAUUGGCAUGCCUGACUUUUUGACCAUUACACGAUUCAUAAAUUUAUAUUAAUUUUGAUUUUGAGUUGACCGUUUACUUUUACAGGUUUGCUUACUUUGACUAGGUGACCAAUUUCUUGUAACUAAAUUUAUGACGUGGGCAGGAUAUGAAAUGAGAAUCUUAUUAGUGGAAGGAUUGCCAGUAACAGAACCCAAAGAAAAUGAAACCAUUUCAAGGCAGCAGUUGGCAGUUGGCAGUGAAUGGAGGCCCCUGACAAAACUUCAGUAAACUUCAGAUUUCAGUUUGUUUGCCCGAAAAUUGCAUGGUGACAAGGAUACUGGCAAGGAUAAUGAGAUAGUUUUUGUGUGAAUGAAAUUACGAUCAUCCUCAGCCUCGGGUAAUUUCUUCUCCUGCUUAGUUGUUAUUUGUUACCUAAUUAAGAAGCAUAAAGUAUCUUGAAUCAUUUUCGUUGUCCGGAAUAUAUGCAACAGUUUUUUACGAUCAUCCUGAAUGACUACUAGAGACAGUCAAGCUAAUGACUAUAAAUUAAGCGCUUCUUGGGAGGUAACCCAAGCUUUCUAAACUUUAUUAUUGUCAAUUUUUUUUCAUAUUUUUUUCUUUUCUUUUACUUAUUUUAUUUUGUUUUAUCUAGAUUUUGCACGAGUUCGAGGGUCGAUGAACAUCAACUUUCCACAUGUCUUUCAACGGCUUAGCUACAACUUUACAUCUUCAAGUGCAAAACCGGGGGAGUUUCUCUUUUCCUUUUCUUUUUCUUUACAUUGAGGACAAUGUUUAUUUUAAGUUUGGGGGUGGGAAUAUUUGCUUUUCAUUUUUUUCCCAAAAAAAAAAGAUUUUAAUGCCUAUGAUGAGUUUAUGAUUGAAAAUGAAUAUGGUUCUUAGAAAGGGAUGAAUAUUAUCUUAGUUUAUACUUGAUUCUUGUGUUAGUUUCGUCUUGAUUGAGAUUCUUUAAAGCGAUUCUUUUAGAAUUUUGACUUGAGAUUUGAGAUUGAUACAGCCUAAGUUGAGAAUUUUAGAUUGAGUAAAUGAUUGUUUGCCUCGAUUCUACAUUACUUAAGUUUACCCAGGCACCAUAGUCAGAAAUAGCUACCUACAACCCUUAAGAGUGAAGCUAUCCUCGAGUAAUUUGGGCCUAUGUAUCACCAGUAUGUAGAGGAUAAUCUACCAUGAGAAGAAGGUUACCUUAAGGGGUAGAGUGAAAGCUCCUGACUAUGGACAAAGAAAUGAAAAAAAAAAAGAAAAAAAAAAGAGCACGAGCUUCAAGAAAAAUCAAAAGAAAAUGCUAAUUUAUGCCUGAGAAAAAAAAAAAAAGAUCAAGAUGAUGAGGUUAGUUUGACCUACCCUGUUUAUUAUUCGAGACAAGGGCUGUUGAUGUUGAAGAUCUUGAGAAUGAGUUUUGAUUGAAUUGAUUCACACACAACACAUGAAUCCAAUAUGAGAUGAGGCUGACCAUUGAAUUAAAGUUAGAACUUUGCUAGUAUUUUUAAUUUUCUUUGAGCUAUAUACUUUAUGCAAUCUUUGAGGCAUUUUUUAUGAUGUUUGUGGGUAUCAUCGCUGGAAACCCUCACGAGACUAUAACUCGUCCACUAGGGCCGCCUAGGGGUUUAAAGGCUUGUUGCAUACGCUAAAUGCAAUCGCGAUCACCUGCGAAAGUGGUUUAGUUAGAAUUUUCUUUUCGUAGUUUUUAUUUUAGUUUUUGCUCGAGGACUAGCAAAAUGUUAAGUUUGGGGGUAUUUGAUGUGCUCAUAAUUUAUCUAUUAUUUUAAUGCUUCCAUAACUUAAUUUUAUGUUAAAUUAUAUUUUAUUAUAUUAAUUUUUAUCUUAAUUUUUAUAUUUUGUCAUUGUAGGAAUAUUGAGAAUAUUCAUGAGAAAAGAAGCUUAAAGAGGAAACAAGUUGGAGUAUAAUGGAAAUAAUGUGGAAGCAAGAGGGAAAGAAAUAAAAAGCCAAAUCAAAGAAAAUUUAAUUUAAGCAUCAUGCAUGCAGUCACGUGAUGAAUAAAGGAAGAGAAGAAAAGGUCAAUAGGCUUUUAAUUUCAAGCUAGUUACGUAGAGCCCAUUUGACAAUUUAAAUGGCAAGCUUACAAUAUAUUAAAGGAAGCAAAUAUUUUGGCAUUGUUUGAAAAGGCUAUUCACGUGGAUGGGCUUUGGUUUCAAUUUUGAUUGGCUUAGGAAUGAAAUAGGCGGCUGGGCUUUUGUUUUUAAUUCCUUUCAUAAGAGGAUUUGACAAGCCACAACAUUAUAAAAAGGGAAAAGCCAAGCGGAAGCCAAAAAAAAAAAAAAAAUAAUAGAGCAGCAGCCGCAAGUUUUGAGCAAAACCGAGAGCAGCAUGAAUAAUUUGGAGCAGAAGGAAGACACAUUAAUUCUUGAGUUUUUCUUUCUCUCUUCUCUAUUAUCUUAUUUGAAUGUUUCCCAUUAAAUUCAUGGAUUAUCUUUAUAUUCCCAUGAACUAAUUUAUUUUACUAGAGCUACGAUGUCCUAGUGUUUUAAUCUCUUGGUGAUUUCUAUUACUGCUUGCAUCUUUAUUUGAUUUUUAGUUAUUUUAAUUUUUAAUUUAAAUUCGCUUAUUUGAUUGUUCAAAUAAAUUAGGGUUAGGAUAAUUUCGGUAACUAAUAGGAUAUUCAAUCUCAGUGGGAUGAUACUCUACUCUUCACUAUAUUACUUGUGCCGACUAGUACACUUGCUAAUUUAUGCAAUAGUUGACAGUUGGGAGUGAAUGGAGGCCCUUGACGAAACUUCAGUAAACUUCAGAUUUCAGUUUGUUUGCUCGAAACUUGCAUGGUGACAAGGAUACUGGCAAGGAUAAUGAGAUAGUUUUUGUGUGAAUGAAAUUAUGAUUAUCCUCAGCCUCAGGUAAUUUCUUCUCCUGCUUAGUUGUUAUUUGUUACCUAAUUAAGAAGCAUAAAGUAUCUUGAAUCAUUUUCGUUGUCUGGAAUAUAUGCAACAAUUUUUAAAAUUUUGAUAUGAGUGCAAUGAUUGUAAUUUCUGUUUUCUGUCUGUCAUCGAAUGUAAGACAACUUUAUUAAGAUUCUUGAACCGAGUCAUUUUUGACAAUUGAAGGACAAGUGCUGAAGAGUGGGAAUGCAAAAAGUUUUGUUGUUUUUAGCCUUGUUUUCUUUGAACCAGCGCCUGAUUCACAAGACUCCAUUAAUUUGGCUUUUGAUCAGCUGAUUGAUAAAUGUUCAAUUUCUUUGGUGAUAAAUGUAAUUGUGAAGCAGGCAGCAGGGCAUGACUGUGGAAAAGAGAAGAUUUUAGUGAAAGCCGAGACUCAGAUAAUUCUACGCGUUUUGGUUGAUUUAUAUAAUUCGUGAAAUUUUAUUUCCAUCUGUUACAAGAUCAAACUGCAAUUAGCAAUUUAACAUUCCCUUAAAACCACUAGCUACAUUUCAUCUUUGCACAAUUACACUUAAAAUUCCACUAAAAGAAACUCUUGAGUUGCUCGCAAGCUAUAUAUCAUUAUUCAUUGAAUUCUUACUGUUGAUGCGAGAUUCUGGUUACACUCUUCCGGCUACCAGGAUAUCUGCUCGAUCAACCUCACCUCGACUAGGAUCUCUCCUCGUAUGCUUUCUUCUCCAAGUACUCAUGCGUUCACAGAAACAAGUCAGAGCACGCCGGUUGUUUUCCCGGCGUAAACCCUCCGACGCUCAAGUCAGAUAUGAAGGCUUUGGGAACGCUUGCCACAGAUCUUAUGGCUUUGUAAAUAGUUUUCUCUUCUUUUCAAUUUCCUUAAUCUCUCUUCUAAUCUCGAAAUUGCUAACCCUUUUACCUUCGCUGGCUACCUUUUUAUAGGCCACUUCUGAGCCCAGGCCUUUUUCCCUUUGCGCUCGUCAUCCUCCCACUUCUCGAAAGUGGAUGCUCCAUUUCCGUAGUCGUGGGUGGUUGCGUGGCCCUCGUGCCUAGAUUCUCGGACUGGAAAGCAUGCCACGCCAACUGUCGUUGACCGGGUCUUCUCGAAUCAACCCUUAGCAGGAAUACAGCAGGAAUGGCUUCAGGCUUCUUAUAGGAGAUUGGCCUCGCGGAUGACGUGCUCGUGGACGAGCAGGGUAUUCCUGCUCCUGCUCCUGCUCCCCCGGAUGCCAGGCUCUUACGGGACCCAUCGGCUCGCAGAACUCUACCAUCAGAUAUCUGCUCAUCAUGCCUGGUCUCGUCGACGUAUUUCUCCUAAACACCGGUCCCCCAGUUUCUGGUGUUGGGUAAUGUAGUGGACCAGCAGUAGAAACUCGACAGUACUUGCUCGCGUGGGGUUGGAAAAGGCUUCCAAGAGUCAUGUCGCAUUUAAUUGCGGACGAGGUGAUGUGGCAGAGAUCUAACCCUCCAUUUGAAUUUCAAACCAACGGUUACGAGACCCUUGGGAUUUGGUGCCGUUAAAUGCUGGCAACCCAAGAUUUCGUCCCCAUUAGGAAACCCAAAUCCUUUCGAACGACAAAUUCAUCAUUCACUCCGUCUCCAUCUCUGUCUCUCCGGCAAAGAAGUUCCAGCAUAAAGGCCUCCAUCUCUGUCUUUCACCGACUGAACCAUUACUUCAGGUAUUUCUUCUAUUUCCUUAGUCUCGGAUAGUUGUAGAUAAUUUCUCUUCUCUUUUGCUUGGGUAGUAGUUGGUGGUGGUGUUGUGGUUAGAGCUUAGGGAAUGUCGAAAGGCAAAGAGAAUGUCAUUGAGGUUGACGACGAUGAGUUGGACUUCCUGCCUAGUUUGCUCACCGAUCCUGCUUUUGACCCCGGGAUCCCCUUAGAGCUCAUUAGAUCUAGUGUUGGCACUAGCGCUAGGAGGAUGUCCCCCCAAACAACCUCCACGAGUGGAAGUAGUGGUGAGGAGAGACCCUCUGGCUCGGAAGACACCCUAAGUGAGGAUCAAUGAGGUGACUCUGGGGAGGGGUCUUCACCAGGAACACCGCGACCAGAAGGGUGUAGUACAGUAGGAGGUAGAGCCUUGUCGCGGGAUUAUGCCAUUGAUUACAUGACCUGUACGACCACAUUCAACGAGCUGGAUGACCUCCGGCUCAGGUAUAGCAUUCCUGGUGAAAUUCCUCUCAAGAUCCCAGGAAAGAAGGAUACACCUAGCCGGCCUCCUCGGGGAUACGUUACCCUAUUUUUGGAGAGUUUUAGGCAUGGGCUGAGGUGUCCCUUGCAACCCUACUUUGCCCGGAUUCUUAACGGGCUAAACCUAGCUCCUGGUCAGCUGAACCCCAACGGGUGGAGAGUGCUCUCUGGUCUGUUCAUACUGUGGGACAGAUGUUGUCAAAGCGAGCCCACGGUCGACGAGGUGAAGCACCUGUACCAACUGAAAAGCAGCCCCAAAGACGUCGGCUGGUAUUACUUCCAAUCAAGUACCAAGAUCAGAAAACCCAUAACCGAUCUUCUUACUGGUGAUGGUGGGAAUUGGAAGAGGAAGUUCUUCUUCGCAGGGGGUCCCUUGUUGUUUGCACUUCACUGGUUUGUCUCUAAUCAAAUGUUUGUUUGUGUUGCAGGUUCUUGGGGUGUCCACUUCCCGCUUAAACCUGACCAGCUCAAACGAGUCGAGGCUGUACUAGCCAAUUCCUGCUCGAACCGAGAGCUGUUAACUAUAUACAACUUGCUCGAGUCUCGCUUGAUGCUUCCUGGCCAUAGGAUGGAGGACGCUGUGAUUGGGGCUCUGACCAGGAAACGUUCUCGACCUCCAACCACGAAGAGGGACCAGAGUAAGGACGCCCCUACUGCAAAGCGGGCCAACGUCGUGCAGCAGGUCUCUCCCUUGAAGACUUUACCUCCUGCUCCUGUCAAAGUCGGGGAAACUAGUGGAGCAGCCACAGAUCCUGCUUCCUCUUCUUCUCCUGUCGGCACUCGGUCUCGCUUACCUGACAGCCGAUCAGAACAAUUGGUCCCCUAUCUCAAUGAGUUAUCUAACCUCGUGAGCAAGAAUGACAUGGAGGACUUCGAUGGCUGCACCUUGGGUGAGCUGGUGGGGGCCAUGCAGUAUAGCGCUUUUCACCUCAGCUGCAUGACCACCUAUUACAAGGCCAAGGUUGGGCGCUACGACCGAAAGAUGAAGGAGGACAUUCAAUCGGCGACGACUAGAGCUGGCGUUGCCGAGAAAAAGGCAGGGGAGCUGAAUGUUGAGAACCUCAAGCUGAUGGAGCAGGAAUCUCUUGCUCAAGCAAAAGCCAUUACCCUCGAGGAGGAGCUGACCAAGGUCAAGGGGGAUCUGCAAAGGCAGAAGGCCACGUAUGAGGCUCAGCUCGAAUCCCUCCGCGACUCCCACCGGGCUCACGUCGAGAACUUGGAGAGGGAGGCCAAGAACCAGUAUGACCAGGGACUUCGGCAUUCCUAUCGUUGCAUCAUGGCCGUCCUCGGGAAGCAGCACCCUGAUCUGAAGAUGGAUGAUCUUGCAGUUGGUGUUGCUCAACAUAUGGACGAGGAAGCGGCCAAGGAAGAUGCCGAAGGGGUAGAGCCGAUCGUGAUUGAGGGGGAAAACUCUCCUCCUCGCACAAUCCCUGCUGACGUUGGCGAGGCGAGCACCGCUACUGAUGUUGGCGAGGCGCGCACCCCCCCGGACGCAACUGGUGAUACCCCCCCCCCGCACCUGAGGAGGUCCAGCCAACCAAUGCUGCUCGGCUUACUGAUCCGCCAUCUUCUUGAUAUAUUUCUUGUAUUGUAAUGAACAACGUUGAUGGAGAUUAUCUCCUCUGUUAAUUAUUAACACAUAAAUAAAGAUGUUUUUGAUUAUUUUCGUGUUGUAAUCAUGAGUUAUUUUUCGUUUAAUAAUCUGCCCGUCAUCGUCUGGUUGAGCAGGUUCUGGCCUGGCAUAUGGUUUUACCACAUGCCCUAGAAAAUUCUUCAAUGAUUGAGAUUCUGCUCGCCUUCGCGUGGUCGAGCAGAUCCUGGCACGCUUGGCUUCUGUCUCGCCAUAAACAGGCUUUGAGACUCGACGAGCCUUUGCAUGCCUUAGAAAUAUUUUUUUUUUUCGAUGCUUGGGGGUUCUGCUCGCCUUCGCGUGGUCGAGCAGACCCUGGCACGCUUGGCUUCUGUCUCGCCAUAAACAGGCUUUGAGACUUGACGAGCCUUUGCAUGCCUUAGAGAUUUUUUCGAUGCUUGGGGAUUCUGCUCGCCGUCACGUGGUCGAGCAGAUCUUGGCACGCUUGGCUUCUGUCUCGUCAUAAACAGGCUUUGAGACUUGACGAGCCUUUGCAUGCCUUGGAGAUUUUUUCGAUGCUUGGGGAUUCUGCUCGCCGUCACGUGGUCGAGCAGAUCCUGGCACGCUUGGCUUCUGUCUCGCCAUAAACAGGCUUUGAGACUUGACGAGCCUUUGCAUGCCUUAGAGAUUUUUUCGAUGCUUGGGGAUUCUGCUCGCCGUCACGUGGUCGAGCAGAUCCUGGCACGCUUGGCUUCUGUCUCGCCAUAAACAGGCUUUGAGACUUGACGAGCCUUUGCAUGCCUUGGAGAUUUUUUCGAUGCUUGGGGAUUCUGCUCGCCGUCACGUGGUCGAGCAGAUCCUGGCACGCUUGGCUUCUGUCUCGCCAUAAACAGGCUUUGAGACUUGACGAGCCUUUGCAUGCCUUAGAGAUUUUUUCGAUGCUUGGGGAUUCUGCUCGCCGUCACGUGGUCGAGCAGAUCCUGGCACGCUUGGCUUCUGUCUCGCCAUAAACAGGUUUUGAGACUUGACGAGCCUUUGCAUGCCUUGGAGAUUUUUUCGAUGCUUGGGGAUUCUGCUCGCCGUCACGUGGUCGAGCAGAUCCUGGCACGCUUGGCUUCUGUCUCGCCAUAAACAGGCUUUGAGACUUGACGAGCCUUUGCAUGCCUUGGAGAUUUUUUCGAUGCUUGGGGAUUCUGCUCGCCGUCACGUGGUCGAGCAGAUCCUGGCACGCUUGGCUUCUGUCUCGCCAUAAACAGGCUUUGAGACUUGACGAGCCUUUGCAUGCCUUAGAAAUUUUUCACAGUUUCAAGUGAAUGAAAUUCCUCGACGUUCCAUUAAUUGUAGGAUUCAACUUACAUGAAAAUGUUUGGUCGUAAAAUAAAUAACAGCAAAUACGAACAGAAAGAUCUUGAAAAUAUUAACGACUCUUACUGGAAAUAUUUCCUGAGAUGUGCUGCGUUCCAUGGGCGCUUCACCUCGUGGCCAUCCAUGCGAACCAGCUUGUAAGCUCCUGGUCCCACUAGCUGCUUGACUCUAUAUGGCCCCUCCCAAUUUGGACCGAGCACUCUUUGAGUCGAGUCUUUGGUGUUCUGAUUCACUCUCCUUAACACCCAAUCUCCGACCUUGAACUGCCGUAUGUUCACCUUCUGGUUAUAAUACCGGGCAACCCUCUGCUGGUAAAUGACUGAUCGCUCGGCUGCUUGCUCCCUCUUUUCCGUUAGCAGAUCAAGAUUCAAACAUAUCUGCUCGUCGUUCUCCUGUUCAUUGAAAUGAUAUGUCCGGUGCGUGGUCGUUCCUAUCUCAGUUGGCACGACCGCUUCAUGUCCAAAAGCCAAGGCGAACGGUGUCUCCCCAGUUGCUGUUUUGUGGGUUGUUCUGUAUGCCCAUAGCACACCUGACAGCUCAUCAACCCAUGCACCCUUUUUUGCUCCCAGCCUGGUUUUCAAAAGCCUCUUGAUGGUCUUGUUGGCUGCUUCUACUUGUCCAUUCGAUUGGGGGUGAGCAGGCGAGCAAUACUUCAGCUCUAUUCCGAGGUUCUGGCAGAAAUCCCUGAAGCUGUGAUUAUCGAAUUGUCUGCCAUUAUCCGUUACCAGGGCAUAAGGGAUCCCGUAUCGACAGACCAGGUUUCUCCACACAAAGUCUGUUGUUUUCUUCUCUGUGAUCUUGCUAAGGGCUUCUACCUCUAUCCAUUUCGUGAAGUAGUCUAUAGCAACUAUUGCAUGUGUUGCUGCUCCUCGUCCCUUUGGCAGCGGGCCGAUCAGAUCAAUUCCCCAUUGAGCAAAUGGCCAAGGGGAGGCCAUAGAGGUGAGCUUUUCUGGUGGUUGGUUGGAGAAACUUGCAAAACUCUGGCAACUUACACAGCUCCUGGUCUUCUCCUGUGCAUCCUGGUGCAUUGUCGGCCAGAAAUAUCCCUGCCUUAGAACCUUGUGGGCCAGGGACCUCCCACCAGAAUGAUUCCCGCAAAUUCCUUCAUGUACUUCUCUCAGUACGUAAUCUGCGUCGUCCUCAUCCAAACAUCGGAGGAAAGGUAGUAUAUAUCCUCGCCGAUACAGUACCCCAUCAAUCAUCGUGUAUCUUGAGGCCUGGGCUCUAACCUUCCGAGCUCGCAGCUUAUCUGGUGGUAAUACCCCGUCUCUGAGGUAUGAAAUUAUCGGGUCCAUGCACGAGCAUUUUUGUUCUAUCCGCAACACCCCCAAAUUCUGCUCGAUACUUGGGCUGGACUUCACCUCCAGAGGGACCGACUUUGGCAUUUUUGGGUCGGCUACUGCUGCCAUCCUGGCCAAAGUGUCUGCUCGACUAUUCUGCUCCCUGGGGAUCUGUAUCACCUCCACUGCUUCAAAUUUCCCCAUCAUCUGCCUGACUAUCUUCAGGUACUGCUCCAUCUUCUUCUCUCUUGGUUGGAAUCUUUCGCUGACAUGAUUCGCAACCAGCUGGGAAUAAGUUCUGAUCUUCACUCUGUCUGCUUUCACGGCCUUAGCCAAUUCCAAACCUGCUAUCAAGGCUUCAUACUCUGCCUGGUUAUUUGUGGCUCCAAAUUCCAACUUCACAACAUAAGAGAUCUCCUCCCCCUCCGGGCCUUCCAAGACAAUCCCUGCUCCAGAACCCUGCUCCCCUGAUGACCCAUCCACAUACAUCUGCCAUACUUGAGCUUCGCCACUGUCUGUGACUACAUCUGGUCCAUCUAAACAUACUUCGGGCUCUGUGAAUUCAGCUACGAAAUCGGCCAUUGCCUGAGCCUUUAUCGCUGCUCGGGGUUUGUAGUCUAUGUCGAACUCGCUCAGCUCUAUAGCCCACUUGACGAGCCGACCAGAAGCAUCUGGCUUGUGCACAGUUUGACGCAAUGACUGGUUUGUUAUUACCGAGACCGGGAAUGCUUGGAAAUAUGGCCUCAACUUCCGAGCCGCAACCACAAGGGCAAGUGCCCAUUUCUCCAACGGUGGGUAUCUGGUCUCAGCGUCGAGCAGGGCCUUGCUUGUGUAGUAUAUCGGAUACUGAACUCCUUCUUCCUCUCUCACCAGAACAGAACUGGCGGCCCGAUCCGAUACCGCCAAAUACAGAUAUAACUUGUCCCCAUCCCUCGGUGUGGACAGUAGUGGAGCUUGCUGCAAGUAUUGCUUCAAGUUCUGGAAGGCUUCCUCGCAUUCUGGUGUCCAUUCUGUUUUCUUUCCCCUCCUUAUCACUUAAAAGAAUGGCUGACACUUGUCUGUAACCUUGGAUAUGAAUCUGCUCAACGCAGCCAACCUCCCCGUGAGGCUCUGCAUCUCCUUCAGGUUACGAGGAGACCUCAUCUGCACAAUUGCCUGGAUUUUCUCCGGAUUUGCUUCAAUCCCCCUAUGGCUCACCAUGAAUCCAAGGAAUUUCCCUGACUCGACCCCAAAAGCACACUUCUCCGGGUUGAGCUUCAUCUUAUACUUCCUCAAAAGCCCGAAUGUCUCCUCGAGGUGCCUGACAUGUUCCUUCGAGAUUUUGGAUUUGGUGAUCAUGUCGUCCACGUACACCUCCAUGGUUUUCCCAAUCAACGGCUUAAAGACUUUGUUCACCAGCCUCUGAUAGGUGGCCCCAGCAUUUUUUAGACCAAAUGGUAUUACCCUGUAACAGAACAAACCCUGGUUAGUGAUGAAAGCCGUGCUCUCCUCAUCCUGCUCGUACAUGGGGAUUUGGUUGUAUCCCGAGAACGCGUCCAUGAAACUAAGCAGACCGUGUCCAGCCGUUGAAUCUACUAGUUGAUCGAUCUUUGGUAAAGGGAAGCUGUCUUUUGGGCACGCCUUAUUAAGGUCUGUGAAAUCCACACACAUCCUCCACUUGCCAUUUGCCUUCUUUACCAACACCACAUUCGAUAUCCAUUCAGGGUAAUUGACUUCCCGAAUGAACCCUGCUCUCAAGAGCUUCUCCACCUCGACAUUUAUAGCCUCAUACCUCUCCUGAUUGAAGCACCUCCUCUUCUGCCUUACUGCCCGAGCACCUUUCUUUAUUGCCAGCUUAUGACAUGCUACCUCAGGGUCAAUCCCUGGCAUAUCUUCAUGUGUCCAAGCAAACACAUCUGCAUGAGCCUGUAAGCAUUUCACUAACUCCUGCUUUUGCUCUCCCUUAAGUCUCGACCCGAUUCUGAUUGUUUUUCCCGGAUUCUCUGGUCCCAGGCUUACUGUUUCCAGAUCCUCUACAGGUUCUUGUCUGCCAUUCUUGUUUUCCACUCGGGUAUCGAGGGAUGUUAUCUGCAUUGCUUCCCUUGCUGCUGAGGAGUAGCAGCUUCUUGCGAUCCUCUGAUCUCCUCGUACCACUCCAACUACCCCAUUCACCCGGUACUUCAGAGCCAGAUAAUGGUUGGACAGCAUCGCUUUGCUCAUCCUCAGAAAUGGCCGACCUAGGAUCAUCUGGUAAGGACCUUCCUCAUCCACUACCAUAAAGUCCAGUAUCAUUGUCCUUUCUGUCGGGGAGCUCCCAAUCGUGAUAGGCAGCUCGACCAUGCCCAGAGGGACCAGCCUUCCUCCUCCAAACCCCUUCAAGGAGGUAUUGGUGUAAUCCAACUUCAGGUCUGCUAUUCUCAUCUCCUUCAGGGUUGACUUAAACAACACAUCAACUGAACUCCCUGUGUCAACCAGUAUCCUGUCAAACUUCUUGCUAGCAACAGUGGCCUUGAUGACCAAAGCAUCCUCGUGGGGGUAUAUGAUCCCUUCUUCAUCCUCAUCUGUCCACAUGAUUGGCACUUGCCUGACUCUUGCACGUUUGGCUGCUGGGGUGUUGAAGAAUACCUUUUUGCUGGUCAUGGCGUAUCUAGCAUAAUUUUUCCUCGAUCUGUUAGAAUCUCCGGCCAAUGUUGGGCCCUCAGCUAUAACCCUUACUGCAGGCUGCUCGCGCCUCAAGUUCCUGUCACUCUGCUCCCCUUCACUUGUUGAGGCUACCAUUGGGAAGGUCCCAUCUACGAACUCGUCCAGAUACCGAUUUCUCACUAAAUCUUCAACCUGGGUCUUAAGAUCUCUGCAAUCUGCUGUGGUGUGGCCAUGAGUGCCAUGGAACUUACAAUAGCGUCCCCUAUCCCUCAUGCUGGGUAGCUUGGUUAUUGGAGCAGGGAGGUAUAGCAACCCCCGAUCCUUUAUGGCCUCGUACACCUCGUCCAGGGACAUCUUCAAGGAAGUGUACCGCCCAUAGUCCUAGUUCUGGUCGAUCAGGUGUACUGCUCUUUCUCUGUUUGCUCCGUUCUGGGUUGGGGGCGGUGGCAGUACUUCUGGUCUGCUCCCUCUGCUACCGUGGGAGUGUUGAUGAGCACCAUAUGAUGAAUCAUGCCUUCUCCAAGGCUCCCUAGCUGUGGAACGAGGAGGCUGCGCCCUGCUGCGCUGAUACUGUGGUGGGCUCUGAUGAGGCUGGUAAGCAAUUACCCGACCUCCUGCUCCAUUACCCGAGGCCUGGUGGUCCCUCCUCCUGAUCGGCCCAUUCCCCGGUAAUGCUUUCUUCUCUUUCCUCCCCAACCCUUCUAACUGGUCUAUCUUAAUUCGUGCUGCCUUCUCCUCUUCAAUCUCAAUGUCUCUCUUAGCCUGCUCGUAUGCGGCCGCAUACGUCUGGAUAGCUGGGCUUCUCAAAUUGUACCACAGCCUUCCUAUCUUCACCCUUUCUUUCAAUCCCCUUAACGCCUGAGGGUGGUUGAAGGCUCCCAAGUCGAGGACAGCCCGAUGAAACCUCUUGAUGAAUUCCCGAAGGGUUUCUUGCUCCCCCUGUUUCAUGCUUUUCAGCUCCAUCAUGUCAUCUUCUGGGGCCAUUGCCCCACUAAACUGCUCUGCGAAUUCCUGGCACAUCUGCUCGAAGGUUUUAAUGCUGCCCCGAGGAAGUUUCCUGUACCACUCGCGUGCACGUCCCUCCAGGGAUAGUGGAAACACCCUGCACCUUUGGGGCUGAGAUAAUCCUUGUACCCCCGUUAUGUCAUUGAAGCGUUCUAUGUGCACCAGCGGAUCAGUUCGUCCCGAAUAUCUAAGGUCCGGGAGACGGAAAUCCCUCGGAAUAAUUGCCCUCAUGAUCUCUGCUGCGAGCAGUGAUUCUCCGUCCAGCAUUAUCCUCCAACCAGGAGCUCUGCUCCUUCCUUGCAUAUCGUCAAUUAUCUGCGCUAGUCUGCGCACUUCCUCCUCCAGCUGUACUGCACGACCAGGGUCACGUGCUGCAACUUGAUCCCUCUCUUGCUCUACAUCAUGCAAGUGUUGCCUCAACUCUGUUUCUUCUGCAUUCGCCACCCCGUCGUCCUCGUAAAAAAUCUGUCUUGCCGGGGAUUGCUCUUCUUCUCUAUGAAAUUCUCCCCGUAGAGGUAUGUUACCUCUCUCACCACUAAAUCUCCCGGUGGUUUGACUUCUCCUCGUACCAUCGGGACCUGGUGUCACUCCACCACCUCUCACCAUUUCCUCCUGGGUUACCCUUCGUUCACUCCGCAACUCAUGCAGGAUGGUUGUCAGGGUCUCCAUCUGCUUUUCCAUCCGUUCCAUCCGGUCGAACAUGGCUUUUUCCCGUGCUUCGCUGGCUAUCUCCCUCAGCGUUACAGAAUCGUUAAGCCUCAUAUCACCCCCUUGUGCACUACUUCCUCCUGCCUCCAUUGCUUUUCACUUGCUUCACUCCUCUUCUUGCUAUCAACAGAAGCUUUUUGCUCAGCUCCCCACAGACGGCGCCAAAAUGUUGAUGCGAGAUUCUGGUUACACUCUUCCGGCUACCAGGACAUCUGCUCAAUCAACCUCACCUCGACCAGGAUCUCUCCUCGUAUGCUUUCUUCUCCAAGUACUCCUGCGUUCACAGAAACAAGUCAGAGCACGCCGGUUGUUUUCCCGGCGUAAACCCUCCGACGCUCAAGUCAGAUAUGAAGGCUUUGGGAACGCUUGCCACAGAUCUUAUGGCUUUGGAAAUAGUUUUCUCUUCUUUUCAAUUUCCUUAAUCUCUAUUCUAAUCUCGAAAUUGCUAACCCUUUUACCUUCGCUGGCUACCUUUUUAUAGGCCACUUCUGAGCCCAAGCCUUUUUCCCUUUGCGCUCGUCAUCCUCCCACUUCUCGAAAGUGGAUGCUCCAUUUCUGUAGUCGUGGGUGGUUGCGUGGCCCUCGUGCCUAGAUUCUCAGACUGGAAAGCAUGCCACGCCAACUGUCGUUGACCGGGUCUUCUCGAAUCAACCCUUAGCAGGAAUACAGCAGGAAUGGCUUCAGGCUUCUUACAGGAGAUUGGCCUCGCGGAUGACGUGCUCGUGGACGAGCAGGGUAUUCCUGCUCCUGCUCCUGCUCCCCCGGAUGCCAGGCUCUUACGGGACCCAUCGGCUCGCAGAACUCUACCAUCAGAUAUCUGCUCAUCAUGCCUGGUCUCGUCGACGUAUUUCUCCCAAACACUUACCACAUAUAUGUCACCUUUCAAUCAAUUGUUGAAAAAUUCAAAUUUGGAAUUCAAAUACAUGCAUUCAAAUUUGGAACACUUUGAACGGUCCGAUUCAAAACUUCAUAUUCCAAUUAUAUUCAUAAGACAAAUGGAACACUUUGAACGGCUUGUGUCCGAGCAUUGUAGUUUGAUUUAUUUUGAUGACAUUACCUUUUGACAUUGAGAUUCUUUCAGGAUUUAAACAUUCUUUUUAAAACCAAAUUAUUAAAAAAAAAUAACUAACAUAUAUUAUUUUAUUAGUGCUUUUUAAAUCAAAUAUACAUAGGAGAACUGUAAUUCUUAGCAAUCAAUUUUCCACUAAAUACACCUGCAACAAACUAUUAAUAACAAAGUGAUAGAAAAUACCUGAUUUUUCAUACUUUCUAAUUUCUUUUGGUCCUAAAAUAUGGGCAUUUGUGUAAUAAUAAGCCCAUGUGGAUCUCUAUGCCAUGAGUUUGAUAAAUAGCUAUCAAGGAUCACUUAUUAAGCUAAAAAUAUUUGGAGGACAAAAUUGUAAAACUAAAAGGGUGGAGCAAAUAUGGCUAUCUAGGAUUAAAUAGUAAGUCAACUAUAUUUAAAGGAUAAAAUAUUAAAACUUGAAUUGUGAUAUUAAAAAUAUCUCAACUAUUAUAUUAUUAAACCAUAUGUUCUAAUAGUUUUUUUUUUAAGCUUCAAAAUGUUCAGGAUUUUAGAUUGAAACAUUUUCAAUUGAAAUAAUUUGGUGCAGUCACAAGUUAAGAAAGAAAAAGUUGUCCCAUUGGUCAUUUCACAAAAAUGAAAGCCCUGUAUAACAUGGACGUGAAUGGAAACCCAAUUGUUUGUGUUUGAUUAAUUGAUUUCAAGCUUUAUCUAACCUUUGGACCUGGAUACUUUACUGCGGCCUCUAAGCGCUAUAAAUUUUUUUGGGGAUAAACGGCGCUUCAAUGAGGGCAUCUCCAAUGCUUAACACCAUUUUGGUGUAACACCAACAUUAAAAAUAUACAUUUUUCACACUAAAUUACUAUUUCAUCUCCAACCCAUUUACACCAAAUUUUACACCAAAAAUAAUAUUUUUUUUAUUCUUUUAAUUCUCAAGAAUUAAUUCAAUUAACACAAUAAAUACUACUAUUAACAUAGAUAAUUAAGUAAUAAGUAAUUUUAUCAAUUAACAAAAAAAAUAGAAAAUUAUUAAAUUUGCAUUUAAUUAACUAAAUUAGUACAUUAUGAAAAUUAAACAUUACAUUAAUAUAGAAAAAUACAAUAAAAAUAAUAAUAAUUUUAUAUCUAAUAUUUUGAUGAUAUUGGAGGAUCUAAUAAUGAUCUUCCAGAUUAUUAAAUAAUUGUUCUAAUUUAUACUAGUAGUAGUAGCUUUUUUAAUUUGUGUUAAUUUAAUUUUGUAAUAUGUAAUAUAGUAAUUAAUGUUAUUGGCAUUUUAUUUUUAUUAUUAAUUUUUGUGUUGAAUUUUUUUAUUUAAAAUAUUAGUAUAAUAUUAAAAAAUUAAAAAUGAAAUAAAUAAUAACAAAAAUAAUAAUAAUAACUUAAAAUAUUAUAUAAAAAAGGACAUAUAUGUAAAUAAGAAAAAGUAAUAAAGAUAUUUAGGACUCUUUUUUCCUAGCACCAAAUGAAUAGUGUUACACCAUAUUUGGUGCAAUACUAUUCAUAACACCAAUUUGCUGUUCGUUUUGAUGUUACAUUGGAGAAGCAUUUUACACAAAAAAUGGUGUAAAAGGUAGUUUGGUGUUAGUUUUGGUGUCACAUUGGAGAUGGCCUGGAAAAACACUUGAAAACUUUGGAUUUUUGGUUCGUCCAGUUACGGUGUUAUGCUAAUGGGGUUAAAAGUUCCGAUCCAAUGAGUUAGGAUGGAAUAUGAAUAUAUAAAUUCCAUAGCAUGUAAGGACUAGGAUUUGUUUGUUCAUAUCAAGAAAAAAAAGAUCCGAAAAUUUGAUGAUCAGAAGAUGAAGACACGUUUAUUACAGAGAAACAAACGACAACAUGAUACUAGUAGUAGUUAUUCUUUUCAUCCGAUAUAUUACAUGGUAAUAUCACUACUCGUUCCACUGGUUUCAUAUACACCAUCGAUCAGCAACAUGAUAAUUUUGUGUCAGUUCAUUUUGUUUGUAGGAAAGAGCAGUGUAUUUCUUAGAGCUUGAAAAUAAUAAAAAGAUUUUAAAAUAUAAAUUGCAUAUUUGUUUAUUACAGUUGUUUGGUCUAAUUUCUUAUGUAGAAUUGCUUGUCAUUCUUUGGACGUUAUUGAUUAUAUUUUUGUCAGACUUGGCGUAUAUAUUCACACAUACGUUUUAUUUUGUCAUUUUGUAGAACAUUUUUACACGCCAUAUUAUCACGACUCUUCUCUGUCUGAAUAAGAAGAAAGCAUAAUGCGACCCUCCAAUAGCUUAAUCUAUGGAAUUAUCGUGUUUUGUAAGUUGAGGUCCAAUGGCGUUUUGGCACAUCAUAUGAUAGCCCACUAUAUUGCGUUGCUUUACAAAAGAUUAAUAUUUUGAAAAUUAUUAGGUAAGUUUAGGCUCAGUGGCACUUUAACUCAUGAUAUGAUUGUCCAGGUUUUCGAGGACCACUAUAUUCUAUUGAUUUAAAAAAAAUUAAUAUUUUUUAAUAUUAAUAUUCUAAAUUAUAUUCAGUUCAAAUAUUAAAUAUUAAAUACAUUCUUAAUAUUAAUAUUCUUAGAUGAAAUUCUUUUGCUGACUUAAGAAUAAAAUAUUAAAUAAUUUUAUUUUUCUUUUAUUCUGUAACGUGGACCCAAUAAAAAAAGGAAAUGAAUUUAAUAAAACCUUCAUUCAAAAUCUUCAUUCCGCCACCAUGCAUGUUAAUUGUUUCCAAAUUCCAACCUCCGUACUCUCUUGAGGAGUUUCCCAUUCAUCAAUUAUUAUUUUUUAUAAUCCAUACCAUCCUGAUAUAAUUAAACACCAUUAAUAAUGUACCAACCUUUAAAUAGUAAUUAAUUUAUUUAUCUAAUUCACCAAAUGUUUUUUCCGGUACAUAUCUCCAUUGGUAUCAAGAAGAAGCAGAACCCAAAGAAAUGUUUCUUGCAUCUUCAUAUUUGUGCGAAUUCAUCCUUUCAUUGAGAAUAACCAUUUCCAGGCAGCAGUUGGCAAUCAAUUCAUGCGCACGUCGAUGCUAUUCAUAGAUACUAAAGACAAUGAUGAACCAAAGGUGAUAAAUCAUAAAUGCAUAAUUACCAAACCUCCAUCCUUCUCUCAUUAUGAUUUGAUUUUAAAUGAAUUAUUGCUUGGUAACAUUAUUUCCAACCAUUGCAAGACCUUUUUUUUGGAGAAAUUUCAAUUGAAAGUGAAACCUUUAGACAUUUACCUAAUGAAGUUAGUUAAUCGGGAGGGUCGGAAAAAAAAAGUUGACGCAAGUCAAUACACAAUAAUCAAUUAAAUCCGGAGUGACUAAAACAGAGCCACUACUUUUUAAAAAAUAUCUGCAUUAAUCACUUUCUCCAGCAACUAGUCAGCUACACACGAAUCAAUUUCUCUCCUCGUUUGUCAUCCAAAAUUAUUCACCAAUACCAUGGCUGAUGCAAUCGUUUCCACUAUCUUGGAGCAGCUGAUUUCCUUCGCUGCUGAAGAGAUAAAACAACAGGUGAUCGAAGUUUCACCCCUCAUAUUACAAAUACUUCCAAUGAUUUUAAUUGGCUUUGUUUUUAUCAAAAACAUUAUAUAUUUUUGCUUUUUUUUUAUUUAUCUGAUAAUUUUAUAUUUUGAAAUUUGAAUUGAAUUUAAUUAAAAGGUGAUGUAGUAACCACUCAUUUUUAUUUUAUUUCAUUUCUAUUCUCGAUAACUAACCAUAUUUUGGUAACUUAAUAUGACUCUCGUACAUAAGAAAUGAUCAAAACCCACAAUUUUAACUAUGUAUAAAUAUUCAACGUUGAGCUAAGGUUUUGCAGAACAUUCAAGUUUAUCAAAUAGUCAUUAAUUUAAUGUUUUAGUAAAACCUCAACUCAUCACUGAAUCCCAUAGCUAUUACUUAGACUCUAUGAAAAAUUUCAUAGUUUUCUUACAUUCUUUCAGUUUGGUAAGUGAUUUCAUAUAAUUUCUGUUCAAUAUAAAUUUUAAUUUGGUUUCUUAUAUACUCUCUUUGCUGAAUUUGUAUCUUUUAUGAUUCUUAGAUUUUGGGCUCUAACAUUUUAGGAUUUGAUAGUCACAUUUUAUGCCAUGCUUAGAUUGAUUUUCAUGAUUUUUACUACCCAUUAAGUGACUUAGAAUUUGACAAAAGUUUGAAAGGAAAUCUGCUUCAGGAUUCUGUUUUAAUUGACCUUUUAGUGGAAAUAGGAUGCUUAUAACUUAAUGUGGAUGGUUCGUAAAAUCAUGAAAUUUGGAUAGAAUUAACUAGAAAUAUGUACAAGACUCUCCAUGAAGUCUCAUAAUUUUUCAUUCGGUCUGGGGUGGUACAGGUGAAACUUGUGGUUGGUGUUGAAAAAGAAGUGAAAAGCCUUACCAGCCAUCUUCAAGCCAUUCAAGUUGUGCUCGAUGAUGCAGAGGAAAAGCAAGUGAAGGAAAAAGCUGUUAGUCUUUGGCUGGGUAGGCUCAAGUAUGCAUCCUACGACAUUGAAGAUGUGUUGGAUGAGUGGAUCACAACAAGACGCAAAUUGCAAAUUGAGGGUGGCAUUGGUGAAAAUGCUCUUGUUGUUCCUCAUAAGAAAAAGAAGGUAUGUCUCUGCUUUCCCGGCUCUUGUUUUGGAUUCAAACAAGAAGAAUUUGGUUUCAAACAAGUCUUUCUCCGUCAUGACAUUGCCGACAAGAUCAAAGAAAUCAAUGAAGAGCUACAUGAUAUUGCCGCUCAAAAAGACAUGUUUGAUCUUGUUAAGAGUGGCAAUAAAAGUAGUGAAAGACCAAGGCGUGUACAGAGUACCUUCUUGAUUGAUGAGGAAGAGAUUUGUGGCAGAGUUGGUGAGAGGAAUGAACUCUUAAGCAAGCUGUUGUGUGAGAGUAGCGAGCAACAAAAAGGCCUUCAUAUCAUCUCAAUCGUUGGUAUGGGAGGCAUAGGGAAAACAACUCUUGCACAACUAGCUUGUAAUCAUGACGAGGUGAAGAGAAAGUUCGACAAAAUUCUGUGGGUGUGUGUAUCAGAAACUUUUGAGGAGUUUAGGGUUGCCAAAGCGAUCGUUGAAGUUUUGGAUGGUCGUGAAUCUCAUUUAGCUGAAUUCCAUUCUCUUCUUCAACAUAUUUAUGAAUCCAUUGCAGGGAAGAGCUUUCUUCUUGUCUUAGAUGACGUGUGGGAUGGAAAUUACUUGAAAUGGGAACCAUUCUACCGUUGUCUAAAGAAUGGUCUCCAUGGAAGUAAAAUUUUAGUUACCACACGUAAAGGGUCAGUCGCAUCCAUGAUGGGAUCCAUAGAUAUUAUCUCCGUUAAGGAGUUAGCUGAAGAGGAAUGUUGGUUGUUGUUUAACAAGAUAGCAUUUUUUGAUCGGUCCAUCGAGGAACGUGAAAAAUUAGAACAAAUUGGGCAAAGAAUUGCAGGCAAGUGCAAAGGUUUACCUCUUGCAGCAAAGACAAUAGGGAGUCUCAUGCGUUCUAAACAAACUGAAGAAGAGUGGAAAAGAAUUUUAAAUAGUGAUUUAUGGAAAGUAGAAGAGAUUGAGAAAGAUGUUUUGUCCUCUUUAUUGUUGAGUUAUAAUGAUUUGCCAUCUAGAGUAAAAAGAUGUUUUUCAUAUUGUGCUGUCUUUCCAAAAGACUACAAUAUAGAAAAAGACAAACUAAUCACGUUAUGGAUGGCUCAAGGUUAUCUUAGUGCAGAAGAAGAUGAAGAGAUGGAGACAGUAGGUGAAGAGUAUUUUGGCAUCUUAGCUUCUCGCUCAUUUUUUCAAGAGUUUAAGAAAAGUUAUGAUAAUCGGAUUAUAGAGUGUAAGAUGCAUGAUAUGGUACAUGAUUUUGCCCGAUUUGUAAGUCAAAAUGAAUGUUUUUCGAUGGCAAUCAAUGGUAGUGAAGAACCAAACGCCACAAACUCUCUUGAUGAGAAGGUCCGUCAUUUAAUGUUAAUCUUUAGUAUAGAGGCUUCAUUACCUGUUUCCACUUGUAGAGUUAAAAGAAUUCGUAGCCUCUUAAUUAACGAUAGUAGAUCUGAUCAUUCAUUAUUAAAUGGUGAGAUCCUAGAAGAAUUAUUUAGGGAAUUGACAAGUUUAAGGGCAUUAGAUUUUUGCAAAUCGUAUAACGCAAGUUGGUCUUCGACUCUGGAGAUUCCGAGAAACAUAGAAAAGCUGGUACAUUUAAGAUACCUUAAUUUGUCUUAUCAGGGAAUAAAGAAACUACCGGAGACAUUAUGCGAGUUGUAUAAUCUAGAAAAGUUAGAUAUUAGUUAUUGUUAUAAGCUAGAAGAAUUACCUGAAGGGAUUGGGAAGUUAAUAAACAUGAAGCAUUUACGAAAUAGAGGUACUAGUUCUUUAAGGUACAUGCCAGUAGGGAUUGGGAGAUUAACGGGUCUUAGGACCUUGGGUGAGUUCCACGUGAGUGCAGGAGGAGGUGUUGAUGGUAGGAAAGCAUGUAGGCUUGAAUCUCUUAAAAACUUGGAACACCUUCAAGUAUGUGGUAUAUGUAGACUGGGUGAUGUAUCAGAUGUGGGCGAGGCUAAGCGAUUAGAACUUGACAAAAAGAAAUACCUCUUCAGUUUGACCCUCGAGUUUGAUAAGACGGAAAGAGGAGGAGAAAGGAGGAAGAACGAGGACGAUCAACUUCUUCUUGAAGCCUUGCGACCACCCCUGGAUUUAAAGGAAUUAGAGAUACGGUACUACCGAGGCAACACUGUUUUCCCCAGCUGGAUGGCGUCAUUAACCAACUUAAAGAGUUUACAUCUCCAUAGGUGCGAAAAUUGCGAGCAGCUGCCUCCUUUGGGAAAAUUGCCGUCCCUUGAAAAUCUCUACAUAUGGCGCAUGGAGAGUGUGAAGAGAGUGGGUGAUGAAUUUUUGGGGAUAGAAAGUGAUCAUCAUGACUCAUCGUCAUCUUCAUCAGUUACUAUUGCCUUCCCCAAAUUGAAAUCACUCACAAUUUAUUCGAUGCUGGAAUUGGAGGAGUGGGAUUAUGAGAUUACAAGAACAGGAAACACCGUCAUCAACAUCAUGCCACGUCUUUCUUCCUUGACAAUUGUUGAUUGCACCACAUUAAAGGCACUGCCCGACCACAUUCAUCAAACGACAACGUUGAAGGAAUUGAGCAUUUUUAUGUGUUGGCUUCUGAACAAACGUUACCGCAAGGGGAAAGGAGAAGACUGGCCUAAAAUAUCACACAUUCCCAACCUCCGUAUUGGGCUUUGACAAGUAAUUUCUUCUCUCACUCUGAUUUGCUUUGUUGUUGUUUUUAAUCUAAUUAAGAAGCGAAAAUAGCAUUUUGAAUCAAACUCUAUAUCAGAAAUCUGCAAUACUUACUUUCUAAUAUUCUGAUUUUCAUAUCCUAUGAAUAUACGAUUUUUAAUUUGUGAGAUGGGUAACGUUACUGUAAAAGAUUAUUAAUGCAAUAUGAGUAAUUCUUUUGCAGGACAAGUGACCUACAUUUAGUUUGGCUUUGGAGUUGAAUAAUAACCUUUCGUGGUCCCGACAACCAAAAAACAAAGCUUAAUUUGCCACAGAUUGAACGUAUUGCCAUUAUUGACAAUUUUCUGCACAAGCGUGACUGAACUUAGGUUGAUGUCAAAAGAGGUAAAUUAUUGGCAUGCCUGACUAUUUUGACCAUUACAUGAUUCAUAAGUUUACAUUAAUUUUGAUUUUGAGUUGAGUGAUUAGUUUUCUAGGUUUGCUUACUUUAACUGGGUGACCAAUUUCUUGUAACUAAAUGUAUGAUGUGAUGCAGGAAGCAGGGCAGGAUAUGAAAAGAGAAGCUUAUUAGAGGAAGGAUUGCCAGUAACAGAAUCCAAAGAAAAAGAAACCAUUUCGAGGCAGCUGUUGGCAGUUGGCAGUGAAUGGAGCCCCUUGAAAAAAUUCCCAGGCCGUUGCACUGCAAUUACGAUCAUCCUCGGCCUCAGGUAAUUUCUUCUCCUGCAUUUUUGUUAUUUGCUAUCAAGUGACUAUUUUAAGUAUGAUUGCAUUAAGCUUCUGCUGGGAAAUUUGAGGUUUUGAUGACUGCCCAUGCUAUUGUCAGAAGCUGCGGUUCUUUUCAUCAGCCUGAACCUGGACCUGCCGCUAUGGAUAACUCAGGUUUUUUUUUUUUUUUUAAUCAACUGCCAUCUUUUCCACUGUUUAGAAACUCUUAAGAUUAAACUUUAGUAAAGUUGUUUUAGUUAUCCAUGUAAUCAGGCUGAGGAUACUUAGCUGCCUAUUUAGGCAAAUGUCAGAAUUUAGUUUGUUCGCUGGGAACUGGUGUGGACUGGCAAAGGAUGAUGAGAUAGUUUUUUGAGUGAGUAAAUUUUGGGAGCUUGAGUGUAUUGGGAUUUGCAAUUACAAUCAUCGUCUGCCUCAGGUGAUUUCUUCUCCUGCUCUGUCAUUGUUUGUUCUCUAAUUCAAAAGCAUAAAAUAUUUCAAUCAAUUUUUAUGCCAGGAAUAUGCAAAAGUUUCUAAUAUUUUAUUUCCAUCUGUUACAAGAUCAAACUGAAGCAGAACUCAAACAAAAGUAUGCUACUUCUUGCGGAAAUCUUGCCUUUGUUCAGAUUAUGAAACCAUUUCCAUGCAGCAAAUUCAUCCAAAAGUUUGAAUAAGUUUCAUGGUUGGACACUGUUGGCUUCUUUUUCUUCUGGGGUGCAUUUAGGUGCUAUCAAGUGACAGCUGUAAGUAUGAUUGCACUAAGCUGCCGCUGGGAAAUUUGAGGUUUUGAUGGCUGCCCAUGUUAUUUUCAAGAAACUAUUGAUGUAAGAAGCUGUGGUUCUUUUCAUCAGCUUGAACCUGAAACUGUCGCUAUGGAUAACUCAGGUUUUUGUUAUCAACUAUAUCAUCUUUUUCACUAUUUUGAAACUCUUAAGAUUAAACUUUAGUAAAGUUGUUUCAGCUAUUCAAAUGAAAAACUCAUUGAUUUGAGACUUCCUUCAUUAUUGUUUCUAAUUACAAUGCUAACGAUCCAGAUAAAAUAAUAUUUAAUCGGCGAAGGUGUCCCUUGGAAGUACAUCCUUCUUUUUCUUUUAUUAUAUAAAUUCUUGCAAUGAGCUUAGUGAAGCUGUUGUGCUAAUCAUGCCACUGCAUAAUUUGGCCCCUAAUGUGGGUACUCUGUUACAUUGUUCUGCAAAUUCUCCAGAAGUUAAAAUCAAUAAAUUUUCUAUUAGCUCUAGUGCUUUGACCUAAAUGCCAUUCUAUAUUUUGAUUACAAUGUUUUAACCUUUAAAUUAACUACCCCUAGAUGUUGGAUUUUCUAGAACUUCAAAAUGAUUAAUGGAGAAAGAUCCCAUUAUCGUUAUUGCUAUAAGAAAUUGAUUUAUGCAUCCAAAGAUACAUUAUAUAUUUCUGUGUCUCUAUUUGUAGAUGACAUUUAAGCAUCCAUAAACCGUCAGACAGAGGAAGGGGGUUCAGUGCAAAGAUUCUGUUGACCUAGGGUUGACUGCAUAAUGUCACUUGUUCGCAAUCUAUUAUUUAUUUUAUAUUUUGAAGAAUUUAAUGGGUAAUCCUAAUUGUUUGUUUUGGCAGGUAUGUGUUGUUAUCUCCUUCUAUCUAACAGUCGUACCUAAAUAGCAUAGUUUCAUCUGUGUUACCAUGUGAUGUACAUAAUUUCACAUUUGCCUCAGAUUAAGCUUAAUUUCCCACAGAAUAGAGCUGUCGCGACUGGACUUAGGUUGAUGUCCAAAGAGGUAAAUUAUUGGCAUGCCUAGAUAAUUUGGCCAUUUCCUAAUUCAUAAGUCUACAUUAAUUUUGAUUUUGAGUUGACUGAUUUCUUUUCAAGGUCUGCUUCCUUAACGGAGUGACCAAUGUUUUUCAACUAAAUUUAUCAUAUGAUGCAGGAAGCAGGGCAGGAUAUGAAAUGAGAAGCUCAUUGGUGGAAGUAUUGCCAGUAACAGAACCCAAAGAAAAUGAAACUAUUUCAAGGCAGCAGUUGGCAGUUGCAAGUGAAUGGAGGCCCUGACAAAAUUCUCAAGCGGUUGCAAUGCAAUUACGAUCAUCCUCAGCCUCAGGUAAUUUC